rnacentral:lncRNA from 1 species
UGGUAAUUCAUUUACCUGAAAAUUGCUCCAUCACAUGAUGGAGCAAUCAGGUGGAUUUGGAUCAUUGACUGGACAUACAACAUAUGCUUGGCAUGGACUCGGACAGUAAUAUGGUGGGUACGGCGGACAAGGUAGAGGCUGGAACGGUGGACAUGGAGGUGGGCACGGUGGUGGACACAGUGGAGGAGGUGGAGGUGGACGUGGAGGCGGAGGUGGUGGAGGCUUCACUUCUUCCACGCUUACAAUUUCCACAUAGCAAAAUUUCUUCCUGAGAGACAUAAUCAAGCAAGCAGCAUCAAUUCCUUCUCCAGUUACAACCAUUUCAUCAUCCUUUAUUAUAGUCAUCGAGAUCACCCCUGAACCACAAUUCGAAAUAAUAUAAACAAAAAUAUUAUAGAAAAAUACGUACAAAAUGUUAUGGAUUAAUAUGUGCAUACCUGGUUCAGCCGCAACAAUCUGCAUGGCUUUAGAUUGCAUUUUUUCACUUCGCAUUGUCACCUUGAUCACUAUUUUUUGCUGAAAAUAAAUUCGAACCAAAAUCAAUGAAUCCAUUCUAAACUUAUUUCUCAACACUGUGUCUAUUAUAAUUUUAAAAAAAAAAAAAAUAGAGACAGAAAAGUAAAAAGACAACGUUAAUUAUAACUUGACAGAAAGUUCAUUAAUUUCUUGGAAAAAUUGUUAAUGGCUUACCUUCAUGUUUGGCUAUAAUUUAAAUUGCUCGAGUGCAUCUGAUUACGGGUUUAUUUAUAUUAAACAGAAACUUUUGCUUAUGAAGGAAUCUAGGUGGAAACUUCAAACUAGUGAAGCAACUAACUACUACGGAGAUUUGCUAAAUGCACACCCCUCACAUGAGGAGGGGCCGCAAUGAAGACUAGAGUGUACAAAUAAAAUUUUCCAACCACAAAGUCAACUAAAGAAAUAAAAAUAAAAAGGAAAAUGAUAUCCUCUGGAUGCAGAUCGAAUUAGUGGGGCAUUGAAUUAGAAAUUAAUCGAGUGUAUGUACAAAAUUAAAGGGACAAAGAGGAAUUAACAUACGAUGAUAUUAAAAUUUGAGGUUUCAUCUUAAGACGUCACCUUGUUAAUAUUUGAUCCUCGUUUCGAGCUCAUUUUAAUGAGUUUUUUUUUUUUUAAUAACAAUAUCUCAUUAAUCACAGUGAAAAACUAGUAAAAAAUGCAAAAGUUGAACCUACUUUGCUAGAUUUUAAUGUGCUGUAGGACACCAAUGUUUACAGUCAUUAAUGAGGAAUUCAAAAAAUUUAUUGCAAUAAAUUAAAUAUCUAUUUUAGUAUCAGAGUAAUGUUAUUUAGCUCCACUUGGAUUACAACUCCAAUUUAAGUGGCGUUAAUGUGAUAUUAAAUAAUAGGUAGAUUUAAAUAAAUAAUUUAAUUUCACAUAUCAUUCGACCUAAUAUUUAGCCCUAUCUUAAAUUGAGAUUGUAACCCUAGUGGGAUUGCACAGCAUUAUUCUCAGAACUAAUAUCAAACACAAAGUCAAAGGCAAGUAAGUGAAAGGAAGAUUAAAAGUUGAGACAGCGGAUUCUUAAUUUUCUAAAACAAAAUAUAUACUAAGAACAGCUGAGCUUCCAAUAUUAUUUUGACUGGACGCAUAUAAGUUUCACUAAAAUAAAUUGAAAAGAAUUUUCUGAGUAGAGCUUCCGAUUUGUGACAAAAAGUUGAAAGGAUAAUUUAUUGCGUAGGGAAGACUUCGAAUUUGUGCAGAACGUUUUGUGGAAAAUUUUUUAAUUUGUGCAGAACGUUGAUUAGGAAAUGGGGGAUUCGUUGAAAAUAAUAUAUUUGUCCACUUGCUCUCUACCUUUUCCACGCAAAUCAAACCUAAAUUUAGGAUUGAAAUAACCCCUCGUAUUUGACUUUUUAAUAUUAUAUGUCUGGUGUAGCUGUACAUAAAAAUUAAAGUGUUCUUGGUUGUUAAAACAAAUAUCAGAAAAAUAAAUUAAUUUGCAAGGUGAUAAUAGACGGGGGAGUUGGGGCCAGCGGGUCCUAAACUCCAGUGAAAUUUGAGAAAUUUUUUAUUUUUUAUUUUUUUUAAAGACUUCACUGAUUUCGAGUCUUGGUUUCGUGACUAAUCAGGAGGAUCAUGGACUAGGGGAUGUACUCAAUGCAUCACAAAGAGCUUAAUUAUUGCUUUGUAUAUAUUCUAAUUCUAAUAAUUUAAAAAUAUCCCAAUUUAAUAAUUUUGAGACGCUAAUUCACCUAACAGCCAAUUUACAUUUUGCAAAUAAUUUAGGAGCUAGAAUUGAGUCUUAGUCAAGAUCUAAAAUAUAAAAAGGAAAUUAGUUAUGUUGAAUUUUAGAGGGCUAAUUGCAGUUUUAAUUAUGCUACGAGGGGCAAGCACAUAGUACAAAGUCAAGACCUUACGCUGCAGCUGUACACAUUUAGGACAUUAAGUCAGCAUGUCCUUAUAAGCACAUGGGCAUAGUUUAUAUAUAGGACAGUGCACACAGCACGGUUCAUAGUCCUCUCAGAGUGGGGAGCUCGCGACAAUAAAAAAGAACCCCCCUCACCCCACAUGUGAGGGGGGCUGUGGGAGCUGCUGCACAGGCAGGUCAACCCUCAUUUAUAAAAAGGUUGAACCCCAACCUUAGGGGCCCCCACCGACCCUGCCCUGGACCAUCGUGGAGGAGGUAAAUCGCAGGAUGUGCCUUCCAGGAGCCAGGGUGGAGAGCACAUGGAUAGGCCAAGGCUGUUAACCCAUAUGGUAACUCCCGCUUGCAACAAAGCCAAUUCCACCUUGCGGGGAAUCGAACUCUGCACACUGCCGCGCUGAGCCCUAUCCGCCCUCCCCUUUGCCACUGGGAGAUAUGCCCUGGGGGCAUGGUCAACCCUCAUUUAUAAGUUUUGAUAGCUUUUGUUAAGCUUAAAACGAAAUAAAAUUUACUAAUAAGAUUUUAUUUCAGAUAUAAAUUUAAACUUAACUUUCAUACUUAGCUGAACAUAUUUUUAAGUUUUAAAAUAACUAAUUUUUUAUUAACUACGAAAAUAAUUAAGUUGUUUGUUUUAAAAAGAAACCUCAAUCUCUUAUUUCAAAACAGGUUGUUAUAUCUGAAAAAGAAGAAAACUAUUUAUUAGAAAUAAAAAUUGAUUGUGAUAUUAGAGAGUUGAUGCAUGGUUAAUUUGAUUUCUGCUGAAUUCUAUUAUUUGUGGAAAUUUAACGGAGAAUUUUCGUUUAAGUUUACCGUUUGAAGUUGACCCACGUAUUAAGCCAAGUUAGGUGGGGCUAAUGUUAUAUUAGUGGCUACCAAAUUUGGUUAUGUAUAUGAAUUAUAAUCUCCCAAGAUUCCAAACAUUUGAUUGAGGUAUCAAGUUAAAGCCAGUUUUCUCAAGUGGCCAAGUUAGGGUUAUUAUUUUAAAUCUUCGAUAAUUUUAAAACGAGUUGAACAUUCAGAUUAAACUGGUCAAAUACAGUUUUUAUCUUCACAAUUUAUAGACUCAUAAAUUAUUAUUCGCUUUUUUAUCUACAUCUUUUAUGGGAUUGUUAUUUAAAUUAUUAUUUUAACAGUAUUGAAUAAGCAAAAGAAGUUAAUGGUGGAAUUUUCAGCGAUAAUAAUUAAUUGGAUAUCCUCCGGAUGCAGAUCGAUUUGGUGGGGCAGUGAAUUAGAAAUUAAUCGAGUGUGUGUAAAAAAUUAAAGAGACAAAGAGGAAUUAACAUACGAUAAUAUUAAAAUUUGAGGUUUCAUCCUAAGACGUCAUCUUGUUAAUAUUUGAUCCCCGUUUUUGAGCUCAUUUUAAUGAAUUUUUUUUUUUGUUUUUUUGGGUACAAAAUCUCAUUAAUCUACAGUGAAAAACGAAUAAAAAAUGCAAAAGUUGAACCUAUUUUGCGAUAUUUUAAUUUGCCUUUAUUGGACGUUGGAUAUUGUUUGGACUCAUUUACCCUCAUCUAACCAAGUCUAUUGACAUCGUUACUAGCACCCGAGACAUAUUACAGUUGUGCAAAGGAUAGAAGUGAGAUAGUCUCAGCCUUAUUGAUAGCCACAGUGUGAGGGUUCGAUUUCUGAAAUAUGAAAUUGAACUCUUUGUGAGCAUCAGUGUACGGGUAAGCUCUUGUUCUUUGGCCUAUUGGGACACAUCUCGCAAUUUAUCUCUUUCACGAUACUCCAGAGGCCAGGAGAUUAGGACCCUUAAGAUUGUGAAUCAACAUUUUUUUUUUUUUUAUUGAGACCAUUACAAAUGUCAAUAAAAUUGGGAGAAUAAUAUUUGGACCACUGUAUGGAAAAGUCAAAAAGUGGUAGCCUUAUCGGUUGGAAUGAUGCAACUAUUUCGUACAUGUGGAACACAAAUUAUGAAAAUGAGAUUGAAAAAGUUGGAAAGAAUGUGGGCGAAGCACACACCGGCUUGGUCCCAUUAUUUUUUCAUUAAAAUGAAGAAUAUAAUUGUUAUCUAUCAUAUUAAAUUACCAAAUUUAAAUUUCUAUCUCUUGUGUGGAGCUCGUAAUAGCUAUAUUUUUCAUUCUCAUUCUUCAAAAAAUGAGAAACAAACAUGGACUACGAUUUGAUUGUGCAGUGAGAUUUGCUCGAGGACACUAAUGUUUACAGUCAUUAAUGAGGAGUUCGAAAAAUUUAUCGCGAUAAAUUAAAUAUAUAAUUUAGUACUAGAGUAAAGCUAUUUAGCUCAACUUGGAUUACAAUCCCAGUUUAAGUGACGUUAACGUAACAUUAAAUAAUAUGUGGAAUUAAACAAGUAAUUUAAUUUCAUAUUUCAUUCAACCUAUUAUUUAGUGCUAUAUAAAUUGAGAUUAUAAUUUCAGUGGAGUUAUACAGCAUUAUUUUCAGUACUAUUACCAAACACAAAGUCGAAGGCAAGUAAGUCACAGGAAGAUUAAAAGUCGAGACGAAAUUCUUAAAUUUUUAAAACACAAUAUAUAGUAAUAACAGUUGAGCUCCCAAUAUUAUUUUGACAAGACACAUAUAUGUUUUACUAAAAUAAAUUGAAAAGAAUUUUGUGAGUAGAACUUUCAAUUUGUGACAAAAAGUUGAAACGAUGACUUACUGUGGACGGAAAACUUCAAAUUUUUAUAGAACGUUUUGAGAAAAAUUUAUUAAUUUGCUAGUUGAUUAGAAAAUGGGGGAUUCGUCGAAAACAAUAUAUUUGUGCACUUACUUUCAGCUCUCAACCUAUUCCACGCAAAUCAAACCUUAAUUCAGGAUUGAAAUAACCCCUCGUGACUAGAAUUUUGCAUAGUAAUUGGUUGUUAAAAUGAGAUUCGAUUUAUCAUAGUAAAGUAAGUACUAUUAUAUAUGCUUAAGAAAUUUGCAAGGUGAUAAUCAAGAGCAAGGACGGGGGAGGUGGGGCUGGCCGGUGGGGCCGGCCAGUGGGUCCUAACCUCCAGUGAAAUUUGAGAAAUUAUUUUUUUAUUUUUUGUUUUUAAAAAAAUUCAUUAGUUAAAUUAGACUUCACUGAUUUCGAGUCUUGGUUUCGAGACUAAUCACUGGGGGAUGUAGUCAAUCCAUCACAAAGAGCUUAAUCAUUGCUUUGUAUAUAUUCUAAUAAUUUAAAAAUUAGUUAUGUUGAAUUUAGAGGGCUAAUUGCAUUUUUAAUUUUGACACGAGGGGAAAGCACAUGGACUUUAAAAAGUCAAGAUCUUGCGCUGUAGCUGUACUCCUUUAAUCAUUGCUUUGUAUAUAUAUUCUAAUAAUUUAAAAAUUAGUUAUGUUGAAUUUAGAGGGCUAAUUGCAUUUUUAAUUUUGACACGAGGGGAAAGCACAUGGACUUUAAAAAGUCAAGAUCUUGCGCUGUAGCUGUACUCCUUUUAGGCCAUUAUCGCUAUGAUUGGUAGACGUAACUCAAUAACGUCAGCAUGUUAUAUUGCUCCCGUUUUUAGCUCCUAUUAAUUUUCAUUCCAUUAUAUCCUAUUUUUUGCCCUUUUAUUUUCAACAACACAAUUUUUUAUAAAAAAAUAUUACAUGUAAAUCGUAAAUUUUUUUUUUCAAUCACUCAUUUUUCAAAAAAACACUACUCUACCCAUUUUUAUUUCCAAAAAAUGGGGGCACACUUUCCAUUCCACUAGAAUGAGAAACAUGACUGUUGCAGCCUCAGCCGAGUCCCACACAUGAAAGAAGAUAUCAACAAUUGAGGUUGGAAAUGAUUGAUAACAGUACAAUUUUUUAUUUUUUAUUUUUAUUUUCAUAUCUUAUACCUAACUUCUUGCAUAUAUUAUUAGCGCAUGAUUGGGUGAGCCUAAAAAAAAAAAAAAAAAUUAUUUGCAACUUAGUUUAUUUAUAAGUUUUGAGAGCUUUUGUUAAGCUUAAAACGAAAUAAAAUUUACUAAUAAGAUUUUAUUUCAGAUAUAAAUUUAAACUUAACUUUCAUACUUAGCCGAACAUAUUUUUAAGUUUUAAAAUGACUAAAUUUUUAUUAUCUAUGAAAGUAAUUAAGUUAUUUGUUUUAAAAAGAAACUUCAGUCUGUUAUUUCAAAACAAGUUAUUAUAUCUGAAAAAGAAGUAAUCUAUUUAUUAGAAAUAAAAAUUGACUGUGAAGCCCAUUUGGAGAAUCCCCAAAUCAGAUAGCCCAAAGAACGAAGUCCAACCAAAACAAAUCAAGACGAAGGCCCAAAUAGGGAGGCCCAAGAACGCGGUAACGCCAUCACCCAAGUUUGCAAGUCGCCCAGAAUCUGAGCGAAUGGAGUGCUAUACAGUCGCCCAAGGUCUUAACAAACAUAAAGCGUCGUGGUUAUUAAGAAGUGCAGUUAUCAAAACAGUUGUUAAAGCAGCCAUAUCACGUUUCACGAUUCAAGGAAUUGAAUCAAAGCGGUUGAACGAUGAAGAGUAAUGGCAGCAUUUAAAAAAUACAGUUUUCAUGACAAGUUGGCCAUUACGAGGGAAGUGGGAAGUGAUAGGACGAUUAAGCAGUUUUUAGGCGGUUGAUCACAAAGAGAUCGUCCAUGAAGUAUAAAAGGGAGAAAAAACAUAGAGCAAAGGACCGAAUCCAAAACUCUCGAACAGAGAACAUGUAAUUUUAAUUUCCUUAGUUUUUAAAUUUAAACAUUUUUCUUUCAGUAACUCGUGUGCUUGCGCCCCUUGGAGGCACUUUGUUUUUCAUUUCCAAUUGUAAAGUCAUCGCCAAUAAAAGAAUACCCCUUUUUGGGACUUUGUCUCAAGAGGUUUUGUCCCUUACACAAUCGUCUGAUCCUUUUUAAUUUUUAGCGAAUAACACGUGCGAAACAAUUUGGCACGCCCAGUAGGACCGUGGUGUUAGGUGUUGAAAGUACAAAAGGUGAAACAAGAUGCCUCAGAGAUCCGAUAAGGAAGCAGCAAGUCAGGGAGGAAUCCAGUCUGUGAUCGAGCAAUAUGAGGAGCAGCAUGCCUCUCCACGAACAGAUGGACAGAAUCAGAGUAGUAACAGUCGUUACGAACCAAUGACGGAGUUGAGUUCUCGAACCAUGCGUGCAUUACUUGGAGAACUCACGCAAGACGUCGUUAAACAGGUAAAUCUUCGAAGUAUUCAUAAUAUGGAAAGAUUUACNNNNNNNNNNNNNNNNNNNNNNNNNNNNNNNNNNNNNNNNNNNNNNNNNNNNNNNNNNNNNNNNNNNNNNNNNNNNNNNNNNNNNNNAAUAAGUUAGUAGGCCAAAUAUGUCAACCGGCUAUACCUCUUACAAACCACUUUCAAACUAGGACAAUUGUGGGACAUAAUCCCUCGGUCCUAAAUCCGAAUCAAGGGGUAGAACCGCUUUCUGGUCCUUCUACUUCAAACCAAGGGGAUACUACAGUGCCAAAUCAGAACAAUGGUAGUAGUAUGCCUAAAUUGGGGGGUAAUCCAAACAUAAGAGAUAAUGUCCUGAACAAUGGACAGAAUAUUCCACGUAUGAUGGCUUUUGGGGUGCGUCCCGUCAUUAGGCCGACGUACACAAAGUCAUAUCCUGAUUGGGUAGACCAAGCAUAUCCAUGGCCUAGAGGGUACAAAGUGCCAGAAUUCUCACUGUUUACCGGUUUAGGAGAGGUGUCUACUCUAGAACACAUAGGGCAAUUCACAUUGCAAAGUGGUGAUGUAACCGAUUACCAUAAAAUGAGAUUUUUUCCUAGUUCGUUAGCAGGAGUAGCUUUCUCCUGAUUCAUCAACUUGCCAACUAAUUCUGUUCAAACAUGGCAACAAUUGGAACAGUUGUUUCGCGCUCAGUUUUAUAAAACUGAGUCUGAAGUCACUUUGGCUGAUUUGGCGAACCUACGUCAAAUGCCAAACGAAUGGGUAGAAAGUUUUCUCCAAAGGUUCAAGACAGCAAGAAGCAAAUGUUUUGUACCUCUGCCCGAAAAAGAAUUUGUCAAAAUCGCUCAGGGCUGCUUGAGCUUUGAUUUAAAAAAGAAAUUCCAGAACAAAGAAUUUCCUGACCUUUUCCAGUUGAGUGCGAAUGUGAUUAGGUAUGAGCGACUGAUAAGAGAGGAAGAACAAAUGAAAAAUUCUAGUAAAGGGACUUAUUACAAAGACCCAAAUUUUGACGUUCAUACCAUUGACGACGAGUCAUACGAUCAGGCCGAAAUGUGUUUGGCCGAAUUGGUCAAAGGGAAUACUUAUACUUGUCCUAUAAUGGCCAAGCCUAGACCAUCGAGCAAAGAUGAGCCCAUAAAAGAUGGAAACAUAAAGGCUAGAACGUUCUCGUUCGACGUGACCAAAGCUGACCUUAUAUUUGAUAAAUUAUAUAGAGACAAGCAGAUAAAAUUGAGCGAUAAGCACAAAUUGCCAAAUCCUGAACAAAUUAAGGUAAAAAAUAUUGUAAGUGGCAUAAUGCAUGGUCACAUUUGACUAACAAUUGCUUGGUUUUCCGCCAUGUAUUGCAGGAUGCCAUUGAAUCAAGACGAAUUACGUUCGAUGAUAAGAAAAAGAUGGCAGUGGAUGAAAAUCCUUUCCUACAGCCACUUGGAUAAACAUGGUGACGUCUGGAUUUAAAAACAAGUUGCCAAAAUUCAAAUUGGUCGUAGAUGAUGGAGAAAAGGAUCCUAGACCACAUCCCAGCGUCUUUGAACGAAUCAAGGGAAAAGAACCAAAAAAGGACGAAGACGUCCUGUGUGCAAGGUGUAGAAGAGAAGUGAAUGGAAAUACGGAGAAAACAGGAACAUGGCAGCAUCCUUAUCGCCCUACCUUCUUCCCAAACACUCAGCCUGGUAGAGGGCUAGGUACAUCAUUCUAUAGAGGACCGCCUUUUGAGAGGCAGUUUAGGCCAGCAGAUAAUGGAAGAACAUUCAGGCCGCAACCUUGCCGGCCAAAUGUAUGGCAUUCAUUCCAGUACAAUGCAGGAAGGACAAUACCCUUCGAUGAGAUGACUAGGACACUUCAAAGGCGUUUCCAACGAAACUACAAAUGGAUGAUGAGGCAGCAACAGGGAGUGCCACAUCCUAAAGCGCCUAAACUACUCAAGGUAGCCAAUCAAAAUGUCCUCAAAGGUAGUAAAGAGACCGGUACAGAUAAAUCAAUGAAGAAACUGCCAGAAACUUCUUCUGGAAGAUCAAGGUUUGAGCGAGAAAGAAGGGAUGAAGAAGAUCCAGAUCAGCCCCUAACUAUCCAAUUCGGUACGUUGCCUCCUGUCGUGGCCAAUGAAUUCAAGAAUAAAGAAAAAGAAGAAAAGAGGGAGGAUAACGCAGGAGAAGCUUGUGUGUUGGUAUGUAAAGAAGGCCAGACUUCUAGAGAGGCCUACAACGACAAGGAGGACGAUGGGACGACAGACAUUGAAGAAGAAAUCGACCUAGAAGCAAAAAGAAGAAAGAGAGGAGUAUCGCGCAAUAUUCUGUUUAAGCAACUACAUCAAGAGGGAGUUCGCGAAGUAGACUUGUUGAGGGAACCAUCUGGGCCUCCUUUCAAUUUCUACGUACUGUACGGGACACCCAAAAGGAAGAAGAGAGUGCCUCGCUCUGAAAAGUAUGGGUCACCUCCAAGAAUAAUGCCCCCCCACAGGUUGGGUAACUGAUGAGGAAGCAUUAGAAAGAAGUAGGAAGGAAGUUCAGGAGACAGAGGAUCAACGUGAUAUACUGCACGUCGACUUAUCACAGGGGGAUAAUUCGACAGAAAACAAGCAGGAAGUGGAAAUAGAGGCUGCCGAAAAGGUUAUUUUUAAACGGCCAGCUAUGAAAUUGACUAAACACUUGAUGCCAUUAUACGUUAAAGCUCUAGUUAACGGCGUCCCAGUGGCAAAAGUGCUUGUCGACAAUGGAGCUGCUAUAAACACCAUUCCAUCUAGGAUGAUGAGGAAGUUCGCAAAGAUAGAGGGUGACAUGAUUCCUACAGAAGUUAUCCUCACUAGCUUCAAUGGAGGAGCAACUUCAGCUAAGGGAGUUAUGCCAUUGGACAUAACUAUAGGGACGACUACUAGGACCACUGUUUUCUUUGUAAUAGAUGGUCCUACUAGUUACAAUGUGCUACUAGGAAGAGAUUGGAUACACAGAAGUCGCUGUAUACCCUCAUCGCUCCAUCAAUGCCUAAUCUUUUAGAAUAACAAAGGCGAAGCAGAGGUGGUACAAGCUGAUCAUAGGCCUUUUGUCGCAGAAGCAAAUUCGGUGGACAAGUUCAUGUACGAAGGAAACUAUGGACCUGUCAGGGUAGUACAAGAUGGAGAAUAAACUCAAGUUGUCGCGCAAAGCGAAUAACCGUUCUCAGUGGAUGCACUCACUGAAAUAUUCAAACAGAUGAGGCCAAAUAUAGUGGCCCUGGAAGAGCCAGUAAUUGGCAAAAGAAUAAUUAAGGAGUCUUGAAUGGACUUUAAGUUACAAAAGCAAAUGGCCGACAUUCAGGCCUUCAAAGCCAGACUGAUGGCUUUCAAUAAGGAAUGCAAUGACAAGGUGAAGGAAGAAAUAGCCCUAAAAGCGCUGAAGGACAAGUUGGCAGUAUUCGAGUUAGAGCAAAGCAUUGGCCGAGAAGUCAACAAGGUGGAGUGUUUACAAGAGGAAGUACUUACAAGGGAACUGGACGACGAAGUAAUGCGGAUCGCCAAAUCGGGAUACGCUCAAGCACAAGACCCUCUGAUCAAAGUAAAUAUUGACAAUGAAGGAGAAGAUCACCCAACGUUCAUCAGCCAAAUGCUCGGCCAAAAGGUUAGUAACAAAUUAAUCGCUUUGCUAAAAGAGUACAAAGAUUGUUUUGCUUGGGAAUAUGAACAAAUGCCUGGUUUAGAUAGAGACUUGGUGGAACAUAGGUUACCAACUAAGCCUAACUUUAAACCUCAUAGGCAGCCUCUUAGACGUUUUGCUCCCAAUGUACUCCCUGAAAUCAAGAAAGAGAUAGAGCGAUUAUUGAAAGCAGGUUUUAUAAGAACAACCAGAUAUGUUGAAUGGUUGUCGAAUAUCGUGCCAAUACUAAAAAAUAAUGGUAAAUUAAGGGUGUGUAUAGACUUUAGGAAUUUAAACUUAGCUACACCCAAAGAUGAGUAUCCAAUGCCCACGGUGGAUUCUUUAGUAGAUUCGACUGCCGGACAUCUCAUGUAUUCUUUCAUGGAUGGGUAUUCAGGAUACAAUCAAAUUUACAUAGCUGAAGAAGACAUACACAAAACUGCCUUUAGAUGCCCUGGGUCUCUAGGAUGUUUCGAAUGGGUGGUUAUGCCUUUCGGCCUAAAAAAUGCAGGGGCAACUUUUCAACGGGCAAUGAAUUUAAUCUUUCAUGAUAUGAUAGGCAAGUUUGUUGAAGUAUAUGUAGAUGACAUAGUAGUCAAGUCCAUUAAAGAAGAGGACCAUUUCGAAUAGUUAAGAUGUUCGUUUGAGCAAUGAAGCAAUAUAAGCUAAAGUUGAAUCCCUUGAAGUGUGCAUUCGGUGUUAAUGCAGGGAAUUUUCUUGAUUUCUUAGUACAUAAGAAAGGGAUUGAACUUGAUAAAAAUAAAGCGAAGGCCAUUUUAGAGGCCAAACCACCUAGCAAUAAAAAAGAAUUGCAAAGGUUUUUAGGCCAAGUAAACUUUUUAAGACGCUUUAUUUCUAACUGUGCAGGGCGAACUAAAAUCUUUUCGCUGCUCUUAAAGCUGAAAAAUUAGGACGAAUUCGUCUGGAAAGAAGAACAUCAAAAGGCUUUUGAAAGCCUGAAGAUAUAUCUAUCAAGUCCACCAGUGUUGGUGUCACCAAUCCAAGGACGGCCAAUGAAAGUGUAUGUAUCGGCUGAAAAAGAAUUAAUAGCUGGAAUGGUCGCACAGGAAGACCAAUUUGGUGAAGAAAGGGCAAUUUACUAUUUAAGUAGACGGUUAACGAAAUGUGAAUGUAAUUACUCUGCUAUCGAAAAAUUAUGUCUUGCAUUGUAUUUCACAUGUACAAAAUUAAGGGCUUAUUUACGACCUGUAACCGUUUAUUUAAUUUCUAAAGUAAAUUUAGUUAAGUAUAUGUUCUCGCGCCCUAUUUUACACCAGGGUAGGCCUUUGGACACUAGCUUUAUCAGAAUUCGAAAUACAAUAUAUACCUCAAAAGGCAGUCAAAAACCAGGCUUUGGCUAACUUUCUAGCCGAUCAUCCAUGUCUUGACAUGCAUGAAGAAAUCAAACUAGAAAUCAAUUCGUUCGAGUUAAAACCUUGGGUGUUGUAUUUCGAUGGGUCAAAAACCUUUAAAGGUGCAGGAGUAGGAGUAGCAUUGAUUAAUCCUUUAAGGAUUUGCUACAAUUUCGCAUUCACUUUAGACAGAAUGUGCACCAACAAUCAGGCUAAAUAUGAAACCUUAAUUGUAGGCCUAGAACUAAUGAUAGAUAUGGGAGUAAGAAAUGUGAUCGUUAGGGGCGAUUCUCAAUUAGUGAUCCAUCAAUUGAUCGGUGAUUUUAAAUGCCAAAGUGAUUCCAUUAUAAGUCAAUAUGAGAUCGCCCAAGAAUUAUUAGAAGAAUUCGAUCAAGUAGAACUUCAAUGCGUUAAUAGGAUAUAUAACGACGUGGCAAAUGAGUUAUCCCAAAUGGCCUCAGGGUAUUCAAAGGUUUUGAAUUGGAAGUCUACUUGUGAGUAUGGAAUCAUAUUGCCCGUGACUCAAAGAAGGGCAAGAAAAAUUGAACUUCACUGCAUAUAAGAUGGAGACGCAGUGGAUUGGAGAACAGAGAUUAAAGGGUUCCUUAAAGAACCUAAUGGAGGGAUUAGUAGGAAAAUGAAGCUGUGUUUACUGAACUACACACUAAUAGAUGAAGAGUUGUUUAAGAAACGCCCUGAUGGUGUAUUACUAAAGUGUGUAAGUUUGCAAGAAGCCAAGACGAUUAUUGCUGAGGUGCACGAAGGGAUAUGUGGAGCUCAUCAAGCUGGCCAAAUGAUGAGAUGGUUAAUUAUUAAGAGUGGAUAUUUUUUGCCAUGGGAGAACUAUGCGUUCGUAUGCAAAGAGUUGUUUAGCAUGCCAAAAACAUGGUUCAAUACAAAGGGCGCCAGCACGAGAGAUGGCACCUAUUAUUAAACAUUGGCCGUUCAAGGGUUGGGCGAUAGAUCUGAUAGGGAAGAUUUAUCCCCCAUCGUCCAAGCAACAUACUUUUGUUAUAGUUGCAAUCGACUAUUUCACCAAAUGGGUAGAGGCGGUACCUUUGAAAGAGAUCACCCAGAAGAAUGUUAUAGAGUUUAUCCGUGAUCACGUUAUUUAUAGGUUUGGAAUUCCACAAACGUUAAUGGUAGAUCACGGAACAUCUUUGAAUGGGGAUCAAGUGAACAAAUUUUUGAGCGAGUUUGGGGUUAAAUUAGUAAACUCCACACCAUACUACGCUCAAUCCAACGAACAAGUGGAAUCUUCUAAUAAGAUUCUAAAAAAUAUCAUCAGAAAGAUGAUAGAUGAAAAUGCCAGAAAUUGGCACGAAUGUCUGAACAAGGCCUUAUGGGCUUAUAGAACAUCACCUCGGUCAAGUACCAAAGUUACUCCUUUCCAACUUGUUUAUGGACAGGAGGCCGUAUUGCCUAUGAAAAUCAACGUACAAUCGAUUAGAGUGUGCUUGCAACAUAAGUUGAAUGAUGAUGAGUAUGCCGAAUCACUAGUUCAAAAUUUAUUGGGUUUAGACGAAUUAAAGUUGGACGUCUUAGAUAAAUUGCAUCUUAUAAAGCAAAUAAUGGCUAAGUUUUAUAAUAAAAAAGUCAUAGCUAAGUCGUUCAGCCUAGGUGAACUAGUUUGGAAGACGAUACUCCCUUUGGAUAACAAGGAUCCAAAGUACGGGAAGUGGUCGCCCAAUUGGGAAGGACCAUACAAAAUAAACAGUGUGUUGCCCAAUGGAGCGUAUCACUUGGAAGAUUUAGAUGACACCAAGCACGUGAGAUUCAUUAACGGAAAAUAUUUGAAAAAAUAUGUUCCUUCUUUAUGAGAAUGUGAACAGAUAAAAUCAUAAUCAAAUAUGUUGAACGAUUAAAGGAUAACAAGGUCAGAGCGAAAUACGUUCAAAUGAAGUCUUUUAUUAUCAAACGUUCAUUACAAAAAUGCAAAAGUACAAUUAAUGGAUGCUCUACAAAAUAAAAUUAAAAGUAAGCCAAUCUCCCGGUUGAUCGCUGAGUAAGCCUCACACCGCCUUCCUAAAUGCAUCGCUGCAAUGGUGGGAUCGCCGAAUAAGAGGGUGGACUGGCCUCACCACCUUCCUAAAUGCAUCGCUGCAAUGACGAGCAAAGAGGCUGAGAAGCACUCUCAGCAAGCAAAGUGGCCCGCAAGCAGCCCAAAAAUUGUCUUCUAUCAUCGACUCCUUGUAAAGGACAAAGAGACGAUGGGAAGAACUUUGAUGGUAAAAAUUUUGCUGCUAGCCAGAAAAUAUUUCCUAUACCUCCCACACCAAAGGUGACAUCAAGGUAAAUAGUAAAAUGGGCGGACUUAACAGUCCAUUUUGGUUCGGAUUGAUUGUCAGAAUACCAAACAAUGGCAGCAAAUUAGUUUCGAAGAAGAAAAUGAAGAGAUGAAGAUAGAAGAUGGAAAAUACGAAGCAUUUAUAGGGGGGUGAAGAUGAAGAGACAGAAUAUGAACAGCCACAUUUCUGCCUAAUAAACGGAAUUAAAUAGCCCAAUGUUUUGGGAAAAGUGGUGGAAAUAUCAAAAGAAAAUGGACAAGAUUUUUAGCACAAAGCAGUUAAAUGCUUAAAGAAUUGACGACUAAAAAACAAACGUCAAAUAAAUGCACAAGAAGUUAAUGUUCAUUAAUGAUGAACAAAAUUACAAAGGGAAAAAUCAAAUUACAAAAGAAAAAAAAGACAUCAUAUGUCUUAAUUACAGUCCACCCCAUACUGAACGUCCCCUAAGUUUUUCCCAAUCCUCGUUCUGCCGAGAGGAAGUGAUGUUCAAUUCAGCCGCGACAUCAUCAUCAACUUCCAACUUCUUGUAUUGCUCGACCAAGGACUUAGUUCGCUCAAUUCCCUGGGAGGCGUUGCGCUUUUUAGCAGCCAUUCUCGCCCUGCAGUCGUCCAUUUUGGCUUGAAAUUCCUUCAUCUGAGCAGCCAAAUUAUCCAUCAAAGAGUCUUCAACCAUGACUUCGGAAGAGAUUUCUUUCAACUCGUCCUCAGCCUUGUUAAUCUCCAUACGCAAAGACUCUUUCUCAGCUACGGCUCGAAGAUAUUGAGUACUUUUGGCCUUUAGUUCAGCAUUCUUGGCCAACAAAGAAAGGACUUCGGAGUGGAUAACCUUCAACGUCGCUUUAAAGUCGGCAGAAAGAUUGAGCGACGGAAGCGUAAGUGCUUGCUCCAACUUCGCACUCAAGUGCUCAAGUUUAUCCUUGUGUCUGGCAGCACUAGCCCUUCCAAUAUCCAUAUCCAUGAAGGAUACGUACUCAAAUAUCGACUCCUUGAGGAACUUCAAAUCUUCCUCUGAAGAAGCAGUAGGACGAUCAGAUGGAGCAGGGCGAGACGUCUGGACUUGCCCCCAGGAAGCGAAUAAGUCUUGGAUAGAACGCACAAUUUUAUCAGCAUCCUACAAAGAAAAUUGCCAAUAUUAAAGAUCCUCACUACAACGAACAAGAUGGAAAUAGAAGUGAAGCAAAGACUACCUCAUCAACAAUCGUAGAAGAUGGCAUGCCCUUAGCCAAGCUUGCCACCAACGACUCCUCCAUUCGUGAGGACUUCCCCUUGUCUGAGCGAGAAGAUGUUGCCAUAACGGACGGACUCAUAGGAGUAUCUGCAAAACUCAACAGCAACGAAUCAGAAACCAACAGCCCAAGCAAAGGUAAGACAUCAAAAGACUGAAUUACCUUCUGCUUCAAUGUUUAGGGGGUUGACGCCCUAGUACGAAGGUGGUUCAUCCAUGGGUUGUGAUGAGGACUACGGGACUGAAGAUGUCUCUUUAAGCGUAGCCCCCUCAUCAACCGGUUUGGAUGAAGUAGCCUCAGCAGAGGAUGAUGGAGCAGGAGCUGUCGAUGCCAAAGCCUUUGAAGGAGAGGCUGAGCUUUUCUGAGAAGUCCAAAAGAUCAUCAGCACACAGAAAAGUUUCAAGUGUGGAAAAGUAUACUUGUGAGUAAACCAAUUUAAUUACCUUCCUCCUGAUGAUAAGAGGGGCAUCAUCAUCAUCAUCAACAUCAUCCUCCAGAAUGGGAGAUGCUGAGGUGGGCCGUUAACGGCUUGGGGCAUUCUUGGCCGUAGUAGGCUUGGCAGGGAGAGAAGAAGAUGGACGAGCAGACUGUUUAAUGCGACGAGAAGGAGAACAAGGAAGUGACUAAAACAGGAGGAAGGGAAGAAAUGCUCGGUUGGUCUAAUGAAUGAAAGGCACGAUUGGCGUCAGUCACAAAUAAUCUGCGCUUCACUGACGGCCAGAGCUGUUCAAAAAGAGGGUGAAUGGGGUGGCUAGAAUUGAAAGGGGCUAAUGAAAAAUGGCUGGUUAAAAGAAGAUUACGAGCAUUUAUAGCCUCUACCUCCGCCUUAUUAAUGGUAUAAAAACGAUCAACUAAGUUCCUUGAAUAACAAGGAGGAACAGGCUAAGUUUGGCCAAAACCAAGCUGACGAGCAAAGAAUUAGGGAGCAUAAAUUUCUACCCCCGCCUUGGCAUUGGUCCCAGUUAGAAUAUCAUGAAAUAGCUCCCUCCCGGUUAAAAACUGGAUCCAAAUGAGCAGGGAGGUGCUCGCGUUAUCUAUAGUGGAAAGGGGAUGUACAUAGUUUGGAGUCAAAAAAGGAGGAAAAGGAAAAAAGGAAGGGAUUGAAUCCAAAGAAUAAAAGAAUGAAAAAAUGUCCCUUCUGGACAUAUUUACAGGAGCUAAGGGCUCCAUGGCUAGCCCAUAACAGCUAGCAGAGGAGCGAGAGAUUGAUGGAGCACCAAGCAAUAGAAAAUAGGAUCUCAACCACAGUUGAGUGAACCAAAGAGGUCCACUGCCAGUGGGGGAUGCACUAUUCUUCAAUUGAGCUUGAAGAGAGGCCAUGCCUCUAUAAAGGGCAGCCAAAAACAAAGAACAUAAAUUCAAAGGCCUGCCACGCGCCAAUUCGUGCGCUAUAGGUAAAUAACUCAGGGAGGGCUUUAUGCUUGGCACACACAAAACAUAUUUACAAAGCCAAACUAGAAGGAAGGCCACUCGCUCAGUAUGGGAAGGCUCAGCGCUCGAAUGAUUGUGAAGGGUUUGUAGGCUUGAAUAAGAAUCGGUAUAGUUUUUACCAAACUUUGGGGUGCCACCAGAAACCAAGAUACCAGGAAAAAUGGUAUCGCCCAAAGGUGGUAGAUUCACCAGGGCCCCAACAUCCCUUAAGGUAAUAGACAUGGGGCCAAGAGGAAAAAUAAAGGUGUUAUACUCAGGGGACCAAAAACUCAAAGCAAUCGAAAAUAGUGCUGAAUCAAAAGUAGGGGGGCGAAUAGAGAUUUCUAACAAAUCAGAAAUUCUAGUGCUAUCAAAAAGUGCCUUAGUAGGACCAUGACCUACAAGGCGAGCAUGCCACCUACGGAAAGCUACAUCAGAUUUAGGCCAAGUGCGAAUACCUCUUUCGCGAAGUGGCCCCAAUGGUAGAGAGUUCAGAAAUGGAGGGCCUUGAGUGCAAGGAAAUAGCUGACCCACUGCCACCUGUUCAACUGCCUCUACAUUGUUGAAGAAAGGACCCAAGUAGAACUCAUUACGUUCAACGUCGACGGGCGCGAGAAAACUUGGAGUUAUGUAUGGGCGACUCAGAAGUUUCUGAAAGUCAUCAAAACUAAAGGAGUCGCCAGCUUGAGAUUGUGAAGCAGACAUUUGAGAAGGAAUGAAGUUUUCAGGGUUACGUAGCAGGGAAGCAAAAGAUGAAUAAUAAAUCGUGAGAGACACGCAAAUAAUUUGAGGCGUAGUUUAAUAGUGCAGUGAAAUGGCGUGUUUGGGGUUUAUAAGGGUUUGCAAAACGACGCACCUUUUCAAGUUAUAAAAGAAAACAAUGAUUGAAAUUCUUAGGAAUUUCGAAUGUUGCUGGAAACACAAAGUGAAUAUGACAAAAUUUAAUAAUUAUUAUUAAUUCUGCCAUAUUGGGGAGUAAUUGUUGACACAUAAAAAUUCAGCCCAAAUCGAACAGCCCAAGGAGUGAAGCCCAAUCGAAGGGUCCCCAAAUCAGAUAGCCCAAAGAACGAAGCCAAUCAAACAAAUCAAGAUAAAGGCCCAAAUAGGGAGGCCCAAGAACGCGGUAACACCAUCGUCCAAGAUUGCAAGUCGCCCAGAAUCUGAGCGAAUGGAGUGUCAUACAGUCGCCCAGAGCUGUUACUCUAUUCUCGCCCAAACUUUCAAGUCGCCCAAGGUCUUAACAAACAUAAAGUGUCGUGGUCAUCAAGAAGUGCAGUUAUCAAAGUAGUUAUUUAAAGCAGCCCCAUCACGUUUCACGAUUCAAGGAAUUCAAUCAAAAGCUGUUGAACGAUGAAGAGUAAUGACAGCAGUUAAAAAAGGCAGUUUUCAUGACAAGUUGGCCAUUACGAAGAAAGUGGGCAGUUAUAGGACGAUCAAGCGAUUUUUAGGGCGGUUGAUCACAAAGAGAUCGUCCAUGAAGUAUAAAAGGGAGAAAGGACAUAGAAGCAAAGGACCGAAUCCAAAACUCUCGAACAGAGAACGUGUAAUUUUAAUUGCCUUAGUUUUUAAACUUAAACACUUUUCUUUCAGUAACUCGUAUGCUUGCACCCCUUGGAGGCACUUUGUUUUUCAUUUCCAAUUGUAAAGUCAUCGCCAAUAAAAGAACACCCCUUUUUGGGACUUUGUCUCAAGAGGUUUUGUCUCUUACACAAUCGUCUGAUUCUUUUUAAUUGUUAACGAAUAACCCGCACGGAACAUCAUCAUCAUCAUCAUCAACAUCAUCCUCCAGAAUGGGAGAUGCUGAGGUGGGCCGUUUGCGGCUUGGGGCAUUCUUGGCCGUAGUAGGCUUGGCAGGGAGAGAAGAAGAUGGACGAGCAGACUGUUUAAUGCGACGAGAAGGAGAAGGACUCCGAAUGGACAAGGAAGUGACUAAAACAGGAGGAAGGGAAGAAAUGCUCGGUUGGUCUAAUGAAUGAAAGGCACGAUUGGCGUCAGUCACAAAUAAUCUGCGCUUCACUGACGGCUAGAGCUGUUCAAAAAGAGGGUGAAUGGCGUGGCUAGAAUUGAAAGGGGCUAAUAAAAAAUGGCUGGUUAAAAGAAGAUUACGAGCAUCUAUAACCUCUGCCUCCGCCUUAUUAAUGGUAUAAAAAAGGUCAACUAAGUUCCUUGAAUAGCAAGGAGGAACAGGCCAAGUUUGGCCAAAACCAAGCUGACGAGCAAAGAAUUGGGGAGCAUAAAUUUCUACCCCGCCUUGGCAUUGGUCCCAGUUAGAAUAUCAUGAAAUAGCUCCCUCCCGGUUAAAAACUGGAUCCAAAUGAGCGGGGAGGUGCUCGCGCUAUCUAUAGUGGAAGGGGAAUGUACAUAGUUUGGAGUCAAAAAAGGAGGAAAAGGAAAAAAGGAAGGGAUUGAAUACAAAGAAUAAAAGAAUGAAAAAAUGUCCCUUCUGGACAUAUUUACAAGAGCUAAGGGCUCUAUGGCUAGCCCAUAACAGCUAGCAGAGGAGCGAGAGAUUGAUGGAGCACCAAGCAAUAGAAAAUAGGAUCUCAACCACAGUUGAGUGAACCAAAGAGGUCCACUGCCAGUGGGGGAUGCACUAUUCUUCAAUUGAGCUUGAAGAGAGGCCAUGCCUCUAUAAAGGGCAGCCAAAAACAAAGAACAUAAAUUCAAAGGCCUGUCACGCGUCAAUUCGUGUGCUAUAGGUAAAUAACUCAGGGAGGGCUUUAUGCUUGGCACACACAAAACAUAUUUACAAAGCCAAACUAGAAGGAAGGCCACUCGCUCAGUAUGGGAAGGCUCAGCGCUCGAAUGAUUGUGAAGGGUUUGCAGGCUUGAAUAAGAAUCGGUGUAGUUUUUACCAAACUUUGGCUUAGUAGGACCAUGACCCACAAGACGAGCAUGCCACCUACGGAAAGCUACAUCAGAUUUAGGCCAAGUGCGAAUACCUCUUUUGCGAAGUGGCCCCAGCGGUAGAGAGUUCAGAAAUGGAGGGCUUUGAGUGCAAGGAAACAGCUGACCCAUCGCCACCUGUUCAACUGCCUCUGCAUUGUUGAAGAAAGGACCCAAGUAGAACUCAUUACGUUCAACGUCGGCGGGCGCGAGAAAACUCGGAGUUAUGUAUGGGCGACUCAGAAGUUUCUGAAAGUCAUCAAAACUAAAGGAGUCGCCAGCUUGAGACUGUGAAGCAGCCAUUUGAGAAGGAACGAAGUUUUUCAGGGUUAUGUAACAGAGAAGCAAAAGAUAAAUAGUAAAUCGUGAGAGAGACGCACAUAAUUUGAGGCGUGGUUUAAUGGUGCAGUGAAAUGGCAUGUUUGGGGUUUAUAAGGGUUUGCAAAAUGAUGCACCUUUUCAAGUUAUAGAAGAAAACAAUUAUUGAAAUUCUUGGGAAUUUCGAAUGUUGUUGGAAAUACAAAGUGAAUAUGACAAAAUUUAAUAAUUAUUAUUAAUUCUGCCAUAUUGGGGGGUAAUUGUUGACACAUAAAAAUUCAGCCCAAAUCGAACGGCCCAAGGAGUAAAGCCCAAUUGGAGAAUCCCCAAAUCAGAUAGCCCAAAGAACAAAGCUCAACCAAAACAAAUCAAGACGAAGGCCCAAAUAGGGAGGCCCAAGAACGCGGUAACGCCAUCGCCCAAAAUCUGAGCGAAUGGAGUGCUAUACAGUCGCCCGGAGUUGUUACUCUAUUCUCGCCCAAACCUUCAAAUCGCCCAUGGUCUUAACAAACAUAAAGCGUCGUGGUUAUCAAGAAGUGCAGUUAUUAAAGCAGUUGUUAAAGCAGCCCUAUCACGUUCCACGAUUCAAGGAAUUGAAUCGAAAGCGGUUGAACGACGAAGAGUAAUGACAGCAGUUAAAAAAGGCAGUUUUUAUGACAAGUUGGCCAUUACGAGGGAAGUGGGAAGUUAUAGGACGAUUAAGCAGUUUUUAGGCGGUUGAUCACAAAGAGAUCGUCCAUGAAGUAUAAAAGGGAGAAAAGACAUAGAGCAAAUGACCGAAUCCAAAACUUUCGAACAGAGAACAUGUAAUCUUAAUUUCCUUAAUUUUUAAAUUUAAACACUUUUCUUUCAGUAACUCGUGUGCUUGCGCCCCUUGAAGGCACUUUGUUUUUCAUUUCUAAUUGUAAAGUCAUCGCCAAUAAAAGAACACCCCUUUUUGGGACUUUGUCUCAAGAGGUUUUGUCCCUUACACAAUCGUGUGAUCCUUUUUAAUUGUUAGCGAAUAACCCGCGCGAAACAAAUUCACAUAAGCACCUCAAGAAAAAGUGAACUGAAACAGUGAGAAAGCUUAAAAAUUAAGCUGAAAAAUGGCGAUUUCUAUUCCUGUUCUUGUUAUUGUCAUCUCACUUCACCUCAUAGCGUUCGUAUUUGCCGUCGGUGCUGAACGACGACGUAGCACGGUAGUCUCCAUUACUGCUUUUCGCGUUAUUAUUUAUUUGUUUUUCAGUUAAUUUUCUUGAAAGUAGUAAAUUUUUUAAGUGGGUUUGUGUUGACAGGCGACGGUGGUGCCCCAACCAGGAAUCGAACUCCCCACACUUGGUUCCAGAGCCCCCCAAUGUGAUUGUUCUGCCAACUUGGAUGUGCCCUGGGGGGCAAAACUGUGUAGGGUAAACUUUUUAAAGUGACUGGCCCCACCGCACUGCGGCCCCAUACUCCAGAAACCCCACCUCCGGCCUGGCCCUACGGGUUAGUAUACACCGCUUGGCCCUACACGUAUGGAGGGAUUUUUUUGGAGAGGCACAGUACCACCAUGCUGGUAAGAGGACUCGAACACGGAACCUCAGCCAGCAAUGCCAAUGUCCUUACCGCUAGAGCAAAUAGACAUCAGCGGCGUUUGGGCUGCUAUUGAUUAGCCAGACGGUGGUUAACGGCGUCACCAAGUGCUUGUGUUUUGGCAGAGGGAUGAUGGGUGGGGGCUCUACUACUUGUGCUAUUUUCUUCUUCAUUUUCUCAUGGUAAUUUCUGAAUUUACUCUAUUGUAAUUGUCGUUUCACUUUAUUUACCAUUUUGUGCCUUUUUUGACUGCUUUUAUGUUUUUACAUGAACUGGAUUCAAUAAUAUGAGUGUGACAUUGGGGUCGCAAACAGUUGUUUUGCAUGUGAUUAGAUGAUGACAAAUUUGAAUGUAGUAAUUAUUAGGUUUUUGUUUGAAUUAAGCUCCUUGAACAUAUCAAAUGUGCUUGGAUUUUUAUCUUAAACCCAGUUUUCUCAAGUGGCCAAGUUAGGGUUAUUAUUUUAAAUCUUCGAUAAUUUUAAAACGAGCUGAACAUUCAGAUUAAACUGGUCAAAUACAGUUUUUAUUUUCACAAUUUAUAGACUCAUAAAUUAUUAUUCGAUUUUUAUCUUCAUCUUUUAUGGGAUUGCUAUUUAAAUUAUUAUUUUAACAGUAUUGAAUAAGCAAAAGAAGUUAAUGGUGGAAUUUUCAGCGAUUAUUGGAGACAAAAAUUUUCCAUUUCGAAAUUGCAUCAAUAAUGCAUUAUGUUUUUCAUAAUAUACCGAUCAUAAUAAGAUAAACUACUUAAUGCUCUGUCGUGAAUGUGUACAUUUGGUGUUUCUGACUUUAAAAACAAGGUAUUUUCAUCCUUUUAAUUGUUAAAAUUACUUCUUCUUUUUUUAUCCACAAAACUUAUUUUCUAGUAGUAAAUUGCUUUAAUUUAUAUGGUAUAAAUAUAUUUGGCUGGGAUAAGGCUAUGUAAAGUCAAUAUGGAAUCAAUAUUUCAGUUCAAGAGGACCAGGCCAGUGGAAUAAAGUGUGAAAUGUUAAGAUUUGAUGUUUCUGCUCAAUCUUGUUAAGAGGAUUAGCACAAAAAACUUUUAAAUUGAUUUAUAUUCUCAUUUUUAUUCGAUAUGAGAUUUUAUCCCUUACCAUGCCGCACAAGAUGGUAGCUCAUUUAAGUAGACCAAUCUUGAAAUCUGUAUACUCAUUUAUUGAAACUUAAUCGGUUCGAAUCGUUAGUUGAAACUUAAUGAAUUCUGAUACCUUAUUAAAAUUUGGGAUUCUGUCAAUCUUGUUAAGAUGAAUGGUUCAAUAGCUUUUAAGUUGGUCUAUGUUUUCAUAUUUAUUCGAUGUGUGAUUUUAUCCAUUGACAUGAAACUUAUGUUGCUUCAGUACUCAGUAGUCGGUACGACCAAUCGAUCGUAUACAAUGAAAGAUCUGCAACUUUUAACUGACAUGCUAAUUUAAAACUAAUUGAUUCUCUUAUUUUAACUAAAAUGUUGUGCAGUCCAUCAGCCUUAUUAAUAAGUAUAAUUUUAUGCUUAGGUCAUUAAAAGUGAAAGUUUGAGAGUACCUUUAUUGAAUUGAUACUUCAUUUUAAUUGUAUAUUAUUUUUAGGAGAAGCUCGGUGUUGGAUGGCUUAAGGAGAAACUUAAUGAAAAUUGGAUGAGGACUAAAUUGACCAAAUUAUGGAAGAUGGAUAUCAAGAUGUCAAGAUUUGAGAGAUGAAGGACUUCCAAUGCAAAUCAGAAAAGGUAAUUGAGCUGAACAAAAGAAGGAAGUUAGGGAUCAAGUUGAAUAGGCAGCAAAAGUUAACACCUUGUGAUCAAAAGGUGCAUACCAAGCAAUCGCAAAGGUAUCGAAAGUUUCACCAGAACGUCAGACAUAGCGAUGUGAUCACAAGGACUUCUACGAUGCGAUCACUAGGUAUAUUCUGACAACAACAAAAUUGUUUUCGUUUCCAAUUUAGCAUCUGUUUGGCAUCCAUUUUUCUCUCAUUAUAAUGAGAAUCUGAUUUUGGAAUAAUAGUUUUUGGAAUAUAAUAUUAAUGAAAAUAACUAUAUCAUUAUCAAUAUUAUUAAAUGAAUUUAGCUGUGUAUAGUUUAGUUUACCAUUUUGUUGACAGAUGUUGAGCUAACGGCAAGUGUAUCAAGUUGAAUGUAGGAAGUAAAUAAAUUGAAAUAAAAUUCACAUUUAAUCUAGGAAAUAAAUGAAAUUUAAAUUUAAUUCUCUAAGAUCCUAAAAUUUUUGGCAUCAUAUGCCAUGUAAAAUUUCUUUAAAAAAUGAUGUAAAUUACAUUAAAAAAUUUAUCGUGCAAAAAUAAUAUAAAUGUUAUUGAAAUAAUUGAAUUUUUUAAAGAAAAGGCGAGUUAGACUCCUCAUUUAAGGCUUAUGUUUGACACAUAUUCAACUAUUUUCAACAUCCGUUUGGAUAAUUUAAUAUGACUGUAAUGUAUCUUUCGAAACGUGUUUCUAGAUGACGUAAACAAUUUGUGGAUUCGGAUAAUAUACGAUCAUCGGCAAACUUUAAAAGUUAACAUCUUAUCGAAAUUUUCGAAAUACUAAUUUUAAAAGGCCUACUUUAAUGCAUCCUAACUUUUGUUACGACCGAUUAUUUUGCACGCCAUUAAAUAAUGAAAAAUUAGGUCAUGAGCAUUUUGAAAUGGUGUAAGAAUGCAAUGUUUCAACUUCAUUUGAUGUUCCGUAAUGAAUAAGUCAAAGUAUGUCGUAAAAAAGUCAAAAUACUAUUUUUUGAUUUAAAAAAAAAAAAACUAAAAAUUUUGUGGGGUCAAAUGACCCCACACAACGGUCAUAUUUCUUUUCCGGCUAAGGAAUGUAUCAAAGUUAAAAUUGUUAAACUGACUUUAUACAUUUGCUCGGUAAUAAAUUGUUUAGGCAGCAUAGCUUAGUAAUUAUCCGAUAAAUAAAUGCAUAUUGGCGGCGGUAAAUUGAACACCUCAUUGAUGUAAUUUGUUCGUAAAAAACAAAGAUAGCAUUUUCGUCGUACAUUCUCGAAGGCUACAUUUGAAUACGAUAUGCAUUUACUUCUUUUCAACAAGUCAACAACUUUAAUAUAAAUUUCACCAUGCAAAUUGGCUCAUGUUUAAUCCACAGUUUUCUUCCAAGAAGAGACGAAAAAGAAUUAUUAUUUUAGCAUAAGAACUUAAUAAAAUGAUUUCAUCUUUUAGGAGAUCGACGAGUAAUGGUCCCUUAAUUAUCAAGCCAACCCAAUAUGCUCCUAAGUAGAAGUUAUGCAUCACACGUUAUAAUUUAAAAGUUGGAAGUCGUCGGUAGUGAGCCAUUUCUAAAUAUAAAUAUAUAAUGUCUAUUGUUCACGAAAUUAUUUUCUUUCGAUUUAAAACCAACGCAAGUGUACGAUUCGUUAACAAGUAAUAAAGUGGAUUAAAUGAGUCCGAAUAUCAUCCCAUAGAGAUUGAUUAGUUCAAAUUUUACCUACCAUAACCUUAACCGAAACUAAAUUACCAAAGUGAAUGUAAACCUAAUUAAACCCCAAUUAUGCAAUUUUUUUAUGAUUAAAUUGAAAUGAAUGUGCAAAACAAUAAUUUAAAACUCUAGAAUGAAAUCAAUUGUUGAGAACACAUGUUCUUAUAAUUAUUAGGAAUUAAAUACGCUAGGAUCACGAAUUCCUAUGCAAUUAUCACUUUAAACCCUAGUUUCAUAAUAUGACAACACAUUUCAAUUGUGACGAAUCAAUGUUCCUAAAUUUAUCCAAUACUUUCUCUCGAGAUGUAUCAAACCUAUUUCUACAUACCACCGGUCUAUAUUUCUAUGACAAGAGCAUAUGUAAAAAUGCAUGCAAUUUUAUGAACACUUAAAGAUUUACGUAGGGUAUAGUGGUAUAUUUCUAUCCACUAUCGGACCUUACGAUGAUUUAUAUUAUGUCAAAUCUAUUCCAAUUCUCUCGAAUGCAAGAAUAAAUCACUUAAAUUCACACAAUUACGAGCCCUUAAUUGCGGAAACAUUAAUUGCAUAUAAAUCAUUCAAAACAAUAAAAAUUGUGUCUUAACAUCAAAUUGAAAAAUGAGGAUAUUAAAUUUCAAAUCACAUGGUUCAUCGAUCUCCUAGAAUAAUAAAAAUCUAGCCUAGCAUGAUUAAAAUAACACAAUACAUCAUAUUUUGAAUAAAAGACAUCACCGGGUUAUGAAAUCUUGAAUAAAUCUUGAAGUUCUUCGGGCCAAUCGUUGUUCUUGCGCUCAAAUCCUCUCCAAGAAGUGUUUUUCGGCCUCCAAUUAUGUUUUGGUCGUCUCUGGAAUUUUUUUUGAUAUUUAUAUCCCGUGGAAAAUUAGGUUACCAAAGGUGUUUCAAUCGUAUAAGGAAAGAAAAAAAUCGCGCCGGAAAUGUACCAUGCGACCGCAUGGUUUUAAUCCGUGUGGCCGCAUGGUUAUUCUAUAUUUCCAAUAAAAUUCCUUGCAUCCCUUCGUGUGGCCGCACGACAUUUCUACAAUGCGACCGCAUGGUAGAAUUCAACUUUUAUUUUCUGCAAAUUGGUCAUUUUACUUGAAUCUUCCACUUCUUUGCAUCUUUUCUUUAUUCUUCACAUUCCAUCGUCCCUAAAUGUAAUCAAUUUGUAUUUGGCAAACUCAAUUUCUUGAUUUGUUCAUCGGGUCAACUUUUGGGUAAUUGCACCUUGGUCCUUGAACUUUUACUUUGUGUCAUUUUAGUCCUUUUUCACGUCUUUUCUCAUGUAUUUCACCAUGUUCAUCGAUGUUACCUACAAUUCACGAAUGUAACAAAAUUAAGUCACAAUUCAAUCAUUUUAUUCAUAAUUAAGUCAUAUUUGUGACCUAAAUAAGUGUGCAAAAACACACUUAUCAAACCCCCCAAACUUGAACUAUUGUUUGUCCUCAAACAAGAUGGUGACUAAAAUUCUAAACAAACAUAGCUUAAUACCCUGCUACGGCUCAGGAUUGGACUAAGUGUUUGAUUUGAUGAAGAUAUAUCAGUGCAAAAAAAAAUGACAUCAACCUUCGCCUAUUAAAUGCGUACUUGACGUGUGUGUGUGAGUUCAUGCCAACAUAUUAGGUUCAUGAUGGAUUUGAGUCCCGACCCUGAGUGGUCAAUUCUAUCCUUACUCGCUCAAGAGAUACACAACCCCCCAAACUUAUGUUUUUUUUUUUUUUUACUCAAUUAUCCCAUAGUUGUGUUUCGAAACUAGGAAUUCACAUAGCUGUAGUCCCCCCCUCUCAUAGUUUGGAUUAAUCUCACUAUCACAAGUUUACAUUUCAACAAGUGAAGGCUCUCCUAAGUUUGAUUGCUUCGACUCUCAAGAUUAAACUAGGUUACUUGCCUUGCCUCAAAGAUAUAGUUUCUUUAACCAAAUGUCCAAGGGCUUUUCUUCAUGUUAUCGUCUCUCUUUUAUCUAAUUUUUCUGAUUUUAUUAUUAAGCUUCUCAUUUUUUUCAGUUUCAUCUUCUCAUUUGCUUUCUAUAUAACCCAAGUAACGAGUGUUAAGCCGGUGACUCCCAAACCAGUUGGCUUUAGGGCACCAGGUUUUAAACUUUUGCAGGCUUAUUCACUCGCGUUAUAAAUGCUCGAUCAGAUGACUUUCAAUUAACCUCUUUCCCUCUUGCUUUCUAUAUGAUCCUUUUAGCAAGUUUUAGGCCGGUGACUCUCAAGUUAGUUGACUUUAGGGCACCAGAUUUUGAAAUAUCCUUACAGACUUAUUUACUCGAGUCAUAAAGGCAUGAAAAGAAGUAUAUUGUUUUCAUAAAUUUAUGUUAUGCCCUUAUUGUUCUAGACAUUUAGUUUCUAAAACCAACCCCUAAUUUAAGAUUUUCACCUAAUCUUCACCUCAUUGGUCUAGGCAAUCCACACAAUAAAAUUCAUGCACGGAGCCUCCACUUAUCUCAAUGCUCCCUUAUAAUAGCUCAACCAUCACCAAACUAUCUUAAGGCAGUUUAUGGUUUAAUUCAAUAGAGGGUUAUCAUUCUUUUUCUAUUUUAUGCUCAAAAUCCAGUCAUUUAUCUAGUAUGUCAAGCAUGAAUAGUGUGCACAGAUAAUGUCAAGUUUUGCAUCAACAAGUGUCAGUUAGCCUAGUUGCAUUAGAUCCAAUGUUUAUACAGUUUAAACUAGUCCAAUUAUAACAUCAUAGCUAGCAAGGUUAUCAAGUCCACACAGGCAUGCAUGAAAAGAAUUAAAGCAAAAAUGAAUAAAAUGCAAAUUUUUUUGUGCACACAUACCGAUGAACAUAGAUACUUAGUUAAAAUUAUGUCACCUCCCCAAACUUUGUUACUACAUUGUCAUCAAUGUAAAAUUAACAGAAGAUUAAAGACAGAAUUUUACGGACAACAUAAAAAUGAAAAUCCAAAAUGUGAUAAAUAGUACUUCCCUUGAAUCAAAAUGGAUGAGAUGGUGGGAAACUGGGUCCUGCUAUACCAUCAUCCGGCGGAGGAGGGUGUCGUCCAAGGAGCUGCCGCAUCAUCUCAUUCAUUUCCCGCAUCAAGGUAGACUGCUAUGUCUGCUCGGCCUGGAUAGCUCUCAUGGUCUCCCAAGUUUCAUUGACCCUCAUUUGGAUACAGUCCACCUGACCAACAUACAUGUUCAACCGGCCAUUCAUGGUAUCAACCUCCCGUCGCAUGACUGUAGCAUGAUCCCUAGCAUCUCUGAUGUAGUUCAAUGCAAGGUGAUUGUCUCUUUGUAAACUUCCCAAUUCAGUCCUCAUGUUGCCAAAAUCUUGAAAGAAACUGUGAAGGUCUCGGCUAAUGCCUGUGGUGGUGGAGAAGAUUUGUCUCAGCAACUGAUUAUCUAUGUCAGCUUGUGGUACUGGAGCCCGUGGGUCUUCCUGAUAUUUAGGGAUUUGUCCUUGUUCCGCUUGCUAUCUACGUCGCUCAUUUCCUGCUCUUCCCUGUGCUUAACCCGAGCCCUUGUCUGAGCAUCAAAUAUAGUUCGUUUGAUCAUGGGGCUGGGUUUUUCAGGUAACUCCUCAGGUAGGAGGGCAACACCCGCAGCUCGACAUAUGCCACUAAUGAGGCUCGGGAAUAUCAAAGUGAAGCGUAGAUCUAUCCAAGUUCCCAAUGAGUGUAGUUGAUUGUAUAUAUGAGUAGCGAGAUCAAUCUUGUUACCUCGAGGCAAGUGGUAAAUGAAACUCGCUGUCUGAUCUGGAAAUGUAGUCCUGUGUGAUAUGGGCUCAACAUUGUGGCACAUAAAGAGCCAUAGAAUGGCCAUGGAAGGAGUAAGCUCAAUCUGAUGCCACUCGGUAGUGUCAAGGGGCCAUGCAUUCUCCCAUCCCAUUAAAACCUCAGCCACUUCAUUCCAGUGAAAGUCAAUUGGGAGGGGGACCACAUUCUCCAUGGUAAGCUGGUAGUAAUCAUGAAUGACCUCGGGAGGGAACAUAAUCCAUUUCCCCCGCACCCAAGUCUGAUGGAAAUGCUCGGAGCCUGGCUUGUCAAUGUCACUGUUGAAGUUAGCGAAGAACUCUCGGCAUAAAGUCUCAUAGAGUGGAUGCGGUCUCUCUAUUAACUUUUACCACCCACAGAGCUGAAUUAAAUUGACCAACUCAAAACCCGGGAAGUCAUCAAGCUUAACAGGUCUUCAGUAUGUAAAGUCCAAUGGCGUAUGAUGUUUUCAUAUUGUGCCGCGGUAGUUGCAGUUAAGAAUCACUAAACUUCGCCCGCGAGCUCUCGAGUACGGGCUGUUUCGGUGGAAGAGCUUGCUUUUUCCUUCCCGUGCACAGUUCUUUUAGGAGGCAUCCUGCAAAGUUUGUAAGAUUAUACUCAUUAAGUUCGAUGUGAAAAGAAUAGGCAAGAAAUGAGAAAAUAAAAUAUGCAUUGCACAAAUCCCCCAAACUUUCCUAGAUGUAUGUGUAGUAACAUAGUGUGCACUAGUCAAGAUAUGAUGUUUAAUUGAAUUCACGUAUUUUUCCAAUAUGAAAAAUGGAGAAAAAUUCGGCGUAACAAUGCAAUAUUUCAGAAUUUGGAACCAUGACCGAGUGCACACCUUCGGCCCUUGACAUCAUUGAGAAUUAUCAAAAUUUCCCCAAACAAUCUCGGGGUAUAUCAAAGUAUUCAGUGAAGUGUAUCACAUAUUCGAAUUUCAACUCAAUUGGAUGUCGUUUGGUGUGUCAAAUGAAGAUGCAAAGUAAGGGACAGAGGAUGCCGUGAUGUGCGGUGACCUAGUCAUGUGCCUAUGUCAUGCAAUGUGGAAGUGGGUGUUUUCUAGUUCAAAUUAUUUGGGAAUCCGUUAAAAUAUAUCUUGUGCCAUGUUGGUGAAUCAACGUAUAUGCAAAAAGCACCUAAUUGUAUACAAAAGGUUAUUGUGGCAUUUUAUCAAACACUUGGUGUGCAUUAUGUGAAGGUGUUACCAAUGUAAUGAAUUGAGUUUUAGAAUCAUUCCAUAGUUCUCACAACACAAUCACAUCAAAUCCAAACAUACAUGAACUAGCCCAAUCUCCCUCAAAUCCUCAAAAUUGAAAUUUCAAACGUGAAUAACUUGAAGACGGAAUCGAGAGGGAUUUAAGAACACUUACGUUGUAUUUGUAGGGUUGAAUUGAGUUCAAAAAUUGAUUUCCUUUCGAAGAUAUUACACUUCAAUAAUGAGAUUUGUGUAUAGUAUAUGUGACUUGAACUCAACCAAGUGAAGAAAUAGUGCCCUAGGAAGGUUCGUUUGUGAGAGAAUUUGGGAAAAGAAAAUAUGGAGUGUGAAUGAAGGAACCAGGCGUAGGUUUUUAACCCACGUCUUAUUUUUGCCAUGCGACCGCAGAGCUUAAAAACCCAUGCCUUAUUUUUGCCAUGCGGCCGCAUGGCUUUAAGCUCUGCGAUCGCAUGGUUCAAGUGGCUUUGGCCACUUAAUUCACAGCUUCUGUUUGUGCAGUCGCACUGUGCGACCGCAUGAAAUUUAUUUAUUUAUUUAUUUUUUUGACUUUGUAUAGAAAGGAAAAAAUUAAUAAUAGGAAUAAAAUAAAACACAUUUGAUAUCCCCAAAAAUCCGACUUUUGACUAAAAUUUUGGUUUUCAAUUGAUGAAUUGACUCGGCUCUCAACGUCCCCAAUUUUUCAAAAGCAUACUUCUAAACAUUUUGAGAUGUGUAUGGGUCUUAAACUUAGUACCCAAAACAAAAUUUUUGUAUUCAAAUUCACACAUUGACAAGUGAAAUUUAGAAAACAAAAUUUAUCUCGAAAUGCGUGAAUUCCACACCCAAUCACCCAAACUACUCCAAUCAACCCGAACUCAUGUGUGAUGCUUAGGGACUCAUGUGAACAGUGCUUGGACUCUUUUAACAUGUAUGGAUGAUUGAUGACUACAUAAAAAAAAUGCAAAAUGAAAUUUAGAAAAAAAUUAAUUCAUAAUCUAAUGCAAAUAGCAUAAUAAAUUAAAUAAAAAGGAUACAGUGGGUUAUCUCCCACCCAGCACUAGGUUAUGGUCGAUAGCUCAACUUUUCUGCAGUUGCUUCAUUCUUGCGUCUCAAGUUGAACGGUGGAUUUUUGGUUAGAGAAGUCACCGCCCCAGUAGCGUUUCAGUCUUUGCCCAUUCACAGUGAAGGUACCUUAGUCUCAUGGUUCACUUGUAUAGCUCCAUAUGGUAAGACCUUUGUGAUAGUAUAAGGACCCGACCACCUUGAUCUUAGUUUUCCUAGGAAAAGCUUGAGUCUCGAGUUAUACAAUAGCACUUUCUGUCCCACUUCGAACUCUCGCCUCUGAAUAUGCAUGUUGUGCCACUUCUUGGUUCGUUCCUUGUAAAGUUUUGAAUUUUCAUAAGCUUCCAUUCUAAACCCAUCUAACUUAUUAAGUUGCAGUAGGCACUUUUCGCCGGCGGCGCUCAAGUCCAUAUUCAAUUGUUUCAUAGCACAGUAUGCUCGGUGCUCCAUUUCUAGUGGCAGAUGGCACGCUUUCCCAAAGACUAAGCAGUAUGGAGACAUGCCUAUCGGGGUCUUGAAUGCUGUUCUGUAAUCCCAUAAUGCAUCGUCCAGCUUUUUAGACCAAUCCUUUCUAGAUGAGUUCACAGUGACCUCGAGUAUUCUCUUCAGCUGCCGAUUAGAUACCUCAACUUGCCCGCUAGUUGGUGGAUGAUAUGGGGUAGCAACGCGGUGUCUAACGCCAUAUUUAUUCAACAAUUGCUCAAACUGGCGAUUACAGAAGUGCUUGCCCCCGUCGCUGAUUAUAGCCUAUGGUGUACCACAUUGGGUGAAAAUGUAUUUCUUCAAGAACCCAAUUACUGCCUUUGAGUCAUUUGUUGGAAGUGUAACUGUUUCCACCCAUUUUGAUACGUAAUCCACUGUUACCAAGAUAUACUAAUUUGAGAAUGAAGGGGGGAAAGGUCCCAUGAAGUCAAUUCCCCAAACAUCAAAUAUCUCCACUUCCAAAAUAUUAUUCAGUGGCAUUUCAUUCCUCCUCGAGAUAUUCCCAGUGCGUUGACAUCGGUCACACCUCUUGACAAACUCAAAUGUGUCUCUACAUAGUGUAAGCCAGUAGAACCCUGAUUGUAGAAUCUUUGCAGCUGUUUUUGAAGCCCCAAAGUGCCCUGCGUAUGCAGAUGAAUGGCAUUGCUCAAGAAUCUCAUGUACUUCUUCCUCAAGUAUGCAUCUCCUUACUAUCUGAUCAGCCCUUCGCCUAUAGAGAAUUGGGUCCUCCCAAAAAUAAUACUUCAAUUUGGCGAAGAACUUUUUCUUUUGGUGACUUGAGUAGUCCAGUAGUGGAAUGGAACUGGCCAAGUAAUUGACAAUAUCUGCAACCAAGUUGCUUCAUCUACUCUCAACAUCUACUCAUCUGGAAAGAUCUCAUUGAUGUCCACUAAUUCUUCUGUCUUCCCAGGCUCUAAUCGGGAUAGGUGAUCCGCUACUACAUUCUCACUGCUCUUCUUGUCUCGUAUCUCGAUAUCGAAUUCUUGCAGCAAUAGCACCCAACGAAUCAACCUCGACUUUGCAUCCUUCUUUAUGAGUAGAUACUUCAAUGCAGCAUGAUCUGUGUAGACGAUGACUUUAGACCCGACAAAGUAUGACCUGAAUUUGUCGAAUGCAUAUACUACAGCCAAUAGCUCAUUUUCAGUGGUGGCAUAAUUGAUUUGCGCUUCAUUUAGAGUCCUACUUGCUUAGUAAAUUACAUGAAAGAUUUUGUUUCUCCGCUGUCCUAAUACCGCACCCACGGCGUAAUCACUUACAUCACACAUCAAUUCAAAAGGGAGUUCCCAGUCUAGUGCCACAAUUACUGGUGCUGUCGUAAGCUUCUCCUUUAAAGUGUUGAAUGCUGUGAGGCAUUCUUCAUUAAACUCAAAGGUUACGUCUUUCAUUAGCAGAUUGCAUAACGAUUUAGUGACCUUCGAAAAAUCUUUUAUAAAUCUCUUGUAGAACCCCGCAUGCCCCAAGAAACUAUGAACUCCUUUAAUUGAUGUAGAUGGUGGUAAAUUCUCAAUAACUUGAAUUUUUGCCUUGUCCACCUCAAUUCCUUUUGCUGAGAUUCGAUGCCCGAGUACAAUCCCUUCUUGUACCAUAAAGUGGCAUUUCUCCCAAUUUAAAAUUAGGUUAGUCUCCUUGCAUCUCUGUAAGACCAAAUUCAGGUGCUCUAGACAUUCAUCGAAUGAAGAUCCAAAAACUGAGAAGUCGUCCAUGAAAACUUCAAUAAACCUUUCAAUCAUAUCGGAGAAUAUCGCCAUCAUACAUCUCUAAAAUGUCGCUGGAGCGUUGCAAAGACUAAAAGGCAUCCUACAAUAGGCAAAAGUACCAUAGGGACAGGUGAAAGUGGUCUUCUCCUGAUCUUCUGGUGUGACAGGUAUCUGAUUAUAGCCCGAGUAUCCAUCAAGGAAACAUUAGUAUGAAUGUCCAGCCAAUCUUUCUAACAUCUGAUCAAUGAAUGGGAGGGAUAAAUGAUCCUUUCAUGUGGCUGCAUUGAGUUUGCGAUAGACGAUGCAAACUCUCCAUCCCGUAACUGUUCUGGUGGGAAUUAAUUCAUUUUCACCACUGUGAUUCCCCCUUUUUUCGGUACCACUUGAACUGGCUAAUCCAUGCACUAUUUGAAAUUGGGUAGACAAUUCCUGCAUCUAGUAAUUUAAGUAUCUCCGCCCUGACCACUUCCUUCAUGUUCGGAUUUAAUCUUUUCUGACCCUCUAUACUUGGCUUGCAGUUUUCCUCCAUUAGAAUUUUAUGCAUGCACAAAGAAGGGCUGACUCCUUUAAUGUCAGCUAUUGUCCACCCAAUCGCCGUCUUGUUCUCUCUGAGUACCCUGAGCAAUUUUUUUCCUCCACCUUUUUGGUUGUAUUCGAAAUGAUUGCUGAAAUUGUAUCUGACUCCCCCAAAUAUGCAUAUCUGAGAUGUGGCGGUAGUUGCUUGAGUUCCAAAAUUGGUGGCUGCUGAAUGGAGGGCAGUGGCUUUGUAUUUCCCGUCCCCAGUUCCUCGAAGUGCCUCUUUCGGGUGUAUGGCGGGUUGGUCUCCAAAAAUCUUGCACAUGUUUCAACUUCAAGAGACUCUGACUGGACUGAUUGGGAUUGUACAAUACAUGCCUCAUAGGCAUCAGAUGGACCGUGUAGUAGGAAUGUUUCCUGUACUGCCUUGUCAAUAAUGUCAACUUGAUAACAGCUAGUUUCAUUGCCUUGAAUACAUUGAACGAUAUCUGCUCCUCUCCCAAUCUUAAAAUCAACUGACCCAUUUGAACAUCAAUUAACGCUCUCCCUGUUGCCAGAAAUGGUCUGCCAAGUAUCAAUGGGACGUCCUUGUCUUCUUCCAUGUCCGGGAUAAGAGAAUCCACUGGGAAUAUGAACUUCUCAACCUUGAUAAGCACAUCUUCAAUUAUUCCUCUGGGAUGUGUCAGUGACCUAUCAGCCAGCUGAAGUGUCACAGUGGUUGCUUUAACUUCUCCCAAUCUGAGUUUUCUGAAAACAGACAUAGGCAUUAAAUUAAUACUUGCACCGAGAUUGCUCUUCUUAGCUUGUGAUGCUUAUGAUAUGCUUUCCACCUUAUGAUACAGAGAGUCAAUUUUUGCAGAUAUUGCUGAAUAAGCGUCCACCUCGUAGACACCUGGAGUUUUCUUUGGGAUAGCCCUCUCAGAAGACCACAUGGCUGAUGUGGUAGCCAUUCGCUCAAAUAAUUCCAAUGUCCCAUCAACUGUUCGUGUGGAUAUUGAGUCAUCUGAUGCUGAAUCCACCAUGCUCUUAUGGUAUGGAAGUAAUCCUGUGUAGAAGAAUCGAAUUUGGGUCUUUUUAUCAAACCCAUGUUGAGGGCACUUCUAGAGCAUGUUUUUGAAUCUGUUCCAGGCUUCGUCAAAUAAUUCAUUUUCUCCUUGAUUGAAUACUGAUAUGUCAUGUCUCAGCUUCGCUAUCUUGGCUGGGGAGAAAAACUUUGUGCAGAAUUUGUGUGCUAGCUUUUUCCAUGUAGUGAUACUUGCAAUCGGGAGUGAAUCCAACCAUUCAAGUGCUCUGUCUCGUAACGUAUGUGGAAAAAGCCUUAACCUAAUAGCGUCAUCCAAAAUCCCUUGAUGUCUGAAAUGUUGACACAUAUCUAGAAAUCGAGAUACGUGUGUGUGUGGACUCUCCUCGGCUUUGCCACAGAAUUGGUAUCCAUUUUGAAACAGCUAUAUUACAUUGGUCUUCAAUUGAAAAUCGGGCUACCCAAACGGUGGAUAUACAAUGCUGGAUUGGCUUUGAAUAACUUGAGGAGUCAAAAAGUCCCCCAGAAUUUCAUUUCCUUCAUCCACUACCUCUCCUUCGUUAGCUUGAAUAAUAUGAUUGUUUAAUUCGUUGGCCAUUUGUACUUGUGUUUCGCGGUGAUCUCUUUGUUGUCGAUGAAAGGUGUGCUCAAUUUCAGGAUCAGCUGGAAUCUGCAAUUUUCCUCCAGGCAAUCGUGACAUGCAAAUCUGAGAAUUAAAACCAGUACGAGUACUGAGAUUCAAACAAUUCAAAUAACUAAAACACAAAUAAAGGAUAAUAACCUAAAAUAAAAAUAAAAACAAAAAUAAAAUUAUGCUAGCAAAAUAAAAAUUUAGUUCGAAUUAGUGCCUCGAGAAAUAAAAUUAAACUAAAACUCAAUCCCCGGCAACGGUGCCAAAAACUUAUUCACGAAAUUAUUUUCUUUCGAUUUAAAACCACUGCAAGUGUAUGAUUCGUUAACAAGUAAUAAAGUGGAUUAAAUGAGUCCGAAUAUCGUCUCACGGAGAUUGAUUAGUUCAAAUUUUACCUACCGUAGCCUUAAUCGAAACUAAAUUAUCAAAGUGAAUGUAGAUCUAAUUAAACCCCAAAAAUGCAAUUUUUUUAUGAUUAAAUUGAAAUUAAUGUGCAAAAAAAUAAUUUAAAACUCUAGAAUGAAAUCAAUUAUUGAAAACACAUGUUGUUAUAAUUAUUAGGAAUUAAAUACGCUAGAAUCACGAAUUCCCAUGCAAUUAUCACUUUAAACCCUAGUUUCACAAUAUGAUAACACAUUUCAAUUGUGACGAAUCAAUGUUCCUAAGUUUAUCCAAUACUCUCUCUCGAGAUAUAUCAAACCUAUUUUUACAUACCACCGAUCUAUAUUUCUAUGACAAGAGCAUAUGUAAAAAUGCAUGCGGUUUUAUGAACACUUAAAGAUUCACGUAGUGUAUAGCGGUAUAUUUCUAUCCACUAUCGGACUCUAUGAUGAUUUAUAUUAUGUCAAAUCUAUUCCAAUUCUCUCGAAUGCAAGAAUAAAUCACUUAAAUUCACACAAUUACGAGCCCUUAAUUGCGAAAACAUUAAUUGCAUAUAAAUCAUUCAAAAUAAUAAAAAUUGUGUCUUAACAUCAAAUUGCAAAACGAGGAUAUUUAAAUUCAAAUCACAUGAUUCAUCGAUCUCCUAGCAUAAUAAAAAUCUAGCCUAGCAUGAUUAAAAUAACACAAUACAUCAUAUUUUGAAUAAAAGAUAUCACCGGGUUAUGAAAUUUUGAAUAAAUCUUGAAGUUCUUCGUGCCAAUCGUUGUUCUUGCGCUCAAAUCCUCUCCAAGAAGUGUUUUUUGGCCUCCAAUUACGUUCUGGUCGUCUCUGGAAUGUUUUUUUGAUAUUUAUAUUCCGUGGAAAAUUAGGUUACCAAAGGUGUUUCAAUCGUAUAAGGAAAGAAAAAAAUCGAGCCGGAAAUGUACCACGCGACCACAUGGUUUUAAUCCGUGCGGCCGCAUGGUUAUUCUAUAUUUCCAAGAAAAUUUCCUGCAUCGCUUCGUGUGGCCGCACGACAUUUCUACCAUGCGACCGCAUGGUAGAAUUCAACUUUUAUUUUCUGCAAAUUGGUCCUUUUACUUGAAUCUUCCACUUCUUUGCAUCUUUUCUUCAUUCUUCACAUUCCAUCAUCUCAAAAUGUAAUCAAUUUGUAUUUGAAAAACUCAAUUUGUUGAUUUGUUCAUCAGGUCAACUUUUGGGUAAUUGCGCCUUGGUCCUUGAACUUUCACUUUGUGUCAUUUUAGUUCUUUUUCGCAUCUUUUCUCAUGUAUUUCACCAUGUUCAUCGGUGUUACCUGCAAUUCACAAAUGUAACGAAAUUUAGUCACAAUUCAAUCAUUUUAUUCAUAAUUAAGUCAUGUUUGUGACCUAAAUAAGUGUGUAAAAACACACUUAUCAUCUAUCUAGGCUCGAAGUUUUAUAUAUUUAAAACAAAUAUGCAUCAAGUAUAUUAAGUUGUUUAAUUUUGACAUAUUAUUAAUAUAUAAAUAGGCCAACUGCUUGUAAGUAUAUUAUGUUACAUGCAUGCUGAAUGUGAACCCUAAAAAUUGAGCUAAUGCCCAAUGUACAUUACAUUUUAAUUGAGCUAGUGUCAAAUGCCCAACUACUUCUCAAACAAUCUAUUUAUUUAGUCCUAUGGAGCGACGAAAUCCUAUGCUGAGAAGGAUCCCUGCUCUUGACCUAGUAACAGAGAUUCAACAUACCCAAACAAAUCAAUCACAGCUCACGUGCUUUACUUACGCAUCACCUAAAUAAAGCACACCCCAAGUCAACAUAGGCCAUCACAAACUAUAAGCUUUGGCAGUACUGGAUCAGCACUUGGCCAACACCUGCGGUAGCGCGUGUUGGAUCCACUGAGAGGAAUUUUUUUUUUUUUUGGUUGACAAGAUAACUUUUUAGCAUAUAUUACUGGUAAUUCAUUUUAAUGUCAAACAUCUCUUCUAACUAAGUUGGUUAAAGCUUGUAAAUACAAUUUUUACAAAAAUUAAUGCAAUAGGGAAGGCACCGAAGAUCAUUCAAACUUGUGAGCUCUUAUUAGGAUUAUUGAAAGCUCACCCAUUAUGGCAUUUGUAGAAUUUUGACACUAAAUAUAACAAAAUAAUAUGUGCUAGAUUUUAGUGAUUUUGAUGCAAUUGUAAAGAUUCGAAUGGGUGCUCUUCCUAUGAAAUAUAUAAAACUUGGCAACAAUGUUAUUUGGUGAGUACGGUUUAUUCUUAUAACCAACUUAUAUGUGUUCAAUUUGAACAAAAUAAUUGUUAUAUUUAAAUCUUAGGCCUUAUUUUAUUUCCAUUUAUUUGAAAAUACAGUUUUAUCUUUUUUAUUUUCAAUCAUAUAUUCUUCAAUAAAAUAAUAUUACAAGCAAAUUCAAAACUUUUUCUUAUUUUUAACCGCACAUUCUACAUCAAGUCAUUAUUCCAAAAUGUAUUUUUUUUUUUGCAAAAAAGAGAUAUCAAACAAGCUCUAAAUAUUUUAUUGUGAUCGACGAUCACCCGUGCUAACUCAGAAUCCUAAACCCACCAUUGAGCUUCGGCCAGAUUUUUAAGAAAAUCUAGAUUGGUGGUUGCACGAGCAGGAAACCCGUAUUGACAAGGCUAGCGGCAUUUGAAACACCCCAAAUCUAGAUGCCCUGAUUUGGAGGUAUUAUAUUUUAACUUUCUCUUGACAUCAUAAAUUUGGAAGCGAUUAUUUUUUUUUUCUUUUUUUGACAAAGUAAACAUCAAUGACCUAUUAAUUUAAAAUAAUUUAUGCUUAAAAAUAGAACAAUAUAAAUUGAAUGUCAACUUUAAUUACAAGAACAAAUUCAACAAUUAAAUAUGAUAGUAUUGACUUCGUGUCACCACAAGUCAUCGUCCCAAAUCAUUAUCUGAAAAUGUGGGAUAACGUGGGAUGAGCUAACGCUCAGUAAGCAAACCUCAUGCACAUGAUGCAUGCCUAUCAUACGCAUAUGAGUUACUGUAAAAUAAAAGGCAAUUCUCAUCAUGUAUCCCUUUCUUUUCAUUUCUCUAAAAACUUAACAUUGACAUUGUGAGCUCACUUGGUGUAUCGACUAGCCAAUCAGAAUGCAAUGUAAAAUUAUUAUUUGGAACCCAGUCUAGUCCUACCGGUAGUACCGCAAAACGGUUAACAUUAACGUUAUCAUUGGACAUUGAACAUUGGUCGGGUGCGCCGAUCCCCCAUGCCCCAUUUCCCACUCACACCUUUCAUGGUGUAGACAUUCACCUCUUAAUAAAAACAUUGAGGAUACAUAUUUUAAAAAUAUUCGUUGAGUCGUGACAUUUGAAAACUAUUUUAUUCCUUAAAAUUUCAUGUAUGCUUAUGGAUGCGUUGAUGUGCAUGAAAUAUUCAUGACAUAAAACGUAAUAAUUAAAAAUCAUGUUCACAUAAUAGCAAAUUUAUGAACACAUUGAUACAUUUAAUAAUAUCACAUGUGCAUGAAGACAAUGGAAGGUUUACUUGAAAUCCUUAGCAAUUUACAUUUUGAAUGACAAGUGAAGACAUCGUUAGCCGCCCAUGAAGUCUACGUGCAAAAAUCCUAGUCAUUAAUAUUUUUUUAGAAUUUCAAUAGUAUUCAUCCUAAAAUCAAUCCAUAUCCUGAUAUGAAUAAGACUAUGACUCGUGUAACUAUUCACUUGGGGGAUAAAUUACUGUAUGUUAAUUACCAUAAACAAAGGAACCCAAUGAUAAAAACAAGUUUCCUGCUCAAAUACAAUUUGUGCUAAAGGAAUUUACAUGAAUCAUUAUAACCUAGUUAUAAUUAUGUAUGGGGUAUACAUAUAUACAUAUAGUUACGUGUGCUGGAGAAACUAAAAUGGGCCGCUAUACAAUUGGUUGAUCCAUAGAUUGCAAGAUGACUCAAAAUAGCGUAAGUUUGACCAUAUCAUGAUUCCAUCAAAUACUGUAAAAUGUCACUAAUCACUAAUUUGUCUAUCAAAUGAUAUUAGAAUAGAACACAAGUAUUACACCUCAAGUGUUUGACUCCAAACACAAAAGACGAAGUGGAAAAGAAGAACAAUAUUCUACGUUAUAUCCCUUUUAUUUAUAUUAAAGGAUUAAGGAUUGAUUUUACAAACGGUCACUGAACUUACGCGAAAAUUAAAAAAGGUUAUUGAAAUUUAAAACUUUCAGUAACGAUCACUUAAAUUUUCGGCGCUUAUAGGAAUAGUCACUAAAGUUUAAAAAUCUUUCAGAAACGGUCACUGAAGUUUAAAAACACUUUUUCAGUUUUUGAGUCAUUUUUGCGACAACUUUUCGACAACUUCCGACCAUCGAUACCUUCGAAUUUUGAUAAUAUUGGAAAACCCACAAUGUCCCCUUCAAUUACCACCCAAAUCUCCCCAUAAUUUCAAGGGAUUCGACCAAAAAAUCGCCGCAAAAUUCAUCCAAAAAAUCUUAAAAUCUGCAAAAAUUUUCAAAUUUUUUAGGCAACUUUUGCGACGACUUCCGACCGCCAAGACUACCGAAUUUUGAAAUCGUUGGAAAGCCUACAAUAUCCUCUUCAAUUACUACCUAAAAUGUCCUCCAAACUCCAAAUGAUUUGACCUGAAUAAACCCACAAAGUCGGGUACCGAAAAGGCAAAAAUCUGCGCAAAUAUUUCAGAUUUUUUGGGCUACUUUUGAGGCAACUUUCUGGUAACUUCCGACCACCAACACCAUUGAAUUUUGAUACCAUUGGAAAGCUCACAAUGUACUCUUCAAUUAUCACCAAAAUUCUCUCCCAAACUCCAAAGGAUUCGACCGGAAUAAACCCACAAAUUUGGCUAUCCGAAAAGGUAAAAAUCUAGGCAUAUUUUUUAGUUUUUUGGGCGACUUUUGCGCCAACUUUUCGGCAAACUCCGACCACCAAGACCGCUGAAUUUUGAAACCAUUAGAAAGCCCACAAUAUCCUCUUCAAUUAACGCCCAAAAUCUCCCUGAAAAGGAUUUGGCAAGAAUAAACCCACAAAGUUAGCAUCCCGAAUUUGUGGGUUUAUUUCGGUCGAAUUCUUUGGAGUUUGGAGAAGAUUUUGGAUGGUAAUUGAAAAGGACAUUGUGGGCUUUCCAAAGGUAUCAAAAUUCGAUGGUCUUGGUUGUUGGAAGUCACUGGAAAAUUCGCCGCAAAUGUCGCCCAAAAAAUAUGAAAAUUUGGGUAGAUUUUCAGAUUUUUACACAGAUUUUCAGAUUUUUUAGGCGACUUUUGCUGUGACUUUUUGAUUUAAUCCCUUGGAGUUGCGGGAAGAUUUUGGUCGUAAUUGAAGAGGACAUUGUAUGUUUUCCAACUGUAUCAAAAUUUGACAGUAUUGAUGGUCGAAAGUGGCCUAAAAGUUGUCGCAAAAGUAGCCCCAAAAAUUGAAAAAGUGUUUUUAAACUUCAGCGACUGUUUUUGAAAGUUUUUAAACUUUAGUGACUGUAUCUACAAGUUUUUAAAUUUCAGUGAUUGUUUUUGAAGGCACCCUAAAACUUAAGUAACCGUUACUGAAAGUUUUAAACUACAGUGACCGUUUUGUAAUUUUUAUAUAAGUUCAGUGUCUGUUGGUGAAAAUAACCCAAAGGAUUAAUGAUUUUAUUCCAUAAAAAAAAAUGCACAAAAAGGUCUUCAAUUCCAAAAUUAAAGCAUCAAUUAUAGUAUACAUUGAUUUUGUUUUGGUAACUAAUAUCCAUCAAUUGACUUGAUUAGUGCGCUAAGUAAUCAAAUUGAUUAUAAUUAUCAAGUUAAUUAAGUUGAAUAAAAUUUAUUUAGAUGGAACGUAAAUUAAUUUAACUAUAUCUAUAGUUUACUUCAUAGCUUGGUUCAUCUUAUUAUAAUUAACUUUAAUAGGCACGAGAUCAUCUGGGGCGUCCGGUGCAUUCCACUGCAAAAUAUAAUUAGUCAUGAAAAUGUUAAAUUCAUGAAUAAAAAAUGAAAAUAAAUAUAAGGACAAAUGUUAUAAUUAUAAACACUAAUCAUAUAAAGGCGGAGCGUGACGUUACAGCAUGUUUCGACCCCUUGCCAACACAGGCUUCUUGUUCAUGUACGACUUCCAAGUCUCAAUUUUCUUAAAGGUCUGGUCGAUCAACCCUUACUGCAAGGAUAUUUUAACUUGGUCCUAAAAUGAACAUUUAUCUUAAUUUCUAAACAUAUAUUACUGGAAAUUCAUUUAUCUAAAAAUUGCUCCGUCACGUGGUGGAGCAAUUAGGUGGAUUUGGAUCAUUGACUGGACAUACGACAUAUGCUUGGCAUGGACUCGGACAGUAACAUGGUGUGUACGGCGGACAAGGUGGAGGCAGGCAUGACGGACAUGGAGACGGGUAUGGUGGUGGGGACGGUGGAGGAGGUGGAGGUGGAGAUGGUGGAGGCUUCACGUCUUCCACGCUAACAAUUUCCACAUCGCAAAAUUUCUUCCUGAGAGACAUAAUCAAGCAAGCACCAUCAAUUCCUUCUCCAGUUACAACCAUUUUAUCAUCCUUUAUAAUAGUCAUCGAGAUCACCCCUGAACCAUAAUUCGAAAUAAUAUAAACAAAAAUAUUAUAGAAAAUACGUACAAAAUGUUAUGGAUUAAUAUGUACAUACCUGGUUCAGCCGCAACAAUCUGCAUGGCUUUAGAUUUCAUUUUUUCACUUUGCAUUGGUUCACCAUUUUUUGCUGAAAAUAAAUUCGAACCAAGAUCAAUGAAUCCAUUAUAUAAACUUGUUUCUCAACACUGUGUCUAUUAUAACUGGAAAAAAAAAAUAGAGAAAGAAAAGUAAAAGCAACGCUAUUAAUUUCUUGGAAAAAUUGUUAAUGGCUUACCUUCAUGUUUGGCUAUAAUUUAAAUUGCUAUUACACGAGGGAAUCGGGUUUAUUUAUAUUAAACAGAAACUUUUGUUUAUAUAUAGCUGCGUGGAUACGGAGGAAUCUAGGUGCAAACUUCAAACUAGUGAAGCAACUAACUGCCACGGGGAUUUGCCACAUGUACACCCCCUCACAUGAGGAGGGGUCACAAUGAAGACUAGAGUAUACAAAUAGAAUUUCUCAACGACUACGUCAAUGAAAGAAAUAAAAAUAAAAAGGGAAAAGAUAUCCUCUGGAUGCAGAUCGAUUUGGUGGGGGCAGUGAAUUAGAAAUUAAUCGAGUGUGUAAAAAAUUAAAGAGACAAAGAGGAAUUAACAUACGAUAAUAUUAAAAUUCGAGGUUUCAUUUUAAGACGUCAUCUUGUUAAUAUUUGGUCCCCGUUUUGAGCUCAUUUUAAUGAAUUUUUUUUUUUUGGGGUACAAAAUCUCAAUAAUCUACAGUGAAAAACGAAUAAAAAAUGCAAAAGUUGAACAUAUUUUGCCAUAUUAUAAUUUGCCUUUAUUGGAUCGUUGGAUAUUGUUUGGACUCAUUUUUGUGGUCAAUAAAUUGGGAGAAUUGUAUGUGGAAGUCAAUAAAUAUUCUUCAUCUUGCAAUAACGAGAAUAGAGAGCUUUUGGGAGAAAAUCAUAAAAAUGCAUACGUACUUUCAAGUUUAUUGAUUUAAAAUGAAGAUUUCAAGCAAAGAGAUUGGAAUUUAGUGAAUACUCUUGAAGACGUUCAAAGGGAAUUCAAUAUUUCGUGUGAUGAAUUAGCAAUUUAUUGCGUGUUGCUGUAUUAUGAACAUGAUGGGCUAAAUCAUUUGUGCUUAAGAUGAUGAUGUAAAGCAUUAUUUGAAGUUUUAAUUAGGAAUAUUAACGAGCAGAGUCGAGCUGAAAUUUGAGGCUCAGGCUCUACUUGAGUAAAAAUGGUUCAAUUUUUUUUUUGGUCAAAGCUGAGUUAAGCUUUUGUUCGGCCAAAAAAUCUAAACUCGACCCGAACUUUGGGCUUGGGACCUUAUAAAGCCGAGUCGACCUAUUUUUUUAUUUUUUUUAAUUCCUGACAAUUUAACAUAUUUUUAAAAAAUUUUAAAUUUGUGCAAUUUAUACGAAUUAUAAAUAGAAUAAAAGCUACAAACUUUCUCACUUUUAUUGGGUUUGGGACUAACUACAAUCAAUGUAGAUGGAAUUAAAAUUGUACACAAAUAAAAUAUUUCGUGUACAAUUUUUCUAGAAACAAAUAAGUUUAAAAAAUUACCUUUUUAAAAAAAAAUUAAUCAAUUUAAAAACUUACAAUUUGCCUUCUCUUUCAAACAAUUUGAUGGUAUGUUGUGAUGUGGAUUGAGCACCUACACAAUGCACGUAAAGGAGCCCUAUAAUUAUGAUUCAUGAACCAAGAAAAAAUAAAAUUGGCCAAGAUCCAUUGAAUCUUGAUACUGCAUGAACAAAGCCAUAUAUAAUACAUGCUCAUUUGAAAAGAAUUGAGUUAGCUAAUUUGUGUCACAAAAUAAUUUCAGCCAGGAUGAGAAAAUUUUGGAUUGUGACACAAUUGUCAAUGGUAACAUAUGGCCAAAAGUCGUGACCUUUGGCCGGUAAAAGGUCAAAAAGUAGUGGUCCACGAGCUCAAGAUAGCCGACUCAUGAAAAAAAAUUGAAUUUGCCUUGGUCCAUGGCUCAUCUCAAUCCAACCCCUAGCUGCCAUGGACAGAGCAAUAAUGAACCGAGCCCAUGAGUAGCUCCUCUCAUUUGCCACCCCUUAACAUAUCUGAAUAAUUAAGAAAGUCCAACAAGCAGACACGAUCCGAGUCAUAAACGGCUGGGAAAAACAAGCUACUUAGUAUGUAAAAAUUCAUUUUCACAGCUGCAAAUCAAAUACCGUUAUAGAUAUGAUAGUGAGUAUUUUUGUUAUAAGCUAAUUGAUAUGUACAUAUCAGAAUCUAUUUCACAGAGUAACAACCUUCAGUUUUCACUACAUUGUAAAGCUCCAAUAUACAGACUAUAGGUUUAUAAAAGCUAAUUUUCUGACUUUAAAAAGAAGAAAAGGUAUUUUCAUCCUUUUAAUUAUUAGAGUUUUUUUUAUAUUUUUUUUAAUCAACAAAACUUAUUUUCUAAUAGUAAAUUGCUUUAAUUUAUAUGGUAUAAAUAUAUUUGGCAGGGAUAAGAUUGUAAAGUCAAUAUAGAACUGUUGAUACACUAAAAGUGCAGCCCAAAUCAAAUAGCCCAAAGAGUGAAACCCAAUUGGGGAAUCCAGGAUAAAGGUCCAAACAGGAUUAUUGAUGAAUGCGGUGGAAGCCCACAAACACGGUAACAUCAUCGCCCAAACUUGCAAGACGCCCAAAAUCUGAGCGAAUGGAGUACCUUACGGUCGCCCAGAGCAAUGACCCCGUUCUAGCCCAAGCUUUCGAAUCGUCUAGGAUCUUAGCAAGCAUAAAACAUUAUGGUUAUCCAGAAUAACAGUUAUUAAAGCAGUUAUUGAGUGAUUUUAUCACAUUCCAUGAUUCAAGGAGCCCAGUUGAAAGCGGUUGAACGAAAAAGAAUAAUGGCAACAGUUAGAGAUCGCAGUUCCACGACAAGUUAGCCACCAUAAAUAAAGUGGGUAGUUAUACAAUAAUCAAGCAGUUUCCAAGCGAUUUGUCACAAAAAAAUAUCAAGGGAAUAUAAAAGGAAGAGGAGACAGAGAAUAUGUAAUUACGAUUUCUUAGUUUAAACUUAAACACUUCUUUUAGUACUCGUGUGCUUGUACCCCUUGGAGGCAUUCUAUUUAUUUUCAAUUGUAAAUCAUCGCCAAUAAAACAUCCAUUUUUGGAAUUUUGUCUCAAGAGGUUUAUUCCUUACACAAUCUUCUGAUUCCUUUUUAAUUGUUAGCGACUACCCGUGAGAAAUAAUUUGGCACGCCCAGUGGGACCUUGGUGUUUGGUGUUGAAGAUACAAAAGGUGAAACAAUAUGUCUGACAAAUCUGAUAAGGAAGCAGCAAGUCAGGGAGGAGUCCAGUCUGUGAUCUAGCGAUAUGAGGAGCGGCAAAGCUCUCCACGAACAGAGGGACAGAGUUAGAGCAGUCACUGUCAUUACGAACCAAUGACAGAGUUGAGUCCUCGAACCAUGCGUGCAUUGCUUGGAGAACUCACACAGGAUGUCGUUGAACAAGUAAAUCUACGAAAUGUUGAUAAUAUGGAAAGAUUUACCCAAAAUGGGAAUGCACAUUAUGACAACAUAGCCAAACAACUGAAUAAAUUAAAUGAAAUAAUGAAUAAGUUAGUAGGUCAAAUUUGUCAGCCAGUUGUGCCUAUUGCAAAUCACUUUCAAACUAGGACAAUCAUGGGACAUAAUUCCCUAGUCCUAAGUUCAAAUCAGGGGAUAGAACCACCUUUUGGUCCACCUACUUCAAACCAGGGGAUGGUGUAAUGCCAAAUCAGAAUAGUGGUAAUGGUACAUCUAACUUGGGGGGUAACCUAAAUAUAAGAGAUAAUGUCCUAAAUAAUGGAUAGAAUACCCCACAUGUCAAUGAUGGAAUAAAUAUUCAGGGUAAUGGUAACAAUGGCCCAAAUCAUGGCAACUUUGUUGCCAACCAAGGACCAAAUAUCAGGCCUUAGGCAAAUCAAUCGACCAACCAACCUGUAGAAAUUCCAUAUGACCUCAACGUCAUGUUGAGAAAUCAAAUUAUAGAAAUAGUGCAAGAUCAAAUGGCUUUUGGGGUACGUCCUGUCAUUAGGCCGACUUACACAAAGCCAUACCCUAAUUGGGUAGACCAAGCAUAUACAUGACCUAGAGGGUAUAAAGUGCCAGAAUUUUCAUUAUUUACCGGUUUAGGAGAGAUGUCUACUCUAGAACACAUAUGACGAUUCACACUGCAAAGUGGUGAAGUAACCGACGACCAUAAAAUGAGGUUGUUCCCUAGUUCAUUAACAAGAGUAGCUUUUUCUUGGUUCAUCAAUUUGCCAGCGAACUUUGUUCAAACAUGGCAAUAAUUGAAGCAAUUUUUCCAUGCUCAAUUUUAUAAGACUGAGUCUGAAGUUACUUUGGCCGAUUUGGUGAAUCUACGUCAAAUGCCAAGCGGAUGGACAGAAGGUUUCCUUCAAAGGUUCAAGACAGCAAGAAGUAAAUGUUUUGUACCUUUGCCCGAGAAGGAGUUUGUCAAAAUCUCUCAAAGUUAUCUAAGCUUUGAUUUGAAAAAGAAAUUUCAAGACAGAGAAUUUCUUGAUCUUUUCCCAAUUGAGCGCAAACAUGAUUAGGUAUGAACGAUUAAUAAGAGAAGAAGAGCAAAUGAAAAAUUCUAGCAAGGGGACUUAUUAUAGAGACCCAAAUUUUAAUUUUCAUACCAUUAAUGACGAGUAUUACGAUCAAACUGAAAUAUGUUUGGCCGAAUUAAUCAAAGGAGGCGCGUAUACUUGUCCUAUAAUGGCUAAGCCUAGAUCGUCGGGCAAGGAUGAGCUUAUAAAAGAUGAAAAUAGAAAGGCUAGAACGUUCUCGUUCAAUGUAACCAAAGUUGACCUUAUAUUUGAUAAACUAUAUAAAGAUAAGCAGAUAAAGCUGAGCGAUAAACAUAAGUUUCCAAGCCUUGAACAAAUCAAGGGUAAAAAAUAUUGUAAGUGGCAUAACGCAUGGUCGCAUUUGACUAACAACUGUUUGGUUUUUCGCCAUGUGUUACAGGACGCCAUUGAAUCAGGACGAAUCACAUUCGAGGAUAAGAAGAAGAUGGCAGUGGAUGAAAAUCCUUUUCCACAGCCACUUGGGGUGAACAUGGUGACGACUGAUUUCAAAAACAAGUUGCCAAAAUUCAAGUUGGUUAUAGAUGACGGAGAAGAGGACCCUGGGCCACACCCCAGUGUCUUUGAACGUAUCAAAGGGAAGGAGCCUAAAAAGGAUGAAGACGUCCUGUGUGCAAGAUGUAAAAGAGAAGUGAGUGCAAAUACAGAGAAAUUAGGGAUAUGGCAGCAUCACCAUCGCCCUAGUUUUUUUUCCCAAACUCUCAGCCUGGUAGAGGGCGAGGUACAUCAUUUUAUAGGGGACUGCCUUUUGAGAGGCAGUUCAGGUCAAUAAAUAAUGAGAGAACAUUUAGGCCGCAACCUCGCCAACCAAAUGUAUGGCAUUUGUUCCAGUAUAAUGCAGGAAGGGUGAUACCCUUCAACGAGAUGACUAGAACCCAACAAAGGCAUUUUUAACGAAAUUAUGGACGAAUGAUGAGGCAACAACAGGGAGUGCCACGUCCUAAGGCUCUUAAACUACUCAAGGUGGCCAAUCAAAAUGUUCUCGAAGACAGUGAAGAGAUUGGUACAGGAGAAUUGAUGGAAGAAUUGCCAGGGAAUUCUUCUGGGAGAUCGAAGUUUGAGCGAGGUAGAAAGGAUGGAGAAGAUCCAGAUCAGCCCCUUACUAUUCAGUUUGGUACGUUACCUCUUGUCAUGGCUAAUAAUUAUUUAUUAGCCAAUGAGUUCAAGAACAAAGAGAAAGAAGAAGAAGACAGGGAGGAUAACGAGGAAGAAGCAUGUCUGCUGGAAUGUGAAGAAGGCCAAACUUCUAGAGGGGUCUACAGUGGUGAAGAGGAUGAUAGUAUGACGGACAUCGAAGAGGAAAUUGAUAUGGAAGCAGAAAGAAGAAAGAGAGGAGUAUCGCACAAUACUCUGUUGAAGCAACUAUAUCGAGAGGGAGUUCGUGGAGUGGACUUGUUGGGGGAACCAUCUGGGCGUUCUUUCGAUUAUUUCGUGCUGUACGGGACGCUCAAGAAGAAAAAGAGAGUACCUCGCUUUGAAAAGUAUGGAUCACCUCUAAGAAUAAUGCCUCCUCCCACAAGUUGGGUAACCGAAGAAGAAGCAUUAGAAAAUAAUACAAAGGAAAUUCAGGAAGCGGAAGCUCAGUGUGACAUACUGCAUGUUGACUUAUCACAAAAGGAUAAUUCAACAGAGAACAAGCAGAAGUGGAAAUAGAGCGACCUCCUAGGCAUUUUGCUCCUAAUGUACUUCUUGAGAUUAAGAAAGAAAUAGAGCGAUUAUUAAAAGCAAGCUUUAUUAGAAUAGUCAGAUAUGUAGAGUGGUUGUCCAAUAUCGUGCCAGUGCUAAAAAAGAAUGGUAAAUUAAGGGUGUGCAUAGACUUUAGGAACCUAAACAUAGCCACACCCAAAGAUGAAUAUACAAUGCCUACGGUAGAUUCUUUAGUAGACUUGACUGCUGGACACAUAAUAUAUUCCUUCAUGGAUGGGUAUUCAGGAUACAAUCAAAUUUAUAUAGUUGAGGAAGAUAUACAAAAAAGUACCUUUAGGUGCCCUAGAUCUCUAGGAUGUUUUCAAUGGGUAGUUAUGCCUUUCGGCCUGAAAAAUGCAGGAGCGACUUAUCAAAGGGCAAUGAACUUGAUUUUUCAUGAUAUGAUAGGCAAGUUUGUUGAGGUGUAUGUAGAUGAUAUAGUGGUCAAAUCCAUUAAAAAAGAUGACCAUUUUGAACAAUUGAGAUGUUCAUUUGAGCGAAUGAAGCAAUAUAAACUAAAAUUGAAUCCCUUGAAAUGUACAUUUGGCGUUAAUGCAGGAAACUUCAUUGGUUUCUUAGUACACAAAAGGGGGAUUUAACUUGAAAAAAAUAAAUCGGCUGAACAAGAAUCAAUAGCUGGAAUGGUCGCGCAAGAAAACCAAUUUGGUGAAGAAAGGGCGAUUUACUACUUGAGUAGACGGUUAACAAAAUGUGAAUAUAAUUACUCUGCCAUUGAAAAAUUAUGUCUUGCAUUGUAUUUCACGUGUACGAAAUUAAGGGCUUAUUUAUGGCCCGUAACUGUUUAUUUGAUUUCUAGAGUAAAUUUGGUUAAUUAUAUGUUCUCUCGCCCUAUUUUACACUAGAGGGUAGGCCUUUGGACGUUAGCAUUAUUAGAAUUUGAAAUACAAUACAUACCUCAAAAGGCAAUAAAAAAUCAGGCUUUGGCUAACUUUCUGGCCGAUCAUCCAUGCCUUGACAUGCCUGAGGAAAUUGAAUUAGAAAUCAAUUCAUUCGAAUUAAAACCUUGGGUUUUAUAUUUCGACGGGUCAAAAACCUCUAAAGGUGCAGGAGUAGGAGUAGCAUUGAUAAAUCUAGGGAUUUGAUACAAGUUCGCAUUCACUUUGGAUAGGAUGUGCACCAACAAUCAAGUCGAAUAUGAAGCCUUAAUCGUGGGCUUAGAAUUAAUGAUAGAUAUGGAGGUAAAGAAUGUAAUCGUUAGAGGCGAUUCUCAAUUGGUAAUUCACCAAUUGAUCGGUGAUUUUAAGUGCUAAAGUGAUUCCAUUAUAAGUCAAUAUGAAAUCGCCCAAGAAUUGUUGGAAGAAUUCGACCAAGUAGAGUUUCAAUGUGUUAAUAGGAUAUAUAAUGACAUAGCAAAUGAGUUGGCCCAGAUGGCCUCAGGGUAUUCAAAGGCUUUAAAUUGGAAAUCUACUUAUGAAUAUGGAGUAAUAUUGCCCGUAGUCCAAAGAAGGACGAGAAUGAUUGAAAUUCAUUGCAUACAAGAUGGAGAUGCAAUAGAUUGAAGGGCAGAGAUUAAAAGGUUUUUUAAGGAACCUAAUAAAGAAGGUAGUAGAAAAAUGAAGUUGCGUCUGCAAAACUAUACACUAAUAGAUAAAGAGUUGUUUAAGAAAUGCUCUGAUGGUAUAUUACUAAAACGUGUAAGUUUGCAAGAAGUCAGAACAAUCAUGGCUGAAGUGCAUUAAGGGAUAUGUGGAGCUCAUCAAGCUGGCCAAAAGAUGAGAUGGUUAAUUAUUAGGAAUGGAUAUUUUUACCCAAGAUGGGAGAAUCAUGUGUUCAAUAUGCGAAAAGUUGUCUAGCAUGCCAAAAGCAUGGUCCAAUACAAAAAGCGCCAGCAAAAGAGAUGGCACCCAUUAUCAAACCCUGGCCGUUCAAGGGUUCGACGAUAGACCUGAUAGGGAAGAUUUAUCCCCCAUCGUCCAAGCAACAUACAUUUGUUAUAGUUGCAACUGAUUUUUUCACUAAAUGGGUAGAAGUGAUACCUUUAAAAGAGAUUACCCAAAAGAGUGUCAUAGAAUUUAUCCGUAUUCCACAAACUUUGAUGGUAGAUCACGGAACUUCUUUAAAUGGAGAUCAAGUGAAUAAAUUCUUGAGCGAGUUUGGAGUUAAAUUAGUGAACUCCAUACCAUAUUACGCUCAAUCUAAUGGACAAGUAGAAUCUUCUAAUAAGAUUUUAAAAAAUAUCAUAAGAAAAAUGAUAGAUAAAAAUGUCAGAAAUUGGCACGAAUGUCUAAACAAAGCCUUAUGGGCUUAUAGGACGUCGCCUCGAUCAAGUACCAAAGUUACUCCUUUCCAACUUACUUAUGGACAGGAGGCCGUUUUGCCUAUAGAAAUCAAUGUGCGAUCAAUUAGAGUGUGUUUGCAACAUAAGUUAAGUGAUGGUGAGUAUACCGAAUCACUAGUUCAAAACUUAUUGGAGUUGGACGAAUUAAAGUUGGACGUCCUAGAUAGAUUGUAAGUUCAAAAACAAAGGAUGGCUAAGUUUUAUAAUAAAAAAGUUAUAGCCAAGUCAUUUAGCUUGGGCGAAUUGGUAUGGAAGAUAAUACUCCCUUUGGAUAGUAAGGAUAGAAAGUAUGACAAGUGUUCGGCCAAUUGGGAAGGGCCAUAUAAAGUAAAUAGUGUGUUGCCUAAUGGAGCCUAUCAAUUAGAAGAUUUAGAUGGCACCAAGUACAUGAGGUUCAUUAAUGGCAAAUAUUUAAAAAUGUAUGUUCCUUCCUUAUGAGAGAAUGAACAAAUAAAUGCGUAAUCAAAUUGCGUUGAAUGAUCGUAGAUAAAUAAGGCCAAAAUGAAAUACGUUCAAAUAAAUUCCUUUAUUAUCAAAUAUUCAUUACAAAUUGUGAGAUACAAAAUACUAAAUGCUCUAUAAGCUACAAUUGAGGGCAAACUAAUUUCUCGAUCGAUCGCCAAGCAAGAGGGUGAACAAACAUUGGUCGUCGUCCUGAUCGCACUGCUGUAAGGGCAGGUAUAGAGGUCGAGAAGCACUCUCAACAAGCAAAAAGGAAGAAAAGCACCCUCAAAUCGACUACCUAAUCGCAUUGCUGCAGUAACGGGCAAGGAAACUGAGAAGCACUCUCAGCAAGCAAAGUGGCUUGAAAAGCAUUUUCAAAAAUUGCAUUCCAUCAUUGAAUUCCUUACAAAGAACAUGGAGACGAUGGGAAGAACUUCGCUGGCCAAAGAAUAUUUCCUAUAUCUCCCAUACCAAAGGUGACAUCAAAACAGAUAGCAAAAUGGGCGGAUCAAAUUAUCUAUUUCUAUGGAAGACGAAAAUUUUGGAUCAAUUGUUGAGAUGCCAAACGAUGGCAGCAAAUUAGUUUUUGAAGAAAAGAAUGAAAAUGGUGAGUGCGAAAUACACACGCAUUUAUAAAGGUGUGAAGGUGAAAAGACAAAAUAUGAAUGGCCAUAUUCGUACCUAAUAACUGAAAUCAAAUGCCCAUAGUCUUUGGAAAAAGAUAGAAAUACCAAGGAAGAAUGUACAUGAAUCUUAGCGUAAAGCAAUUAAAUGCUUGGGAGGUUGACGAUUAAGGACAACGCCAAUUAAUAUGCAAGUAGACAAAUUAGUCGUCCAUCUUUGCUUGAAGCUCCUUCAUCUCUGUAGCCAAACUUGUCAUCAAAGAGUCUUCGAUCAUAAAGUCUGAAGAGAUUUCUUUUAAUUUGUCCUCGGCUUUUUUAAUCUCUAGAAGCAAAGACUCUCUUUCAGAUGCAGCACGAACAUAUUGAGUACUCCUAGCCUUCAGUUCAACAUUUUUGGCUAGCAAGGAGAGGAUGUUAGAGUGAACAACCUUCAACGUCGUUUUAAAGUCAGCAGAAACAUUGAGCGAUGGAAGUGUAAGUGCUUGCACCAAUUUCGCACUCAAUAGCUCAAGUUUAUCCUUAUAUUUAGUAGCACUAGCCUGGCCGAUAGCUAUGUCCAUAAAAGACACAUACUCAAAUAUUAACUGCUUGAGAAACUUCAUAUUUUUCUCUGAAGAAGCAGAAGGAUGAUUGGUUGAAGUAGGGCGAGAUGUCUUGACUCCUAGGAAGUAAACAAGUCCUAGAUGGAACAUACAAUGUCAUCAGCCCAUGCAAAGAAAAAUGCCAACAUUGAGGACUUUCAUUAGAAUAAACGAAGCGAAAAUGAAAGUGAAGCAAAAGGUUACCUCAUCAGCAAUCUUGGAAAAUUCAGGCAUAUCACCAGUUGGCUCCACCACCUGUGGAGACUUCCCCUUAUCUGGGCGAGAAGACUCUGUCACAACGGGCAGGCCCAUGGGUGCCUCUGCAUAAUUUAAGAAGCAACGAAUUAGAAACCAGUAGCACAAGCAAAGGUAAAACAUCAAAAUAUGUAUUACCUUCUGGUUCGACAUUUGGGGGAUCGGCGCCCUAGGAAGAAGGUGGCCCUUCUACUGGUAGUGAUGAAGGUUCCGAGACUAAGGGUUUCUCUUUAACCAUAAUCCCUUCAUUAGCUGAUUUGGAUGAAGCAGCUUCAGCAGAAGAUGAUGGAGCAGGAGUUGCCAAAACCAAAGCCUUCGAAGGAGAGGCUGGACUUUUCUGAGAAAUUCAGGUAAACCAUUAGUACAUAGAAAAGUAUGUUCGUGAAUAAACAAAUUCAAUUACCUUUCUUCUAAGGAUGAGAGGAGCGUUAUCAUCAUCAUCAUUAUCAUCCUGUAAAAUGGGAGAUGUUGAAGCUGACUGUUUGCUGCUUAAGGCACCUUUAGCUGCAGUAGCCUUGGCAGGUAGAGAAGCAGACGGAUGGAUAGAAUGUUUAGCGCGAGCAAGGAAGGAAGGAUUCCUAAUGGACACAGGGGUGACCAAAAUAGGAGAAGUAGAGGGAGUGUCUGGCUGGUCCAGUAAAUGGAAGGCACGAUUAGCAUCAGUUGCAAACAAUCGGCAUUUUACUGAUGGCUAAAGCUGUUCAAAAAGAGGAUGGACGGCACAGCUAGAAUUGAAAGGGGCUAAUGAAAAUUUGCUCGUCAAAAGAAUGUUGCGAGCAUCUAUAGCUUGUGCCUCUACCUUAUUAAUAGUGUGAAAGUGGUCUGUCAAAUUUUUGGAGUAGCAAGGAGGAACAGGCCAAGUUUGGCCAAAACCAAGUUAGCGAGCAAAAAAUUGGGGAGCAUAUAUUUCAACCCUAGCUUUAGCAUUGGUUCCAGUUAAGAUAUCGUGGAACAAUUCCCUCCCAAUAAAAAACUGAACCCAAACAAGCAGAGAGACACUUGCACUGUCUAGGGUGGAUGGAGGUUGCACAUAAUCUGAAGUCAAGUGAGCAGGAAAAUGAAAGAAGGAAGGAAUCGAAUUUAAGGGAUAAAAGAAUGAAAAAUGUCCCUACUGGACAUAUUUACAGGGCUCAAUGGAUCAAUGGCUAGUCCAUAGCAGCUAGCAGAAUGAAGAGAAAUAGAUGGAGCACCAAGUGGUAGAAAGUAUGCUCUCAACCACAGUUGAAUGAACCAAAGGGGCCCACUGUCAGUGAGAGAUGCACAACUCUUCAGUUGAAAUUGAAGGGAAGCCAUGCCUCUAUAAAGGGCAGCUAAAAAGAAGGAACAUAAGUUCAAAAGCCUAUCACGCGCCAAUUCAUGCGCUAUGGGUAAGUAGCUCAUAGAAGCUUUCAUACUUGGCACGCAGAGAAUAUAUUUACAAAGACAAAUCUGAAGAAAAGCCAUACGCUCAGCAUGGGAAGGUUUAGCGCUUAAGUGAUUAUAAAAGCCUUGCAGGCUUGAAUAAGACUCAGUAAGUUUCUUGUCAAAUUUCGGGACAACACUGGAAAUCAAGAUACCAGGAAAGAUGGUAUCGCCCAAAGGCGGAAGAUUUACUAGGGCUCCAACGUCCCUUAAAGUAAUAGACAUGGGACCAAGAGGGAAAACGAAGGUGUUAUAUUCAGAAGACCAAAAACUCAAAGCAAUAGGAAAAAGCACUGGGUUGAAAAUUAGGGGUUGAAGAGUGAUUUCUAAUAAGUCUGAAAUCCUAGCACGAUCAAAAAUCGCCUUGGUAGAGCCAUGAUUUACAAGACGUACAUGCCAUCUACGAAAAAUAACACCAGCUUUGGGCCAAGUGCGAAUACCUUUUUCGCGAAUUAGCCUCAAUGGCAGAGAGUUUAGGAACGGAGGACCUUGAGUGCAAGGGAACAGCUGGCCCACCGCCACUUGUCCAACGGCUUCGGCAUUAUUGAACGAUGGACCCAGAUAGAAUUCAUUAAGGUCAGCAUUAGCUUGUGCAAGGAAGUUUGGAUUUACAUACGAUCUAGUAAGGAUUUUCUGGAAAUCUUCGAAACGAAAAGAAUCAUCAGAUUGAGUUUGUGAAGUCGCCAUUGGGAACAAAGUACAGUUUCGUUAAGGUUUGCUUGAGAAACAUAGCAGAGAAGCAAGAAGAUGAACAGUAAAUAGCGAGGAGGAAGCAUGAAAUAUAGAGACGUAGUUUAGUGGUACGAUGAAAGGUGUGUCUUUUGGGUUUAUAAGGGUUUUUAACGUUGCACCUUUUCAGGCUGUAGAAGGAAAUAAUGACUGAAAUAUUGCUGAAAAAUACGAAGUGAAUAUAGCAAAGAUUAAUAAUUGGUAUUAAUUCUGCCAUAUUGGGGGGUAAUUGUUGACACACUAAAAGUGCAGCCCAAAUCAAAUAGCCCAAAGAGUGAAGCCCAAUUGGGGAAUCCACGAUAAAGGUCCAAACAUGAUUAUUGAUGAAUGCGGUGGAAGCCUACGAACACGGUAACAUCAUCGCCCAAGUUUGCAAGACGCCCAGAAUCUGAGCGAAUGGAGUACCUUACGGUCGCCCAGAGUAAUGACCACUUUCUCGCCCAAACCUUCGAAUCGCCCAGGAUCUUAGCAAGCAUAAAACAUUAUGGUUAUCCAAAAUAACAGUUAUUGAGUGAUCUUAUCACAUUCCACGAUUCAAGGAGCCCAGUUGAAGGCGGUUGAACGACAAAGAGUAAUGACAACAGUUAGAUACGGCAGUUCCACGACAAGUUAGCCACCAUAAAGAAAGUGGGUAGUUAUACAACAAUCAAGCAGUUUUCAAGCGAUUUGUCAUGAAGAAAUCAUCAAGGGAAUAUAAAAGGAAAAGGAGACAUAGAUAAAAAGGGACGAAUCAAACACUCUCAAACAGAAAAUAUGUAAUUUCAAUUUCUUAGUUUAAACUUAAACAUUUCUUUUAGUACUCGUGUGCUUGCACCCCUUGGAGGCAUUCUAUUUAUUUUCAAUUGUAAAUCAUCACCAAUAAAACAUCCCUUUUUGGAACUUUGUCUCAAGACGUCUAUUCCUUACACAAUCGUCUGAUCCUUUUUAAUUGUUAGCGACUACCCGCGCGAAGCAGAAACUAAUAUUUUCUGUUCAAGAGGACCAAGCCAGUGGAAUAAAGUAUGAAACUUAUGCUGUUUAUGUACUCAGUAGCCAAUACAACCAAUCAAUCGUUUACAAUGAAAGGUCAGCAACUUUUAAUUGGCUUGCCAAUUUAAAGCUAAUUGAUUCUCUUGUUUUAAUGAAAAUGUUGUGCAGUCCAUCAGCCUUAUUAAUGAGUAUAAUUUACUUGGGUCAUCAAAAGUGAAAGAUUGGGAGUAGCUUUAUUGAAUUGAUACUCAAUUUUAAUUUUAUAUUUUAUUUUUUAGGAGAAGCUCAAUGUUGGAUGGCAUAAGGAGAAACUUAAUGAAAAUUGGAUGAGUGGGACUAAAUUGACCAAAUUAUGGAAGAUGGAUAUCAAGAUGUCAAGAUUAGAGAGAUGAAGGACUUUCAAUGCAAAUUAGAAACGGUGUUGAGCUGAACAAAAGAAAGAAGUUAGGGAUCAAGUUGAAUGGAAGGCAAAAGUUCAGACCUUGAGAUUGAAAGGUGCAUACCAAGUGAUCGCAAAGGUAUCGAAAUUUUCGCCAGAACGUCAGGCUUAGCGAUGUGAUCAAAAUGACUUCUACCAUGAGAUCACUAGGCAUAUUCCGAAAACAACAAAAAUUGUUUCCAAGGCCCGUUUGGCCUCCAUUAUUCUCUCAUUAUAAUGAGAAUCUGAUUUUGGAAUAGUAAUAUUUUUAUUGGAGAAUGUGUGGCUAAUAAAAAGAGAGAGAAAAAUGAAUUAUAAUUUAAUGGGGCCAAACAAAUGCUCAAUAUCUUCAUGGCAAGUAAUUAGUGCACGAUUUUAACUUAAUUUUGGAGGCAAAUUACAUAUUCUUCAUCUUGCAAUAACGAGAAUAGAGAGCUUUUGGGAGAAAAUCAUAAAAAUGCAUACGUACUUUCAAGUUUAUUGAUUCAAAAUGAAGAUUUCAAGCAAAGGGAUUGGAAUUUAGUGAAUACUCUUGAAGACGUUCAAAGGGAAUUCAAUAUUUUGUGUGAUGAAUUCGCAAUUUAUUACGUGUUGCUAUAAUAUGAACAUGACGGGCUAAAUCGUUUGUGCUUAAGAUGAUGAUGUAAAGCAUUAUUUGAAGUUUUAACUAGGGAUGUUAACCAGUUGAGUCGAGUCGGCUCACGAGCCGAAACUUGUGGCUUGGGCUCUACUCAAGUAAAAAUAGUUCAAGCUUUUUUUAGUCAGAGUCAAGCUUUUGUUCGACCAAAAUUUAGACUUGAUCCGAGCUUUCGGUUGGAGCCUUACUGAGUCGAGCCAGCCCGAUUUUUUUUCAAUUCAUGACAAUUCUAGUAUAUUUUUAAAGAAUUUAAAAUUUGUAAAUUUAUACAAAUUAUAAAUUAAAUAAAAGUUACAAUCUUCAUCUUUCUUUGGAGCUUGGGAUUGACUAGAAUCAACGUAGCAGAGUUAAAAUUGUUUACGAAUAAAAUAUUUCGUGUACAAUUUUUCUUGAAAUAAGUAAGUAUAAAAAAUUACAUAUUUUUUAAAAGUAAUCAAUUUAAAAACUUACAAUAUCUUUAUACUUAGAUUUGCUGCAAUUCUUUUGCUAUUAUACUAUCAACUUGUUCCUGAAUACGUAAUUUCACACAUUCUUAGUCCUUCAAGCAUAUUAAAGUCUCCAAUAUAUCUUAUUUUGGUCUUGAUCGUUCGUUUAAUAAAACACAACCACCUAAACUAAAUACAGCCUCCGAUGUCACCGUAGACACAGGAAGUGUUAAUAGAUCACGUACAAUUUUUUAUAUGAUUGGAUAUUGCCUUUCGUUACAUAUCCACAUGAUAAAAGACUAAAUUCUAGUUUUUUUUUGGGUUGUAACAGACUAGGAACUUCCAGCACAUAUACCUAACUAAUUGAUAGGGAAUUUCAAAAUUUGUACCACUAAUAUCUAUCGCUCUAGAUGUUGGUGAAAUAGAACUAAAUGAAGUAACACUUGUAUUGGUAUCCAAAUAAUUUCAUAUAUCAUCUGAAUUUUUUGAAAUAUUUCUCGAAAAAGAUUUUUGGGAAGUAGAGAUGCCUUGACAUCCUUUUCAACAUAAUGAUUUUACAUUUCACAUAACAUAGAUUCUAUAUGCAAAUGGAUAAUUUCAUAUUUAUGAAAUUUGAAAUCUGCUUUAUAAUAGUUUUUGUGCUAGUUAAAUUGAGUCGAAGGUCUAUCAUUGAAGCUAAAAGAAAUAAAGAGGGCAAUGCUUUCCAAUAUUUUCGAAAUUUUAACUUUAUAGAGCUACAUCAACAAAAAUUGGCAAAUUCUUAUAUUUAUGAAAUGUUAGGAAAAAAGUGUUGUAAAACAAGUAAUGAUUUAGGGUAACAAAUACCAAUUCAUUCUUUUGUGGCAUAGAAAAAGGUUUUAAGAAUUUCUUCAAAUAAAAUGCAAUAGACCGUUCUAAAUCUUUCAAAUUAUGUUCGAUUCAGUAUGUAUGUCUACCUUUAUAAUAUAGUGAAAUAGCUUUAUCAUAAUUUUCACACGAAUAUAACAUAAAAUAUGUAGAGUUCCAUUUAUGUGUAUAAAUAUAUAUAUACUGUUAAAUGCUUACUUUUUUGUUGGUGAUACAUAAAAAAAAUUUAUUACUUAUCUAGUUUUAUCUAAAGACAAUUUUAUAUAUUCCAAUCCAUCUUUUACAAUCAAAUUGAUAAUGUGUUAUACACAAACGUUGGUGAAAAAAUAUACUUCUAAUUGCAGGUUAAAAUCAUUAAUAAAUUUAUCAAUAACACAUUUGUUCAUACUAGCAUAAUCAAAAGUAAAACUUCGAGCUAUUUUUCGUAUACCAUAUUCUUGUAUAAUAUCUUUUAAAACUAUGUAUAUAUUAGCAGCAUUAUAAGAAUAAUCUACACAUUUGAAUGCAAUAAUCAUUUUAUGUAGAAGCCACAUGUGAUCAAUGUAAUGAGUCAUAACAACAAUAUAACCUUUUUUUUACUAUCACCGAUCCAUAAAUCAAAGUAUUUCUACAAUAAGAAGUAUAUUUAGAUUGGAGAUAAUUCUGCACAAGUCGGCUAAAAUGUAUUGAGUCUAUUAUCAUAAUCAGCGUCUCUGCUGUAGCCAUGUAUGCAUCCAUUCUUUCACGAAACCUUUAAUGUGAAAAUAUACAAAGAUGGAAUAGUAGAAUUGGAACCAUUUGGUUUCGCUUUGUAACUCUUUAAUACGUACUUAUACAAAUGCGUCAUGCGUAAAAUUGGGUUUCCAACUAAGUUCUUUGCCACACUAAUUGUUACAUGCUUUCCAAAUAUCAACUCAAUUUUGAAAGUCAAUUUUUUACGUGUUAUAUGUUGCCAACAAUCUAAGGAUUCUUUUUUCGACCUUCUAGUUUCAAUUACUUUUUCCUCUUCGAUAUCCUCCAAAUCAAUUCAAACAUUUUAAAAUGCAUCAUAUAUGGCUAGAGUACUCGAACUACCCUUAAACUAAUUAAUCUAAUCACUAGUAAAAUCUAUCUAUAUUCUAUGUCUAUUAUAAUAAAAGAUAUUGAAUAUCAAAGUAAAAGAAACUAAAUAUUAGAGCAAAAAAAUUGAAGAUUGAAGUUGAAAUUAAAAUAUUGCAAGUUAAAACUGAUUGAAGAAAAUUAUUAUGAAACUUAAAAAUUAAAUUCAUAUUUAUAGCAAAAAAUUAUAAACGUUUCAACUAAGUUUGAAAUUUAAAUUUGAAUUUUACAAUUAGGUAGCUAUAUUAGCUGCCUGUUUAAAUAAGCAUUUAAGAGGCAGCUAUAUCUGCUACCUGUUAAAGGCAAUUGUACAAGCAGCAGAUAGCCUUUAACAAAUAGCUUUCCAUUCAGUGUUUUUUCCCUUAAGGCUCCGCUCUUUGGGCCGACCCAUGUGGCUCGUUGGCUCGGGCUUGAGCCAAUAUUCCAAAAUGGGGCUCGGUAUCUUCGAGCCACAAACAGAGCCUGCGCGGGCAUUUUUUUCGGGUUGAGUUACGAGUUGCCUAAACCGACGGGCCAAAUUUUCAUCCCCUGUUUUAAUUCAAUUUUUUUUUUCUUUUAAUUCUCAAUUUUUGUUGAAUUGAUUGAUGUUAAUGUUCUAAUGACCAUUUGAAUGAAUGAUUAACUUUUUAGCAUGUUUAUGACUUAUUUUAUAUUUGGAGGGUUCAAAGCAGGUGUAACUCAUAAUUGUCAAGCCACAUUAAGUCAUAUAGACAUUAUAAAUAAUAGUUUGUACUUUGUACAAUCCAUUUCUAUAAUCUUAUUUUGAUGCAUUCUUAUAUAUUCAAAUCCGAUUCCCAUCUAUGGUCAUAUGUUAAAAAUAACUCUACACAGAAGAUAUUGUCAGAUAAUAUAUGAUUAUUGAUUAUCAACCUAAGGUUAAAUUAUAUUAAAAAUAAUUUUAAUACUGUUUUAAAUUUUCUUUAAAAAAUUGUACAAGAACAAACAAACAAACAACACAAUUUUUAAAUCCGCCUACUCUAAAUUUAAGUAGCCGGUCCCAAACCCAAAUAAAGGUGGAUGGUUUAAAUUUUUUACCUAGUUUUUUAUAUAUAAAAUUUUUUUUAUAUAAAAAAUUCACGAUUUAAAAAUUAAAAUUACUUUUUUAUUUUCAAAUUUACCUAUUUUUUCCAAAAAAAAAACGACGUGUGCUCGUGAGCUGGACUCGGCUCUGCCCACGAGCUACCCAUGAGCCACGAGCUUGUGGGCCGAGCCGAGCUCGCCCAUUUUUGGACGAGCCGAGCCAGCUUUACCCAUUGAAAAUCCUAUGUGCAUGAUAAAGUAAAUUCCCAAUAGUUGUAUCAUAGCCUACCUUGUUUUUGCAUCUUAUAACAAUAAAAAAUUAAUUGUUCUUGUUUUUCACCUUUUUAGUUUUUAAGAAAAUUAAUUUUCAUCUUAAAAAUCUAUCUCGGAAAACAAAAUAAUUUUUGGGUAAAAAAUUGAAUAAAGAGGAGUAGCCGACGGCACGCGUGCGACAACUUCGUGAUCGUCGCACUGCUCCAACGCUGUUGGGCACAGUAGUGUCCAACACCGUUUCCAAGCAAGGUAGGGACGGUUAUUUAGUGCUGUUGUAGUGAGUGAUGUGGGGAAACGCCAAGUCGCAUAUUGCCUGUACCGACACUACUAGAAGAAAGGAGAAAAAAUUUUAAGGUUUGUUUUGAGAUGGGGGCUUCACAUUCAAUUCAUGAAAUUGCGAACCUCUCUUGUAAUUUCUAUGUAAAGGUCAAGAUGCAAUUUUUGAGAAAUGACCCAUUUUGAAAAUUUUAAAAUUAGAAGGGUCUAUUUAUAAUUUUGAAUUGGGCCAAAUUGCAAAUUUUUGAAAGGGUUUGAAAUACAAUUUUGAAAAAGGAUUUAAAUUUAAUUUUGAAGUGGUUUGACCUUUUUUUUAAUUUUGACCCAAAUUAUUUUUUUUAAAAAAAUUUACUACCUUUUAAAUUAUCGUUUGGAUUUUAAUUUUAUAAUUAAACUUUGACUCUAAAUUAAAUUUUAUUUUAUUUAGAAAUUUUAUCCUAAAUUAAAAUGUUAAUUCAAAUGGAAUUAGAAUUGGAGUCUAAAUUGAUAUUUAAUUAAAACCUUAUUUUAAUUAAACUAUUCCAUCCUAAAAUUUUUGAAUUAGAGUUGAACUCUAUUUUAAUAUUUAAUUGAAAAUUGAUUUUGAUUGUAUAUUUAGUGGAUGAUGAAUGUAUAUUUAGUUGAUGAUUGUAAACUCAUCCACGUGGAUGUGUUGAAUGAUUAGUUUUUAAUUCUUGUUGCUUUGAAUCUGCAAACCCUUUAUUAAUUUGGACUUGUGAAUCCGUUAUUAUCAUAAUGGACCUAUGUGUCCUAUUAUUUUAGGCCUAUGUGCCAAUUAAUAUAGGAUGCAUAUUGCAAUUGGACUAAUUGGAGAAGCAAGAAGAGGAGACUAUGGAGAUGGUGAAUUGUAUGAAUAAAUGCUUUACCUCUAGGAACUAACCAAUUAAUAUUUCUUUUUGCUCAAGAAGGCUGGAUAUCAUAACUCCAUAAUUAUCUACGCUAUUAUAUGUAUAUUUAUUUGUAUGCUAGUUGCUAGAUGUAUGAUUAUAUAUAUAUAUAUAUGAUGAGACAUUUGUAUGGUAAAACCCCUUAUUAAAAUAUUAAGUCAAAAUUAUUAUUCCCGUUCCAUUAUUACAGUGAAAAAUUAGAGUCUUGAAUCGACCUCAACUUGUUGAGCUCACACAAUGCUGGUCUAUUAUGUAUAUGUUUGACAUCAUGAAAUAUUAGAUAUUUUUGAAUGAUGGGUUUGAAUUAACUAAAAUUUAUCUUUUAUUGAGUUUACUUGAGAAGAUAAAUUCUAGAAGUAUGUUAAGCUAACACAUAAGAUGUGUGAAGACAAAUAGUUAUUCGCUUAAUGAUUUAGGAGUUGUGUAUAUAAAGAUACAAUUGAUAAUAGUAUUAUAUAUUCAAAUAUUUUAUUAAGAUUUGUUGAGUACGAUCAAAGUCUUAAUACUACAAAUGGGAUUAAUUUGGCUCGUCGGCUAGAGUUGCCCAUGGCUCAGCUCGAGGUUGGAGUCGAGUUUGAGCUAGCCCGCAUGGCUUGUCGGUUCGUCUCACAGGCCAUUUUCAGUACGUGACAAAUCGACCCUUAAAAAAGAGAAAAAAUAAAGCUACAAGUAGGUAGCUACACAAAUAGCGAAGUAGUUGCAUGUGUUUUAUAUAAAUUAAAAAGAAAAAAAAAAAGGAAAAAUGAAGCUACAUGCGUCCAGCUACUUGCAAAAGGCAACACCACGCUGCCUACAUUGCCGCAAGGCAGCUACAUAGGCAGCUAAGUAGUUGCCUGUGUUUUAUAUAUAAAAGAAGUGAUUGGCUAAAGGUAUGGGUCAUAAUUAUUAUGGAGAUGUAUAGCCCAACGAUCAUUAUGUAUUUUUUUAAGGACCGAGCUCCAUGUACAGAAGUUUAGUUCACAGGGGACUGCCAAGCCCCUCACCAUAGGGGUCGGACCCCACAAGCAUUAAAAAAAUAAAAAAAGAUGGGAUCCGCCCUCACCUUCUCUCUCACCUGGCAAGGGCCUAUGAAGUAGGCCCCUAUACUCCCAUCUUUUUCCUUUUUGUACUAUUGCAUUUAAGGUAAGCUUAGCAGUUCUAAAACCUUCAACGAUUUGUUAACACAAUGUGUGUAUCUAGGGAAUAGUCGCUUGAAAGCAAAUUCUCCCUAGAAACAUCAAUUCUGAAUUUCUUUUGAAUAUAUGAAUUGUGCUAAAGAUUCAAAACAUAUUUUCAUCGUAAUGGAAAAAAAUAGAAAAUAAAACAUUUUCAAACUAAACAGAGAAAAAUGAACCAGCAUUUAUUCGUUAGGAUCAAGAAACUCCAAACACUGAAUCUGUUCAUCCAGAACAUUUGAAAUCAUGUUAUAUGAUGGAAAUACUAUUUUUAAGCGUAUUUUAUAUACUCGAAAGUUAUAAAUGAAUGACCAAACAGCCACACGAAGAACCUCGUCACAAAACAAAAGGCAUAAUUUCACUUGAAAUUGACAAGUGAGAAAUCUUCUUCCCUGGUUCAAGUUCGUCCACGAGAUCUUCAUCUGCACCAGGAAACCACAUCUGCAUACAUUCAACUCCAUGUGCGUGCAGAUUUUUUUUGCUACCUGUGAGAGAGAAGGUAGGAGGUAACAUAGUGGUAAAGAAAUGGAGGGAAAUAAACAGUGAAGUACAUAAUAGGAUGGAAAUGUGUGUAAUGCCCAUAUUGCCCUCCACUUAUUUGGGGAAAGUUCAUGAAAAUAUCAUUAGAGAGGUCAACUGACGAUUUUGGAGGUCAAACAGAUAGAAACCGUCAUUUUGGACUGGCACUACUCAUUUUUUAAAGGUUUGGUAUCUCCUGUGGCACAAACUAAAGAUUUGGGCAAAGUCUACUAAUAAACUAAGUGUUUGAUACCUCGGCUACAACUUUUCCUAAUUAUUAUCAUUAUAUAGAGUUUCAUACGUGCAUCAACCUUCAAAAGAAGGUCAUCGGGGCCCAUGAAAGUUGGAAGGGAGUAGGAAGGCUUCCUUCUGGUGGUGCAAGGGCAAAGCAUCCGAACCGAAAUUUCAAUAGGAAUAGCUUACAAAUUUCACAUUUAUAAUUUCAAUUUUGCUCUAAUUCUUCUUAUAAAUAGGGAGCUAGAAAUAGGGUUCAUCAUUAUCAAAAUCAUCAUCAUCUAGAGAGAGAAAAGAGAGUGCACAAUUUUUCUUAUAAACUUUUUUCUUUAUAGUGAAUUACUGCAGCAAAGGAUGAUGACAUAGUCUCAUAUUGAUGCGAACGUCAUAUAUCUUGCAUGUUCUUUGUGUCUUUAUUUCAUUACAGCGAUUUUAUUGUUAUUGGUAGUAAGUAAUAGAGGUUUCUAAUUCUCAAUGCUUAGUCAUCUUUGAACAAAAAUUUAAAGAAUAAAUUGUUGUUUUUAGGUAAACAGUCGAGUAGGUAUGAUACAUAAUUGAGUUAAACAUAGUGGAAUGAACUGAUUGAUUGAUUGAUUUUCAAUCCACUGAAAAUAGAAUUAAGCUCCCGCUUGACAAUCAUGAAAAUAAAUUUUUAUUUUUUUUUUGGGAGAAAAUAAGUUUUGGAAUAAUAAUUUUUUGGAAAAUAUGUGGUUAAAAAGUAGAAAAGAAUUUUGAAUUUUCGUACAAAAUAUUUUUUUCAUGAGAAUGUGUGACUGAAGAUGAAUUUUAGAAAAAAAUGAAUUUUGUUUUAAUGGUCGGCAGAGGCCUCUCAAACUGUGUAUAUGAAUCCACAAUGCUGACUUAUAUGUCCUACUUUGGACUUAAGAAUUACUUAACCCUAAAAGUCAAAAUUUGACUUUGAUUUUCUCCAUUUGAAUUUGAUUAAGUGAUUGUGACUUUUAUAAUGGUAGUAGUAAUCUACCUCUACCGGGAGAAAUUAGCCUAAUACUGCAAUUAGUUUAUGUAAAUUCUUGUCUUAUCCAAUAAAUAAUUGCCAUCAGGAGAAAUUAUAGGCAAUGGACUAGAUGACUUUGGUGUAUUUUAUCCUAGUAAUGCCAUUUUCCACCGAGAAAAAGCAUACGGAUUACAAUGAGUCGACUUCUUAUAAUCGAGCUUCUCUUUUUGUUACAUUUUUUUUUUAUCAACAAAUGAAUUAGUUUCAUACUCCGUGUCACAAAUUAUCAUUAACAUUUACAAAAUAUAACAUUCCGUUCAUAUUGACAUGCACAAUGGAUUUUUUGAACCUAAUUUGAAUGUCUUUAACCCAUAGAUUGUAUCAUUUGAAAGAUGAAGAAGCUUAAUAAUGUUUUGAACUUUUUACAUUUAAUGGGAAUGAAAAAUAGCAGAAAUUUAUCAAUGAGAGGUUCGAUAUGAACCAGAAGCGCUAGGUGCUUAUAUGGUUGGACAAUAGACAAAAAUAACACUAUAUUUGCAUUAUUCUCAAUCUCAAUAAAUCCUUCUCUCUUUGUUCAUCUCCAUCUUCUCAGAAGCAAAUCCCAUGUUGGUAAUCAAAUUAUGAUGGCAAACGUCCUUCCUUAUGUUGGGUCUUUUGAAAUUAGUUGAACUUCGUUAGGCAAGUUUUCUUUGACUCCUUGAACUCCUUUUAUAAUUGCACUAACCACUUCAUCUUUGACAAUUUCAAAGCAAAAAAUGGACGGAUCAUCAUAAUUUUUACUUAAAUCAGCUUCCCAAUUAGAAUUAAAUGGACAAAAAUGCAUGUAUCGGACUCAUCACGACAUCUAUACAACAAUUUGAUUGUCGUCCUUCAAGGUUGUUGCUCCACCUAUCUCAUAACCGAGGGCUACCCCUCAAGAAAUCAAAACCCUGUCCAUCCUCGUGUUCCUCGCUAGCAACUGUGUCAUCGUGUCCAAGCAAUCAAGCCGGCGACUAACCCCACUGUGGUGCUGGCCUCGCCUAGCCACAACACAUGCAUCGUGGGCACCACCAUUUGCCUCGUGCACGUCACAAUAAAAGUCACUCGCUAUCUGUUGUUGAAGGGCAAACAAUAUGGCUACCUGUUGUGUCGAAGCCUUGAGCUAUUAGCGAAUUUGUAUUUGUCCAUCUCUACUGUCAUACUUAAAAUAUUUUUCUAUUGAGUUUGAUCUCUUAGAAAGAGAGAAUUUCCUAUUUUUCCUAAAACGAUCUACUAAAUUUAUAAAGUUGUUCCAAAGGAUCAAAACGGCCAGUUAUUAAUGGUCUUAGACAAAAAGUCGAUAUUGAGGCCUAGAUCACGAUCGAUGCCAAUAGUAAUCCACCCAUAAUUCAACAGAUUACAUAGUCCCGAGAUUGGUGACUUACUCAUUCAGUGACUUUGGACUGGACAUUCCCAUGACCUCUAAUAUGUCCUCCUCAAUCCGUCAUAGGAGCGAAGAAUAGUUUUUGAUACCAACUGAUGUAGAACAUGGGAUCACAAAUGCAUAUUCGCAUAUGACUUGAUGAUAGAUUACGUAUUUAAAGAAUAAUAUUCAAUAUUUUUUAAUAAAUAUUCAUGAACAAUCUAAUGUAAUGACCAUAUUAAAAUUCUUAAACAAGAAAAACAGGAAAGAAACGUAACCUAAUUGGGAAAUAAACUUUUAACUUAAUUAGGACACAAUAUCCUUAUUAACGUGGAUUAAUUAAUUUAAGAUAAAAAUGGAAGAGGAAAAUAUAAAAACCAAUGAAUUAAUUAUCUUAAUUAAUUAUUAAACUAAAAUUCGAAUCAACUAAGGUUUUGGAACAGUGGAAUCUCAGGCCUAUUGGCUUCGGAUUGAAAGUAAUUUUGCACUAGAUUAAGUUACUACGCCAAGAUAACUUUUGAAAAAUUGUCUUGUAAGGUAUCAAAUUAAUGUCAAAGGGAGAAGUAGCGAUGGAAGCCAAUUUUCAGAGCCGGAACUAAAGAGAGGCCCAAGAGACCUAUGCCUCAGGCCCAGAAUAAAAGGGGGCCCAAAAUACUUGUAACCCUUUUUUAUUUUUUUUGGAAAACCCGAGCCAAUUUCAACAAUUGUCUUCUACUCUUCUGCAGUUGGCUGCUCUAGUUCUCCACGCCAAUCGCCAGUUUCCCAUGGUUUUGGUUACGUUUGCUACAACUUAAGCCUCAACGACUCAACCACUCCUAAAACCUACCAGCGAUGGGCAACGCCGCAAAGGCAAAGUCACAGACUCACAGCAUCCUGUCCUAUGGCGUCGGCGGUCUUCUGACUUCUAUUAUUGAACUCGUUCGACGAUGUACUUGGUACUAUUUUGUAAGUCAUUUAUCCCCAAAUUCCAACCUGCUGACGGCAAUCAUUUCAUGAAUCCGAUUCUGAUGCUGGGCUUGGCAUUCUGCUUCUGUAUCUGUAUUACUAUUAAGUAUUAUAUAUAAAUUUGUUAAUUGUUUUCUUGCAAUGUUUAAUAUCUAAAAUCCGACCGGCCGACUAUGUCUUCAUCACUUCAUGUUCCUGAUGCUAUUGCUAGGGCAUUGUGGCAUUUUGUUUCAGUGAUUUUGUUAAUUAUUAUCUAAUAUUUAUCAAUUUGUUUUCUUGCUAUGUUUUGGGUGUGAGAUUUAAAUUGAUUUCUUUGUCUAUUAGUUGUAUCUUAAUUUUUAAACUUGAAGACAUGUUAAAUUGAAUAAUUGAUUUCAGUCAGUGAAAGAAAUUCUUAAAUUCAUCCAUUAAUGAUGAAUGAUUAACUAUUAAUCCUGCCAUGUUAAAGUAAUUUGAGGGCAACUGAACUGUGAUUAUGUGAUGUAAGCUGCCUGUGACUAUGAGCAAUUGUAAUCUAGACUAGCAUUCCAAUUUUUGUGUUGGGGGAGGGAGGGGGGGUUUGAAGAUAGUAGUUGAUGAUGAUCCGAUGAAAUAGGAAAGGCUACGUGAUGGAAAUAUAGAUUCACUAGCUCGACUUAAUGGAUUUAGAUCUCUAGUAUUUAUUUUUUAUGUUCUGGUCUAGUUCUCUCAUUAUCAAGUGUGCAACUAAAACUCUAGAAUUGAUAAAGUGUGAAUUAUGGUCGAUGUUAAGUUGAGUACUUUUAUUAUAAGUUGUGAGGAAAUCUCCCCAAUGGUCACUGAACUUUGCAGAAAAUCCCCUUAGAGGUCACGAACUUCAAUGCGUCCCUAAAUAGUCACUGAACUUUUUCGAAAUCCCCUAAGAGGUCACCGAACUUCAAAACAUCCCUGAAUGGUUAUUGAACUUUGUAAAAAGUCCUUGAGAGGUCAUUAAACUAGUUAUGUAUGGGAUCCCAAUUUACAACAUUGAGUGACCUCUUAGGGGGGGACUUCAGCAAAGUUCAGUGACCAUUUAGGGACGUUUUGAAAUUCGAUGACCUCUUGAAAGACUUCGGUAAAGUUCAGUGACUAUUUAGGGACAUAUUGAAGUUCUGUGACUUCCUAGGAAAUUUUCUCCUAAAUUCAGUGACCAUUGGGGGGAUUUCCUCUAUAAGUUGUUAAUGGUAACUGGGUCAUCAAUUUUGAAUUUUUAAUCUUAAAUUAAUCUAACUUGGGCCUCUUUUACUUUCAAAUUUCAGUAAGCGUUUGCUGUUAAGUGACUUGAGUCAAAUACCAUGGCUCCUAAAUAUGCGUUGAGAGCUAAAAAGAGGAAGAAGAAGGAAAGAGUCGAGGCAUUAAUUCGAAGUCAAGCUAGAGAUAUGGAUAAGUACUUUAAUGGCAAGAAAAGAAAAGAGAAGGAAGGAACACCAAAAAAGUUAACGAUUGAGGAACAACAGAAUCGGAAUGAUAAUGACAAUGAUCAUGUGGAUGAAUGGAAAGAGAAUAAAGAAAUGAUUGAACCUGCAAAUAUAGAUAAGUCAAAAUAGAAUAAUGAAAAUAAUGUUCAACAUGAAGAUUUAAAUCAAGAGAAUUAUUUUUCUUUGAAUUUUAAUGAUCCUGAAAAUUGGAAGGAUAUUCACAUUGAUCAAAAGAUAAGAGACUUUUUAGUUGAAAUGGGUCCAAAAAGAGUUGAUGACAUCUUGUUUCCCAGAGAUAAUCAUGGUAGACAUUUUGAAUCAUUACAAUAUAAGUGGGUAAUGGCAAAUGGGCAGACAACUGAUAGAAGAUGGCUAGUGUAUUCAAUUUCUUUGGAUAAGAUUUUCUGUUUUUGCUGCAAAUUGAGUAAGACAGAAAAAAUGGUUAAGAAUAUUGGCCAAUUGAGUAAUGAUGGAUACAAUGACUGGCAUAAUAUGCAUCGGUGUCUUACUCAUGACGAAGUGUCUAAAGAGCAUAUAGGUUGCAUGAUUAGUUGGAUGGAACUGGAAAAUAGACUCCAAGCAAAACAUACAAUUGAUGAAUGCAUAAUAUUGUCCAUCAACAAAGAAAGAGAGCAUUGGAAACAAGUGUUAACGAGAAUAAUUACUAUUGUGAAAAGACUCGCUAAAAAUACUGUGGCAUUUCGAGGAGAUUGUGAGCAACUUUAUGUUGAGAACAACGGACUCUUUUGGCAAAUGAUAGAAAUGGCUGCUGAGUUUGAUCCAAUAAUGGAAGAACACAUUCGACGUGCUAAAGCACAUGAGAUUUAGUAUACAUAUCUGGGUCUAAGAUUUAAAAUGAAUUGAUACAAAUGUUGGCGGGCGAGGUAAGAAGUGCAAUCGUCACAAAAGUGAAGCAUGCAAAAUAUUUUCGUCAUACUUGAUUGUACUCUGAAUGCAAGUAAUGAAGAACAAAUAUCUCUAUUAAUAAGAUGCGUGGAUGAUUCGAUAGACUCACCGAUGGUACAAGAAUAUUGGAUUGAAUUUUUUAAGGUGGAUGAUGCAUCAGGAUUUGGACUUUUCGCUGAGCUUAAAAAUGUAUUAAAGGAUCUUGAGCUUGAUAUUGAUAAUAUAAGAGGUCAAAGGUAUGAUAAUGGAGCUAACAUGAGUGGGAGACAGAGGCGUACAAAAAAGGUUACUUGAAAUAAACCCUAGAGCUUUCUAUGCUCCAUGUGGUUGUCAUAGUCUUAAUCUAGCAUUAUGUGAUAUGGAAAAUUGUUGUUCGAAAGCUAUGUCCUUCUUUGGAGUGAUACAACGAAUCUACACAUUGUUCUCUUCUUCUCCCAAACGAUGAAAAUUUUUUAAAGAUAAGGUUCAAGGUCUGACACUUAAGCCAUUGUCACAGACACGUUGAGAAAGUCAUGUGGAAAGUGUGAAACCUAUAAAAGAGCAAUCUGUGCAAAUAGGAAAUACUUUAUUUGACUUGGCAAACAUUGUUGAAGAUCCAAAAAAAAAAAUGUGAGGCUGAGUCCUUAGCUAUAUAUGACUUGAAAAUUUUGAGUUUUUGUUAAGCAUUGUAAUUUGGUAUAAGUUGUUCCAUGCAAUCAAUACUGUGAGUAAAUUUUUUCAAGCCAAAAGCAUGGAUAUUAAUGAAGCCAUCAAACUUUUACAAACACUUAUUUCAUUUCUCGAAGAUUAUAGAGAAUUUGGGUUUGCUAGUGCCAUGGAUGAAGCUAAACAAAUGACAAGUGAAAUGGGAAUUGAAGCUGUUUCAAGAGAGACAUAGCAUUCGAAGAAAGAAGCAACUCGAUGAAAGUGGCGCUGAAGAGGUAACCUAUUCGGCUGAAGAAUCUUUUAGAGUUUAGUAUUUUCUCUUUAUAAUUGAUCAAGCUCGAUCAUCACUUCAAACUCGUUUUGAACAAUUUACACAUUAUGAAGAGAUAUUUGGAUUUUCAUUUAACUUGGAUAGAUUAAUGAGUAUGCAAGUUGACAUUUUGUUGAAAUCCUGUAUGAAUCUUGUGCAGUGUUUAAAGCAUAAUGGACAUUCAGACAAUUUAGGUGAUGAUUUGUGUUCAUAGUUGAUCAUCUUGAGGUGCUAUUUAACUAGCGAAACAAAAAGAGCAAUUGAUGUAUUACAUUACUUGAAGAAAAUGAAUGGUUGUUUUCCAAAUACUUGCAUUGCUUACAAGAUUUUGCUCACUAUCCUGGUUACAGUUGCAUUAGCAAAAAUUGAUCAAGAAUUAUAUCCAAUCAACUAUGUCAGAGCAAAGAUUGAAUGAUUUAGCCAUGUUAUCAAUUGAAAAAGAAAUGGUUGAACAACUCAACUAUACAAAAUUGAUUGAUAUUUUUGCUUUGAAAACUGCAAGAUGGGUUGUAUUUAAGUGAUAUUUUAGAACUUUUUCACAUUGUUAUUUGAUUAUAAUUUACAUAUUUUAAUUAUUUCAUUUUUUUUGUUUUAUUUUUUGAUUUUAUGUUAACAAAUUUAGUUCUUUAAUUCUCUUAUACAUGAAAAAAAUUAAUUACUUCUUAUGAUUUUGAGGCCCGAAAUUUGAAUUUUGCCUCAGGCCCCGCAAAACAAAGGUUCGGCCCUGCUAAUUUUUAAUCACCAAUAAUGGAAUCUUGACACAGUAUUUGAAACAUUAAGAUCUUUAGUUACAUCAUGAGUAUUCUUGAUGAGUUGACCGAUAUGAAUAUUAAGGAUGGUGUCAUUUCAAGGGUAGCUUGUCUAGCUACUCAAAGUAUUCAUGAAAAAUCUAGGAUGAAGGACACACGGCCAAUACACAUUUAUGUUUAUAUGAACACAUUGGGAUAUGAUACUUGUGUUUGAGAUGUUUCCGGUUAGCCACACAAGGUUGUUGGCUCAAACUUUGUCUUCCAUGUCAGCUUGGUUAACAUUUAAAAUAUUUUCAUUGUGUGAAUAUUCCAAAAGACAUGAUUUAUGCAUAAAGUUGGGGAAGUCCAUAUGAGAGAUUUCAAAACUGUUAUUUGAUUUGAAUAUGGUGAAGGAUUGUAUGAAAUAACUAUGUGAUAUUCCUCCAAAAAAAACUCUUUUUUUUCCCCUUUUAAUUCAAGGAUAAAUUUGUUAAUCAACAAAGAAAAAUGAAAAUUCUUAAAAUCAUCCAUUCAAAUUCCAUAAGGGGCUUUGGCUUUUUCAUAAAAUUGUAGUCGUAGUAUUCAAAAAAUAGAAAUAUAUAAAGUAGUAAUUUUCAAAAGAAUGUUAACUAAAAAUUGGUAGAUUAAAUCGAAGAUGGAUAUACAAGUCAAGGAGCAUUGGAUCAAGAGGAAACUAGAACCAAAAACGAUGGAGUGGCAAACUUCUAAACAGGGUUUUGAGGCAAGCUAGAACAAGUGCACUGAAGGGCUAACUCACCUACGCUGCCAUUCUGACAGCAUUAUACAUGAUGUUUGGCUGCCAAGCGCCACCAAUGGUGUCUUUUCGUACUAAAUUGGUUUUGGUUAGGCUUGGACAAAAAAGCGACCAAAUUAAUCAAAUCCAACCAAUUCAAGUUGAUUCAGGUCGGUUUGACACAGAUAAUUAAUUUGAUUUGAUUUUUUUAAAAAAUAUCAUAGUGGAUCGAUUUAGUCAUGAUUUGAAGUCUCCAACUAUUGGUUAACCGAACCAACUCAACUUAGUUACAAUUUUACCCUUUUUUUAAAAAAAAAAAUUUAAAAAGUAAAAAUUAAAAGAUAAGCCAUAAUCUCAUAACUAUAUCUCGAUUCCCUCCAAUCUAUGAUAUUGCUGGUAAGUAAUAAUACUGAAAAUUUCCUUUCACAAAUUCAUUAUGUUACACUUAACAUUUUUUCAUACUCCGACAGUCAAACUACAUAAUUCAUAAAAAUAAAAAUAUAAAAAAAAAAUUCUUAAGUUUCUGUUGACCCAUCUCUAUUAAUAUGAUUUUAUUUGUUAGUCAAUCAUUCUUGUAAUAUAAAAUUAUUUGAUUUUUUUAUUUCUUAUAAUCUAAGUGGACUCAAAAUUCGGACAAUUUUUUUUUUUUCAAAAAGUCCAGACGAACUAGUCAAACCGAACUCAACCCAACCAACUGAUUGGUCGGGUUCGAUUCGAUUUAAGAGUUAAAGUGGGUUAGUUUAAGUUGAAAUUCGUCUAAACCGUUAAUUUGGUUUCGAUUUUUGGUUGGAGUAGAAAUCAACCCAAAUCAAACCGCGCCCAUGCUUAGUUUUGACCAUUAAUAUUUGAUUUACUUUUUUUUUCAGAUUUAAUAAAUGUAAUUCAACUCAAAAAGACACUAUUUGUUCAUAAUUAUGUUAUAUCCGAAAUUGGGCCUAUAGUAUGGAUGAUCUUGAAAAGGGAAGAAAUUGGGCCCAAAAUGAAUGAAUUGGGCAUGUACGCAUGGGCUAAAUUACUAGUCGCUAGGCUGAUUUUCAAUUUUUAUUUAUUAUUAUUAUUAUUAUUAUUUUUUUUUAUGGUUGGCACUUUUUCGUGGUGUAUGGAUGGAAAAUUAAAUAAGUGAUAGUUUUUCCAUUUCUAGUACAUGAAAUCAAUUAUCAAAAAUCACAUUUGAGUGAAAUAAUUUCAAUUCUUACCUUCUCAAUAAAAAUUCAAAUACUUAUAAAUUUUUUUUUAUAAAGUUUUGAAAUAUCACGUGAACUUUAGUGUUUAUUUCAUAAAGGCCUGUUUAAUCUUACAAAGUAUUUCCCAGUGAAUUCCUUUAAACAUUCUAACAAUUCUAGAGAAAACAAAUAUCGUUUGAAGACAACGUUGUUCGUGGUAUUCUUCAUAUUGUGUGUUCUAUCCUUCACCACUUUCAUAUUUCUAACACUUCGGAAGAGUUGUAACUUUUGGGAAGAUGUGUAAUUCAAUUCUUUUAUGGUUAUUUGAUCAAGAGACAUGAAAUAAAAAUCAAUAUUCUUUCUACAAUUUUCUACACUUUCUCACAUCCAAAAUUUCAACUUUUGUGCAUUCAUUUCUUCUUAAAUAUUCUUUUUUAUUCAUCGAACUGCAUAAAUAAAGGGCAAAUGUUACGUAUAGACUUCAAAAUCUUUUAUGUUCGAGUUUUCUUCGUUUUUGCACAACAUAGACAAUGUGAAUAGCUUCAUUGUUUCAUAGGCAUGAUCGUGUUUCCAAAUGCAUCACUAAAUUGAUAGGGGAGAAGAUAACGUCUUAAGGAAAGCAUUAUCACGUGUCUUAAGUUGAGUUUGACAAAGUUUAGGAUCUUGCAUUUUCAACUUCUUGUUCUUCUCCUUCUCUUGUGAUUCUUGGUGACAUCCAUCAACACGUGGUGUGACAGCAGUGGCAGUGUGGAGGCUCGUGUGAGUAUAUCUCUUUCUCUUUCUGUCUGUUACUCUCAAAAUGAGACUACAAUGCUUUUUGUGAUGAAAAUUUGACAUUGACGACUUUAAAAUAUGGUUUCAAUUUUUAUUCAUUGAGAAUUAAAAAGGUUGAAGCUACACGAGGGGUGAAACCAGAAAUAUAGUCUAAUGAAGGCUUCCUAAUAUACAAGACCAGCUAAGUAAAAUAUGUAAAUUAAAAUGCAUACUAUUGACCCUAGAAAAUGGAAGACAGGUGUUGAUACAAGACAAUAUACACGUGGAUGUAUAGUGUGGUAUUUCUACUAUAAAUAUGAAUAUUUGUGGAAGAAAGUGAAUAGUAGACAAUGCAAGUAUAUUAUCCCUUCACUAUAUUUUUUCAAAAUCUUUCAAUUGAUACAAGAAUUUCGUAUUUAUAGUGAUCAGACCAACGUGGUCACCGUAGGAUUGGAUCCAUGUGGCAUGAUUUGCCAACCCUAAUUAUUACAUCAACUAUGUCAUCUAUUAAUUACAUUGAUAGACACUACUAGAAAAGGUUGCAACAGAGACGGAAUUUUAGCGACAAUCGUCUUCCGUUGCGACUACCAACGGAUUAACAACGGCUUUGUAAUGACUUAUCAUUUUAUUAUUUUUAAAAAUUACAUAUUAAUUUAACGACAGAAUUACCAACGAAAGUAUUUCGUUGGUACAAUAUCCGUUGCUAAUCCGCAAGUAAACAAUUUAAAAAUAAUAAAUUAUAUAAUUUAGUGACAGAAUUUCUCAAUGGAUGAUUUCGUUGGAAAAAUAUUAAAAUUGAUGAAAUCAUGUACCUACGAAAAAUUCUGUUGAAAAACAUUGGAAGUAAAAUUUUAAAAGUAUUAUAUAAUUACCAACAAUAAAUUCCUUCGAAAAAUUCAAAAAGUUUCAAUUUCCACCUAAAAUUUAAUUUGCCUUUAAAAUUUUCAUUUUCCUCCAAUCAAUCCCCACUCAAAUAUUUCAUUUCCUCCCAAUAAAUGUCAAUAACCAAAAUCAACCGGCUCAAAUUAGAAAAUGAGAAAGAAAUAACACAACCCACUCCCGUUUCUCUCCACAACCAUGGGUUGACGUCUAACUCUCAAGCCUUUCCCAAUUAUCAAUGGCGAUUCCGAAAACCCUAAAUCCAGCAAUCCCCUUUCUCAUCAUCCUCUCAACUCUACUCCUCUCCAGAGAAGCAAGAACUGACACGAAUAAUGUGUUCUUUCCGUGCGGUGAUACGAAGGUGCAGAAGAAGGAUGGCUUCGCAUUGGGUAUCGUGUUCGGUUCAAGGUCGGCCUUCUUCUCCAGCAACAACAAUUCCGUUCAGCUGUCUCCGUGCGACAGUCGCCUCUCGAUCUCCAACGGAAACUCCCAGGUCACUGUUUUCCACCCCAAAGUGGACGAGAUCUCAUUUCUCACGAUCAAUACCUCCAGCUUCUUCCCGGUACUAUUACUACUUCUAUAUAGCUGCUUGUAUUUUUUUUGGUAUAAAUUGACUAAUUAUGGGUUUAUGCAAUGAAAUUAUUAUUUUUUUCUUGGGAAGAAUUGCGUUUCUGAUUUUUGGUUUAUUUUUUCUAAAUUUAUUUAUCUGUCUGACCAUGAAAACAUAUGGUUCUCAGAAAUUGGGUUUUAAGAAGAGUAGAGAAUUGGGUAUCACUUUUAUAGCAAGACGGAACUUUCCUUAGGAUAUCUAACAUAGUCUGCAGUUAUAUUUUUCCCAGUAGAAGUGGUUACAAUAUGAAUUUGGUGCAAGUAGGAUUGGGGUGGGUUUCAAUGAAACAAUUAUGGAAGUAGUUAUCAAUGAAACAAACUAGAAAUUUUGAAGUUUGGUUUGUGGAAAUUAUGGAAUUAUAUCGGUUUGGACUCUAAUGUGUGGCCUUUAAAUUCAUGAAAUGAAGAAAAUGUUUUACUUUGGCAGGAUGGAAGUCGUGGCCCUUUCUCAAUUAGAUUUUUUUUUUUCUUUUUCUCUCCAAUGAGUUUUGCUACUUGCACUAGUGGCAUUGCAAAUGAAAAGCCUAAUCUCUAUUGUUAAUAUCUCUGGUAACUAUUUAUGUUGUGGUCAGUCUUCAUUUGCCUCUUUAGCCCUUUACUUUCUGUUGAUGUAUAUUUAUGUUUGCUGCUGACAGAAAGAGCAAAUUUGGUAGUUUGCUAAUUAGCACAGUUGGCAUUUCUGGAAGAUUCAAUGGCAGGCAAUGGCCUGCUAACAUUAGGCCCUGUUAAAUUUAAUUUGUGUGGUUCUGUUCUCAUUUGUACUUUGCCAAGUGGGGGUAUUGUUUCAUCUCUCUGUUUUAUUUCAUGUGUGCUGUCGGCCAACUGCAUUGCAAGACAAGACCAGGGAGAGUGACGAGGAUGAUGUCCAUGAUAGGGAUUAUGAUGUUGCAGCUCUUGCAAAUAAUUUAAGCCAAGCAUUCAGAUACAAUGCUACGCAAUUACUUGACAGGAAAUCAAAUCGAGAAAACAUUCAGAGCUGGAAGUAAGGUAACACUCUGUAACUUUUGAAUUUUGGUUCUUGUUUCUUUCCUGAUUAUUUACAAAGAAUUAUGUCAUGGAUGGAGUAGAGAAAAUCUAGUUUAACAUUUACAAUGCAAGUAUUCCUUGUGUUAGAUAAUCUGAUUGUUAUGGGGCAGAUAGAAAUGAUCUGUAAGCCCUGUCAUACUUAGUGGUGGAAAGUUUAAAUGCAUGGUGCAUGCUAGGUUGGUCUACAUUCUGCGUGUUAAGUUGUAAAAUAUUUUUGCAAAUGGAAAUAACUAUAAACAUUUUAAAAUUGUAUUGGGCAUCUUGCCUCUGUGUUGAAUUCUAUCAAUGCAAGUACAAUCAAUUCAAUAUAAAAUUAGAUGGUCGAUGGCCAUGAGGUCAAACAAGACACUAUUUGGUAAUAGAUCUGUGUGUAUUUUUUAACUGAUGAAUCUUGGUGCUUGACUAGUGGUAAUAUGAAAGUGGUGUAUAUACGAACUUUAUAAGUUGGAGGAUUCAUAAAGCUGUGUCUAAUAGAUUUAAUACAUUGAUCACUACAACACCUAUCACUUCAUGACAUAUUAAAUUGCGGGGACGAUAUCAACAGGAGUUGGUAAUAUUGAGACAAGCACAGCCUAAUGAUUAUCUUUCAUUGUAUGGGGCAGUCAAUAUUUCUUUGAUUGGGUUCUAAUAAGCAUAAUUUCUACUUAAAUGUAAGGGGGCAGUUAAUCUUUUUUUGAUUGGGUUAUAUUAAGCAUAAUUUCUGCUUAUCUGGAAAGUCUUAUUUCUCUUUAUUUCAUCCAUGUUUCAUGUCUUUUUAUUUAUUCGGUUAUGCUAUGCAGGUAAGAUGCUUCACUGAGAUAACUGGAUAUCAUAAAAUUUUGAAUCUAAAUCAAUUUGAAAAUUAGCCAACCUAAUGCCUUGUGCCCAUUUUUCUAAUUCAGUUCUCUAUCUUAGAAUCCGGUCAUAUGCAUUGUAGGUUCUAAACAAAAGUUGGAAAGCUGACAUAAGUGACUCUUGGAAAAGCUAGAGAAUUGGGAUCCGGUAGCUGUCAAAGUACGGAGGCAUUUUGUUCUUGAGACUAGUUGGAGAUUUACAUGGUGCAAUUUGGAUUGUCUACUCAAAUUUUUGUAGGUAAUGAUUGUUCUUUUUUUUCUUUUUCUUUUUUUUUUUCUUUUUUUGGAAGAGGUGAUUAACAAGGACCAAUGAAUCUGUAUCAAAUCUAAUUUUUUAAGAUAUUCAUGGAGAUGGUUGGAUUGACAGAUGAAUGGGCUGCUUGCUUCUUUGAUGAUCUUGAUUAUUUAGUGAGGGAGAAAAUGGAACUCAAAAAUUAAGGAAUGUUUACAUUUUAUUGGAUUUCAACUUUUAUUUUAAACUUUCAUUUAUGAAGUUUUGGAGAAAAUAAUUAUUAAAAUAAAAUCAUAUAUUUUUUAAAUAUUUUAAUUUAAAUUAGCGACGAAAAUCCGUUGGUAACCAUGUUGCUAAUUAGCAACGGAAAUAUGCGCUGGUAAACAUCGAAGCCUUCUUCCGUCGCUAAAUUACCAAUGACUUUAGUAAUUCGUCGCUAAAUUAGCGGCGGGGUUAUUAUCGACGAAUUUUUCGACCAAUUAAUUCCGUUUGUGAAAGUCAUUAGUGACAAAAUUUUAGGCAUCAGUGAUGGAAAUUUUCGUCUCUGAAGCCGCAUUUUUUUUGUAGUGAGACUUUUGACAAGAGGUCAAGCACGCUAUAAGUUAGGCUGGCUUUCCUGACAUUUAUUAACUAAGCACGUCACAUCAGUCAACUUUGGAGACGUGCUUGUUCGAUCCUCUUCUGUUUGUCAAGGAUUUCGGAUAGUAAAGUGGUUCGACGGCAGAAGGCGAAUCAACUUAGAGCAAUGUCCGAAGCUAUGACCUUGGCACUUCCUUUGACAGUUUCGGACGUUAAUCCCUUUUGCACCAAUUCUUGGGUGCUCGCCACGUGUAUGCAUAUGAGGUCUCCACGUAAACUUUUCUGUAUUGACAAGUAACACAGACCUUUUUUUUUUUUUUUAAUAAAAACAUUGAAAGACAUAAAAAAAAAUAUAAAUUAGUUACCAUUUAUAAGUUAUAACAAAAAAGAAAAUUAAACCAAAUAUGAAAAUGCAACGAAACUUAGAUUUAUAGUGAGUGUUGAUUGCAUCAUCGUGACAAAAUAAUCUAGUUCAAAAUUCUUUAAAUAAUUAAUUAAAAAAUUAUAUUGAAUAAUGAUAUAAAGAAAGCCGUAAUACUAAUUGUUUAUAGCCAUUUUUGAUAUAAAGAAUAAUGAUAACAAAUUAAGUAUUAAUCCAAAUACACAAAUUAUUUUUGAAUAUUACACCUCCAAAGAUUUAAAACAAAUAUAUCUUUAACAAUUACAACGUACCAUUAAUCUAAAUUCAAAAAUUAUUUUCAAAUAUUACACCAAAGAUUUAAAACAUUUAUAUCUUUAACAAUCACAACGUACCAUUUAGUCCUAUGUUAUACCUAUAUUUUUUAUUCUAUUCUUUUAAAAUAAUUCACGUGCGAAAAAAUUAUAGUUUAAAUUUUACGUGAGCUACACCCGACCACCUAAACGAUUCUCUUUAAUUUAUGUUUUACUUGCACCAGAGUGGUCUUGUAACGUUUCAAGAUUUUCAAAUUUUUAUGUUUACUUGCACACUUAAGUUGUCGCAUUAAUAUAUUAAACGCUACAUAAAUUAUAUAUAACAAACAAUGUCUAAACUGAAAAUAUUUUAUAUAAAAACCUUUUUAUCUAUAAUAUUAUAAUUUCUUGCAUCGUUUAAAUAUGAACAGCAUUGAGCAAAUUUUUUUUUCUGGACCUCCCCUACAAUAUUGUAACUGUAGUAGAGCUUAAUCACCAAGUUUGGGACGAAUUGAUGUGGUUUCUUUACGUCUAAGACACCAUCGAAUCACGAACGGAGGAAGGUAUGACAGAAAAGUCUAUUGGAUAAAACGUUUUCAUGACUCUAUCACCCAAUCAAUUCUAUCCUACUUAGUACCUUUUUUUCUUUUAUGGUCAUAUCUUAUUUGCACCACCACUACGAGAAAGCUAGUUGGCUCAUAUCUUUCUGUCAAUGAUGAAAAAUUCUCCUUUGAUCACUGGAAUUUAGAAGGUGGCCAUGGAGGUGGAGGUGGAGGUGGAGGUGGAGGAAUAAGGGGUGGUUCUGAUUUUGGAAAAGGAUAUGGGGGUGGGUUUGGAGGUGGUGCUCAAUGAGGAGGAGGUUUUGGUGGCAGAGGCGGAUUGGGUGGACGAUCUGGUAGUGGAUUCGGAAUUGGAUAUGGUGGUGGAUUAGGAGGUGGAGGAGUCCCUUGAGUAAUUAAAGAAGUUUCAGUCCUUUGCAUUUCCUUCUGCCUAGCGAUUUUGUUCAUGGCUCAAUUAAAAAUAAACUACUAGAUGGCAUGUGUUUGAUUUUGUAAUCAAAUUUAUUCAAACUUAUUAACAUAAACAUCCAUUUGUUGAUUAAUAAGCAUCUUUCUUAAUCUCAUGCGUUAUUUCUUCCAUUAAAAUCUUAUUGUAUUGUAAGGUUAAGAUUAUUUGUUCUUAUAAUUUUGUCGCAAAUAUAAAAAGUAAGUUACAGUGCACAUUUUAGAAAUGUGAAAUUUAAUAUUUUUAAAGUGAACAAUUUAUUUGAGCACUUUAACACCAUAUUCUAAGUGAAUAAAACUUGUCUAGUGCUAGUUCCAACUUAGUAAGUCAUAUUCGACUUGAUUCUAAUUCUCAAUUCAAAAUCAACUUCGACACACUCAAUCUAUAGUUGAGUCUGACAAGUGUCCCAAAAGAUAUUUGGUGUUGUGAUGAAGAAUUUGAUAUUUUAUUUUCCUUCGGGUUAACUAGGGAUGACAAUAGGUUGGGUUGGGUUCGGGGAACGGGUGCGGCGCAGUGAUGGCUUGCCCCGUUUGUUGCCUUUAUUUUAUUUUAUUUGGAGUUAUGUUAUUAUUAGAAAAUAAAAUACAAAUUCAAAAUAGGUUUAUAACAAAUGAAUUGUCCAAAAAUAAAAUUAUUUUUAUUCUCUUCAUGGGGCGGAGCAGGUUUUUUUGCUAUCACUAGAGUUAAUUGUUGGACUCAGAAGGAUUGUAGUGAAUGAGAUUAAUAACGUGAUAUGAAGUAAUGAAGAUCGUAACAAGAAAUAAAAUUUAAAAGUAAAGAAAUUAACAAAGUGAGUUAAUCGCAGAAGCACGACGUUUUAUUAAACGACAAUAUGAAGAGAAAUAUAAGAACUCAGUAAUUCUUGCUUAAACAAAAUUGAAAGAGAAGACCACUAUUUAUAGGUACAUGACAUAACAUAAAGAUGAAAAUAACGUGGAAUAAGGAAAUAAUAUAUUUUUAUAAAAAUCACGUGAAAUAUAAGGAAACAAAUUUUCCCACAUGAAAAUACGAAAAUAAUUUAUUUCCCAAAAAAAAAAAAAAUCCACUCUAAUUUGGGUUACAAAUCCAAAAUCUCCACCUUGACCCAAAUUCUGGUGCAACGAACGAAAGUCCAAGAUUUCAAAUCCGUGUGUAUCGACAUAGCCAAUCUCCUCAGCACAGUAACCAAAACUCUCCAAGCCAAACCAUCAUCCUCUACAAGGCAUCCACAAGCAACACCUGAACCCAAAUCCUGGGUUCCCAAAAUUCUGCCGAGAAAUUACUGUUGACCAAACAGGAUCGAAGCAUACCCUAUAGCAGAUACUGGAUUAGAAGGCUCAUUGCUAGAACUGUCACCUUCAACGUCCCCAAAAGCAUCCCAAACAUUAUUGACACCCGGUACCUACGCUCCAUAAGUCCAACCCUAACAAAUGAACACAGUGUAUCCGCUGAAAUUGGUAGCAAAGCGGAAUCACCAAUACUCCCUUGAGCAAUGUUCUGAACUGACCCAGAGCCCGUCACAAGAAAUACUGUACCAAACUGAACAUCCACUACGAUAUUGAACUUGUCCCGAUAUUUCUUAACUGGUUCUGUGUUUCCCUAGGAGAUGCACAAUUGAGACUUCUUCCGUUCCUUCAAUACAACCCGGACACCCAUUCGGAUUUUCAAAGCUCCACCUCCACCAGAGAAUUUAUACCAUUUUGCAUCCAAAGUACUAAAUGAGAUGAGAUUCAUUUUUAGGUCUGGAACAUGUUGAACCUGAUCAAUUGUUCCGACUGUUCCAUCCUGCAACCUUAAUCUGAUUCGACCGAUUCCAUCAACACGACAAGACUGGUUGUUUACCAUCACAACUCGACCUUGCUUGACAGCCUCAUAUGUCUGAAAGAAAUUUCAAUUGGAACACAUAUGAUGCAAAAAUGUCUAAUCGAGAAUCCACUCCUCGUUAGACCUAGAUUCCACGUCAGAUACCACAGUCAACAUCACAUCUUCGCCGUUUGAAAAAUCAUCAACUACAUUUGUUUCUUCUAAGGUUAAAGGUUGUGCUCCAGGAUUUGCAACUAAAUCAACUUUAGCCUGUAACUUAUUGCAAUCAUUUCGAUUAUGUCCCUUACGUCUACAGUAGAAGCAAAACAAAUUGUUGUUAUUUUUCGAUCUGCCCCUCCAUUGACCACCAUGAGAUAUAAGAUCUUCCUCAUCCCUCGAUGUAGUUCCAACCAAAUGCUUCAACUUUUCCUUUGAGUACAAAGUAUCAUAGACGUCAACUAUAAUCAAAGUAUCCCAACUAUACAAAAUGGUGUUUCGAAACAACGCAUAAGAGCCAGACAACGAACAUAACAGGAUCAAGGCAUGAUUCUCUUCAUCGUACUGAACCUCCACUGUUUCCAAAUAUGCGACAAUCUCCUUGAAUACGACAAUAUGGUCUUCCAACGACCCUCCUUCCACCAUGCGAUGGGAAUACCACUUCUGCUUUAGAGCUAGUUUACUGGUAAGACUCUUGAUCAUACAUAACUGUUCCAGUUCAACCACAAAGUAGCUACCGUUUUUUCCUUCAAAACAUCCUGCAGAAUAUUGUUGGAUAAAUGAAGACGAAUCAACGACAAAGCCUUCCAAUCCCUUUGUUGUUUCUCCUCCAUUGUCCAAUUAGUUGGCAUCUUCUCAAAACCUAGUAACACAUCGUCCAAAUCCAACUACGCCAAAAUAGCUCUCAUCUUUACUUGCCAAAAAGAAAACCUUGUAUUGCGAUACAAUUGGGGAUUAUCAUACUUCAAAGCAGACAUCUCUGAAAAACCUCAACCAAUCCACAACAAGAGCCAAGCUCUGAUACCAAUCGUUAGACCCAAAAGUAUUGUAGUGAAUGAGAUUAAUGAGGCGAUAUGAAGUAAUGAAGAUCAAAAAGAGAAAUAAGAUUUAAAAGUAAAGAAAUUAACAAAGAGGGUUAAUCGCAGAAGCAUGACGUUUUAUUAAUCGACAAUAUGAAGAGAAAUACAAGAAUUCAGCAAUUAUUGUUUAAAUAAAACUGAAAAAGAAGACCACUAUUUAUAAGUAAUGGCAUAGCAGAAAGAUGGAAAUAACGUGGAAUAAGGAAAUUAUAUAUUUUCAUAAAAAUUACGUGAAAUAUAAGGAUACAAAUUUUUCCACAUGAAAAUGAGGAAACAAUUUAUUUCAAAAAAAAAAAAAAAAAAAAAACUUUGCUCAAAUUGAAAUUGUUUACGAUUAUAAUCUUCUGGGGGUUAUGAUUUGUUAAUUAAAGUAAUGAAGUAAAUUAAUAAACACUUAGAGUGUGUCUGAUUGGCAUGAAAAAUAUUACCUAAAAAAAAAAUUCCUCAUUUGAAGAUAACAAAAACCACUCCCCCCCCCCCCCCCCAGAAAAAAUUUUUUUUAAAAAAAAAAAAAAAAAAAAAAAAAAAAAAAAAAACCCACCCUAAUUUGGGUCACAAACCCAACAUUAACAACAUUUAAAAUAGCAACAAAUAGAACUAAAAACAUGUCUAAGCACAUAUAAUCAUCAAGCAACAAUCAAAUUGAAAUAAAACAUGUAUUCUUAUGUGUAAGGCCAUUAGGAUCCGGCCACAAAUAUCUUAAACGCGAGUCAAACUAAAAAAGUUAGGCUCUCAAAUCGUAUUUGUGCAUUAUUAUUUCUUCUUUUUCCCCCCUUAGUAAAGGUUUUUAGCGAAGUACGAAAAUAAAUGAAAAUCAUAGGUGUCCAUGCACAUAAAUACAAAAAUAACGCAAACAAAUUUCCCUACAUUUUAGAAACAUAUUGUCAUGAUGUGCAUAGUCGUCUUUUUCAAAUAUUUUGCACAACUUUCUUCGAAAAUUAUUCGUGCACUCAACCAAAUCUUGACGAGAUUUGGUGUAAAAAGUAAAGAUUUUUCUUUCAAAUUUUGAAAUUGAAAAAAUGAAAAUAAUUUGGUGUGAAAGUUUGUGUUAGAUGUUUAGUAUUUUGUACAAAUUUUAUCUUGUGAUCCUCAAGCGAAAGGAUGUUUAGAAUACUAAACCUUUACCACUUCACCACUACUACCUAGUUGUCAUCAAAUUAUCAUUUUUAUCUUCUUGUUAUAUUUCAAAAAACAAAAAGGAAAAUUUUUGGCCCUCAGUGAUUCUCUGCCCGAGAUGGUAGCCUCUUGUGCCUCGUCCCAGGUAAAACCUCAUAUCCUUGUUGAAAUUAGCUAAGAAUAGACAAUCUUCAUGAAAAAAGGAUGCAUCUCAUGAGAUUUGAUUCAAUACCAUAUGCUUGAUAUUUGACAACACAAAAAUUAAAACAUUAUUAACAUAAGGUUUACAAUUAUAAUUUAUUGUUAUCAUUAUAAUAUUAAAGCAAAGAAAUAAUAAAAGUUCCAAAUUUGUUCCCUGCGAAAUAGAAAAGGAAAUAUUACCGAAAUUAUAAUGCGUCCCUAAAGAGCCAAUAGAUGCCGACUAUAAAUUAAGUUGUUUGAGUAUUGAACAAAUAAAUUACAAACCUCAUGUACAAAAAGCAUUUUAUUUAUCAAGUGACUAAUUCAGUUUUAUUUCAAGUAUUUUUUUCGCUAUUGAAAUCGAAAUCGAACGAUUUUAACUAUUUAAAAUAAUUGGACUUAAAACCAAAAUGUUGAUCGGUUUGAUGUGGACAAAAACCAACGGCUUCGUUUGACCUGAGCUGGUUAACAGUUUUUCUUGUUUUACCAUUUAAUUGGAAUUAAAAUACUUCAAAAUUUCUUUAUUUUUUUCAAGAAUUUUACUAUCUGAUCAAGGAGGUUUAAAAAUAUAAUUUGGAGGUGGAGGAGAAUAAAACAUUAUACCAAUUAUUGAAGAAGAAUUGGAGGUUGAACAUGUUGUGAGAAGGCUAUCCUAAAAUAUUGCUUUUGAUGUUGCUUAUGAGAGAGCUGAUACACCACAAAAUAGUUGUCUUGGUGAGUUUGGAUCAAGCAAAUUUGAAAACUCACAUAGGAAAUGAAAAUCUAUGUUAACGAAACGGGAUAGGACUUAAUUGCUAUUUCGACAAGGAAAACUAGAAAUCGACUAUAAAAUCGGUCCGAAUAGUGCUUGAAACUAAAGAAAUUGUAAACCGAGAAAAUCCCAGCUAUAUAUUAGAUCAAUUCAACCACUGAAAUCGAUUGACUCGUAUCAUGGCAGCUGAGGCCUUGAAGCCCUUGGAAGGCAACUAGACUUAGCACUUUAAUUGAAGCAUAGCAUUAUGAGGUCCGAAGAGCAUUGGCUGAAGUGGUUUAGUUUGAGGCCCAUGCAUCGAAGCUAAGACUUUUGAAGCAUCUUCACUAUCAUUUCUUCCAAGAGAUCCGUUUCUACACAAGUAUCUUCUUCGAAUGAUUGAUGAGACGUCUAUCAUAGACUUUAAGUGUCAAGUCUUGUAAAAAAAAAGUAGUGGCUUUGACAAUUAAUAAAUGUAAAGUGGGUUAUCAAGUUAAAAAUGAUGCCUAAGAUUAGAUAUAUGAAUCAAGGAGAUGAUGCCACGUAUACUCCCAUCCGAGGGCGACAAUUCACUUUGUAUUACCAUAAAUACUCUCCCAUGCUAACAUUGUAACGCUAAUGCAACUUUGAAUGCAAGAUUCAAUACUAGAACAAAUACGAACGAUACCUUACAUUUACUCUCUUGCAAUACAUCAAGAUUACAUACAUAAUCAACAAAUGCGAUUGGUAAUUAUUACACAAUCGUCCUACGUCUCACCGGAUUUCGAACAUUGUCAUCCCGCUCCUUUGAGCCGCUCCCACACCCUUUCUCGGACCGUUCCAGACCGCUUGCGUGUCUUAGUGUGUUGGACUAGACUUACGUAUACGUGUGUACAGAUGGGUCUGGUAUUUGUUGUCUGCAUGGCCCCAAUCGAAAACGAGGUCAACGAGUUCAGUUGCUACCUAUAUAGAUUUUCUUCUAGUGGGCUGGGUAUAUAUUACUUUUAUUGUACAAUGUGUAUUAUUUUGAUUGUGGUCUUUUACAUAUGCAAUAGCCAUAAAUAACAGGCAAAUAUUUACGAAUGGGAUAGAUUUUCGCAGCAGUCCAUGCGUUACAAAUAUAUAUUUGCUGAUUUUCGUGCCCAAGGAUGCCCAUCAAGUAAAAUCUCAUUUCUUGCAUUUUCUUUUAAAAUAUUUCUGAUACUUGAGCCGGGAUUACUUAAAGUUGUUUGACAACAUUUACCAUCAUCUCUCUUUAUAUAUAAUGUGGAAAAAAAAAAAUAAAGGAUGCUUGACCAACAAUGGAAGGAACAGAAAAAUAAAUGUUUGGGUAACUUAAUAAAAAUAACACAUGAAAAUUGGAAUGGAAAUUUACGUUACUGUGUAAUCUGAAUUGUUGCACUAUUAUAUAUGAGUUACAGUGAUCUUCAUAAAUUGCCAAACACCUGGAAAGAUCUGAGAACGUGUAUAAACCACUAAGGAAUAUGAACAUAUGUUAUUGCCUAAUUAAUCUACUAUUACACUAAUUAAUAACUAUAAAAAUUAAAUUAAAUCAUUAGUGCGUACUUAGUAACCGCCAAGUUAAUGAGACCCCCAUUAAUUCACACAUUAAUUCAAGAAUAAACUUUAAUGCAAAUAACUGAUAUUCAAGCUAUAUAAUCCCUUUUCUGUGUCCUAAAUUCUCAUCAAUCAAAAAUAUAUCUUUUAAUUACAAAUUGAGAUGACUUCCAAAUUUGUUCUCUUGGUUCUUCUUGGGAUUCUUAUUUGCACCGCCACUGCGAGAAAGCUAGUUGACUCAGAUGAUUCGGUCGAUGAUAAAAAAGUCUUCUUUGAUCACUGGAAUUUAGGAGGAGGUGGUGGUGGUGGAGGUGGAGGUGGAGGUGGAGGACUAGGGGGAGGUUCUGGUUUCGGAGAAGGAUUUGGUGGUGGGUUUGGAGGUGGUGCUCAAGGAGAAGGAGGAGGUUUUGGUGGUGGAGGCGGUGGUGGAAGCGGAUUGGGUGGAGGAUCUGGGAGUGGAUUUGGAUUUGGUGCUGGCUAUGGCAGUGGAAAGAGAGGUGGAGGAAUCCCUUAAGUAAUUAAAGAAGUUUCAGUCCCAUACAUUUCCAAUUCAUACCUAGUGAUCAUUUUCAUGAAUCAAUUAAAAAUAAAGUACUAGAUUGCAUAAGUUUAAUGUAAGGUUCAUUUUGUUGAUUAAUAUAUUUGAAUAAAUUUGAUCACGAUAUGCAUUAUUUACAGUAAAUCCGCAACUUUAAUAUAAAUUUCAUUAUGCAAAUUGUUUCAUGUUUAAUAGAUAGUUUUCUUUCAGUAAUUGAAGAGACGAGAAAGAAUUCUUAUUUUAGUAUGAGAACUACAUAAAAUAAUUUCAUCUUCUAAGCAAUCGAAGAGUAAUGGUCCCUUAAUAGUCAAGCCAACCUAAUAUGCCCCUAAGUAGAAGUUAUGUAUCGCUUGUUAUAAUUUAGAAGUAGGAAGCCGUUGGCAGGCAGUGAGCCAUCCCUAUAAUGUUAACCGAAAAGGAAUUUAUCGAGGUUCGAAGUUUCAUAUAUUUAAAACAAAAAAUGCAUUAAAUAAAUUAAGUUGUUUAAUUUUGACAUAGCUAACUACUUGUACGUAUAUUAUGGUACCUGCAUGUUGAAGAUGAACCCUAUAAAUUGAGCUAAUGUCCUAUGUACAUUAUAUUUUAAAUGAUUUUUAAUAGUGAUGGGUGAAGAAAUUUAGGGCGGCAGUGGCGUUUUCCGGUGAAUGGGAUUGGUGGUUGGAACAAGAUGAGGUAUUUUUAUGAUGUCAAUUUUUCAUUAUGAUGUGACAUUAGAACUCAAACAAUCGACUUCGAGCGAGGGAUUCCUCUGCUAAGGAGGAUCCCUGCUCUUGACCUGGUUCUUAUUACAAGUACCGCGAUCAACCAUAAUCAUUCUACUUUACACAAAGUCAACAUUAUCAAUAUUAUUAGAUGAAUUUUGUUACGUGUAUAGUUUUGUUCACCAUUUGAGCUAACGGCAAAUGAAUCAAAUUGAAUGUAAGAAGUAAAUGAAUUGAAAUAAAAUUCACAUUUAAUUUAGGAAAUAAAUGAAAUUUAAAUUUAAUUUGAAAGUAAUUUAAAUUACAUUUAUUUCGUAAGGAUCCUAAAUUUUUUUACGUCAUAUGCCAUGUAAGAUUUCUUUAAAAAAAUGAUGUAAAUUACAGUAAAAAUUUAUCUUGCAAAAAUAAUAGAUGUUAUUGAAAUAAUUGAAUUUUUUAAAGAAAAGACGAGUUAGACUCCUCCUUUAAGGCCUAUAUUUGACAGAUAUUUAAUUAUUUUCAAUACCCAUUUGGACCAUUCAAUAUGACUACAAUGUAUUCUCGAAACAAGCUUCUAGAUGACGUAGGCAAUUUGUGGAUUCGGUAACAUACGACCAUCGAUGAGUUUUGAAAGUUAACAUCUUAUCGAAAUUCUCGAAAUACUAGUUUAAAACGACAUACUUUACUGCAUCGUAACUUUUGUUAUGAUUGGUCCUUUUGCACGUAAUUAACGAGCGAAAAAUUAGAUCAUGCGAGCUUCGAAAUGAUAUAAGAAUGCAAUGUUUCAAUUUCAUUUGAUCUCUCGUGAUGAGUACGUCAAAGGAGGUCAUAAAAAAGUCAAAACACUAUUUUUUGGGGGGAAAAAGGCAAAAAUUUGACACCCGUGACCCCAUAUGGGUCCACACAAUGGUCAUAUUUCUUUUCCGGCUAAGGAAUGUAUCGAAGUUAAAAUUGUUAAACUGACUUAAUACAUUUGCUCUGUAAUAAAUUGCUUUGGCAGCAUAGCUUAGAUAAUAAUCCGAUAAGGAGAACUAGGGGGAGGUUCUGGUUUUGGAGAAGGAUUUGGUGGUGGGUUUGGAGGUGGUGCUCAAGGAGGAGGAGGAGGAGGAGGUUUUGGUGGUGGAGGCGGAUUGGGUAGAGGAUUAGGGAGUGGAUUUGGAUUUGGUGCUGGAUAUGGUGGUGGAAUGGGAGGUGAAGGAAUCCCUUGAGUGAUUAAAGAAGUUUCAGUCCCAUACAUUUCCAAUUCAUACCUAGUGAUCAUUUUCAUGAAUCAAUUAAAAAUAAAGUACUAGAUUGCAUAAGUUUAAUGUAAGGUUCAUUUUGUUGAUUAAUAUAUUUGAAUAAAUUUGAUCACGAUAUGCAUUAUUUACAGUAAAUCCGCAACUUUAAUAUAAAUUUCAUUAUGCAAAUUGUUUCAUGUUUAAUAGAUAGUUUUCUUUCAGUAAUUGAAGAGACGAGAAAGAAUUCUUAUUUUAGUAUGAGAACUACAUAAAAUAAUUUCAUCUUCUAAGCAAUCGAAGAGUAAUGGUCCCUUAAUAGUCAAGCCAACCUAAUAUGCCCCUAAGUAGAAGUUAUGUAUCGCAUGUUAUAAUUUAGAAGUAGGAAGCCGUUGGCAGGCAGUGAGCCAUCCCUAGAGAUCAAUAAAUAAUGUUAACCCAAAAGGAAUUUAUCGAGGUUCGAAGUUUCGUAUAUUUAAAACAAAAAAUGCAUUUAAUAAAUUAAGUUGUUUAAUUUUGACAUAGCUAAGUACUUGUACGUAUAUUAUGGUACCUGCAUGUUGAAAGAUGAACCCUAAAAAUUGAGCUAAUGCCCUACGUACAUUAUAUUUUAAAUGAUAUUUAAUAGUGAUGGGUGAAGAUAUUUAUGGCGGCAGUGCCGUUUUCCGUGAAUGGGAUUGGUGGUUGGAACAAAAUGAGGUAUUUUGAUGAUGUUAAUAUUUCAUUAUGAUGUGACAUAAGAAUUCAAACAAUCGACUUCGAGCAAGGGAUUCCUAUGGUAAGGAGGAUCCUUGCUCUUGACCCGGUUCUUAUUACAAGUACCGCGAUCAACCAUAAUCAUUCUACUUUACACAAAGUCAAUAUUAUCAAUAUUAUUAGAUGAAUUUUGCUAGGUGUAUGUUUUUGUUCACCAUUUGGGCUGACGGCAAAUGAAUCAAAUUGAAUGCAAGAAGUAAAUGAAUUGAAAUAAAAUUCACAUUUAAUCUAGGAAACAAACGAAAUUUAAAUUUAAUUUGAAAGUAAUUUAAAUUACAUUUAAUUCGUUACGAUCCUAAAAUUUUUGACGUAUAAUACCAUGUAAGAUUUCUUAAAAAAAUGAUGUAAAUUACAGUAAAACAUUUAACGUGCAAAAAUAAUAAAUGUUAUUUAAAUAAUUGAAUUUUUUAAAGAAAAAACGAGUUAGACAACUCCUUUAAGGCCUACGAUUGACACAUAUUUAAUUAUUUUUAAUACCCGUUUGGACCAUUCAAUAUGCCUACAAUGUAUUCUCGAAACGAGUUUCUAGAUGAUGUGGGCAAUUUGUGGAUUCAGAUAAUAUACUACCAUCGACGAAUUUUGAAAGUUAUCAUUUUAUCGAAAUUCUCGAAAUACUAGUUUAAAACGAUCUACUUUACUGCAUCGUAACUUUUGUUACGGCUGGUCCUUUUGCACAUCAUUAACAAACGAAAAAUUAGGUCAUGCGCGCUUCGAAAUGAUAUAAGAAUACAAUGUUUCAAUUUCAUUUGAUAUCCCGUGAUGAGUACGUCAAAGGAGGUCGUAAAAAAGUCAAAACACUAUUUUUUGGGGGAAAAAACCCAAAAAUUUGACACCACAUGAUCCCAUAUGGGUCUGUACAAUGGUCAUAUUUCUUUUCCGGCUAAGGAAUGUAUCGAAGUUAAAAUUGUGAAACUGACUUUAUACUUUUGCUCUGUAAUAAAUUGCCUUGGUUGCAUAGCUUAAAUAAUAAUCCGAUAAUUAAAAGCAUAUUGGCGAUAGUAUACAUUUAAUUUGUUAGUAAAAAAACAAAGAUAGCAUUUUCGUCAUACAUUCUCGAAGGCUACAUUUGAACACGAUAUGCAUUAUUUACUUAUUUUCAGCAAGUCAACAACUUUAAUAUGAAUUUCAUUAUGCAAAUUGGUUCAUGUUUAAUCCAUAGUUUUCUUUCAAUAAUUGAAGAGACGAGAAAGAAUUAUUAUUUUAGCAUAAGAACUUAAUAAAAUGACUGUGCUAGAUCGACGAGUACUGGUCCCUUAAUUAUCAAGCCAACCUAACAUGCUCCUAAGUAGAAGUUAUCCAUCACAUGUUAUAAUUUAAAAGUUGGAAGUCGUUAGUAGUGAGCCAUUUCUAAAUAUAAAUAAAUAAUGUCAACCCAAAAGGAAUUUAUCAAGUUUCGAAGUUUCAUAUAUUUAAAACAAAUAUUAAGUAAAUAAGUUGUUUAAUUUUGACAUAGUAUUAGUAUAUAAAUAGGCCAACUGCUUGUAAGUAUAUUAUGGUACCUGCAUGUUGAAUGUGAACCCUAAAAAUUGAGCUAAUGCCCAGUGUACAUUACAUUUUAAUUGAGCUAGUGUCAAAUGGCCAACUACAUUUCAAACAAUCAAUUGAUUUAGUCCUAUGGAGCAACGGAAUCCUAUGCUAAGAAGGAUCCCUGCUCUUGACCUAGUAAUAGAGAUCCAAUAUACCGAAACAAAUCAAUCACAACUCACGUGCUUUACUUACGCAUCACCUAAACAAAGCACACACCAAGUCAAUAUAGGCCAUCACAAACAAUAAGCUUCGACAGUAGCAGAUCAGCACCUGGCCAGUACCCACGGCAAAGCGUGUUGGAUCCAUUGAGAGCAAUUUUUGUGGUUGACAAUAGAUAACUUUUUAGCAUAUAUUACUGGAAAUUCAUUUUAACGUCAAACAUCUCUUCUAGUUAAGUUGGCUAGCUUGCAAAUACAAUUUUUACAAAAAUUAAUGCAAUAGGGAAGGCACCGAAGAUCAUUCAAACUUGUAAGCUCUCUUAUUAGGAUUAUUUAAAGCUCACCCAUUAUGGUACUUGUAGAAUUUUGGCACUAAAUAUAACAAAAUAACAUGUGCUAGAUUUUAGUGAUUUUUAUGCAAUUGUAAAGAUUUGAAUGCGUGCCAUUCCUUUGAAUUAUAUAAAACUUGGCAACAAUAUCAUUUUGUGAGUAUGGUUUAUUCUUUUAAGGGACUUAUAUGUCUUCAAUUUGAACAAAGUAAUUGUUAUAUUUAAAUUUUAGGCCUUAUUUGAUUUCCAUUUAUUUGAAAAUACAUUUUUAUCUUUUUCAUUUUUAACCACAUAUUUUUCAAUAAAAUAAUAUUACAAGCAAAUUCAAAACUUUUUCUUAUUUUUAACCGCACAUUCUACAUCAAAUCAUUAUUCCAAAAUGUAUUUUUUGCAAAAAAGAGACAUCAAGCAGGCUCUUAAUAUUUUAUGGCGAUCGACGGUCGUCCGUGCUGACUCAAAAUCCUAGCCCCACCAUUAAGCUUCGACCAGAUUUUUAAGAAAAUCUAGAUUGGCGGUCGCAUGAACAAGAUACCCGUAUUGACAACGCUAGCCGCAUUUGAAACGCCCCAAAUCUAGAUACCCAGAUUUGGAGGUAUUAUCAUUUAAAUUUCUCUUUGACAUCAUAAAUGCGGAAGCGAUUAAUUUCUUUUUUGACAAAAUAAACAUCAAUGACCUAUUAAUUCAAAAUAAUUUAUGCUUAAAGAGUAGAACAAUAUAAAUUGAAUGUCAACUUUAAUUACAAGAACGAAUUCAACAAUUAAAUAUGAUAGUAUUGAAUUCGUGUCACCACAAGUCAUCGUCUCGAAUCAUCAUCUGAAAUGGGGGAUAACGUGGGAUGAGCAAGCGCUUGGUAAGCAAAUCUCAUGCAUAUGAUGCAUGCCUAUCAUACGCGUAUGAGUUACUGUAAAAUAAAAGGCAAUUCUCAUUAUGUAUCUCCUUCUUUUCAUUUUUCUAAAAACUUAACAUUGAUAUCGUGAGCUCACUUGGUGUAUCGACUAGCCAAUUAGAAUGCAAUGGACAAUUAUUAUUUGGAACCCAGUCCAGUCCUAUCGGUAGUAUCGCAAAAUGGUUAACAUUAACAUUAUCAUUGGACAUUGGACAUUGAACAUUGGUCGAGUGCGCCGGUCCCCCAUGCUCCAUUUCCUACUCACACCUUUCAUGGUGUAGACAUACAUCUCGUAAUAAAAAUAUUGAGGAUACAUAUAUUUUAAAAACAUUUGUUGAGUCAUGACAUUUGGAAACUAUUUUAUUCCCUAAAAUUUCAUGUAUGCUUAUGGAUGCGUUGAUGUGCACAAAAUAUUUAUGACAUAAAACAUAAUAUUUAAACAUCAUGUUCACAUAAUAGCAAAUUUAGGAACACAUUGAUACAUUUAAUAAUAUCACGUGUGCAUGAAGACAAUGUAAGGUUUACUUGAAAUCCUUAGCAAUUUACAUUUUGAAUGACAAGUGAAGACAUCCUUAGCCGCCCAUGAAGUCUACGUGCCAAAAAUCCUAGUCGUUAAUAUUUAUUUAGAAUUUCAACAGUAUUCAUCCUAAAAUCAAUCCAUAUCCUCAUAUGAAUAAGACUCGGACUCAUGUAACUAUUCACUUGGGUGAUAAAUUACUAGAUGUUAAUUACCAUAAACAAAGGAACCCAAUGAUAAAAACAAGUUUCCAGUUGAAAUACAAUUUGUGCUAAAGGAAUUUACAUGAAUUAUUUCAACCUAGUUAUGUAUGGGGUAUAUAUAUAUACAUAUAGAUACGUGUGCUGGAGAAACUAAAAUGGGCCGCUAUACAAUUGGUUGAUCCACAGAUUGCAAGAUGACAUCAAAAUAGUAUAAGUUAGACCACAUCAUGAUUCCAUCAAAUACUGUAAAAUGUCACUAAUCACUAAUUUGUCUAUCAAAUGAUAUUAGAAUAGAAUACAAGUAUUACACCUCAAGUGUUGACUCCAAACAUAAAAGACGAAGUGGAAAAGAAGAACACAGAUAAUAUUAAGAUUCUACGUUAUAUCCCUUUUAUUUAUAUUAAAGGAUUAAGGGUUAAUUUCACAAAGGUCAUUGAACUUAUGCGAAAAUUAAAAAACAGUCACUUACAUUUCGGGGCGCUUUCAGAAACAGUCACUGAAAUUUAAAAACUUUCAGAAAUGGUCACUGACAUUUAAAAACUUGCAGAAAGGGUCACUGAAAUUUAAAAACACUUUUUCAGUUUUUGAGUUAUUUUUGCGGCAACUUUUCGGCCACUUCUAACCAUCGAUACCACUGAAUUUUGUUACCGUUAAAAAAUCCACAAUGUCCUCUUUAAUUACUACCCAAAUCUCCUUGUAACUCCAAGGGAUUUGACCAGAAAAUCGUCGCAAAAGUUGUCCAAAAAAUUUGAAAAUCUGCCGACUUUUGCGGCAAUUUUUCGGUGACUUCCGACCACCGGAUUUUGAUAUCGUUGGAAAACCCACAAUGUCUUCUUCAAUUAUCAUCCAAAAUGUUCCCCAAACUCCUAAAGAUUCGACUGGAAUAAACCCACAAGUCGGACCGAAAAAGCGAAAAUCUGGGCAAAUAUUUCAAAUUUUUUGGACUACUUUUGAGGCAACUUUCCGGUAACUUCCGACCACCAAUACCGUUGGAUUUUGAUACCAUUGGAAAGCUCACAAUGUACUCUUCAAUUACCAACAAAAUUCUCUCCCAAACUCCAAAGGAUUCGGCUGGAAUAAAUCCACAAAUUUGGCUAUCCAAAAAGGGAAAAAUCUGGGCAGAUUUUUCAAUUUUUUUGGGCUACUUUUGUGCCAACUUUUCGGCAAAUUCCGACCACCAAGUCCGUUGGAUUUUGAAACCAUUAGAAAGCCCACAAUAUCCUCUUCAAUUAACACCCAAAAUAUCCCCAUAACGGCGAAGGAUUUGACCGAAAUAAAAUCACAAAGUCAGCAUCCCGAAUCUAGACAGAUUUUUGCCUUUUUUUAGUAGCCAAAUGUGUGGAUUUAUUCCGGUUGAAUCCUUUAGAGUUUGGUGGAGAUUUUAAAUGAUAAUUAAAGAUGAUAUUGUGGGCUUUUCAACGGUAUCAAAAUUCGAUGUCUUGGUAGUUGGAAGUCGUCGAAAAAGUGUCGCAAAUGUCGCUCAAAAAAUUUGCAAAGCUAGGUAGAUUUUCAGAUUUUUUGGGCGAAUUGUGCGGCGACUUUUCGAUUGAAUCCCUUGAAGUUAUGAAGAGAUUUUGAAUCGUAAUUGAAUAGGACAUUGUGCGCUUUCCAAUGGUAUCAAAAUUUGACGGUAUAGAUGGUGGCCGAAAUGUUGCUACAAAAGUAGCCCUAAAAACUGAAAAAGUGUUUUUAAAUUUCAGUGACCGUUUCUACAAGUUUUUAAACUUCAGUAACCGUUUUUGAGUUACCCUGAAACUUAAGUGACCAUUACUAGAAGUUUUAAAAUUCAGUGAUCGCUUUGUAAUUUUCAUGUAAGUUCAGUGAUCGUUUGUGAAAUUAACCCAAAGGAUUAAUGGUUUCAUUCCAUAAAAAAAAUGCACAAAAAGGUCUUCAAUUCCAAAUUUAAAGCAUCACUUAUGGUAUACAUUGAUUUUGUUUUGGUAACUAAUAUCCAUCAAUUGACUUAAUUAGUGCGCUACUUAAUUAGUGCGCUAAGUAAUCAAAUUAAUUAUAAUUACCAAGUUAAUUAAGUUGAAUAAAAGUUAUUUAGAUGGAACAUAAAUUAAUUUAACUAUAUCUAUAGUUUGCUUCAUAACUUGGUUCAUCUCAUUAUAAUUAACUUUAAUAGGCACGAGAUCAUCUAGGGCGUCCGAGAUGCAUCCCACUGCAAAAUAUAAUUAGUCAUAACAAUAUUAAAUUCAUAAAUAAAAAAUGAAAACAAUAAGGACAAAUGUUAUAAUUAUAAACACUAAUCAUGUAAAGGCAAAGCGUGGUAUUAUAGCAUGUUUCGACCCCUUGCCAACAUAGGCUUCUUGUUCAUGUACGACUUCCAAGUCUCAAUUUUCUUAAAGGUCUGGUCGAUCAACUCUUACUGCAAGCAUAUUUUAAAUUGGUCCUAAAAUGAACAUUUAUCUUAAUUUCUAAACAUAUAUUACUGGAAAUUCAUUUAUCUGAAAAUUGCUCCAUCACAUGAUGGAGCAAUUAGGUGGAUUUGGAUCAUUGACUGGACAUACGACAUAUGCUUGGCAUGGACUCGGACAGUAACAUGGUGUGUAUGGCGGACAAGGUGGAGGCAGGCACGACGGACAUGGAGGCGGGCAUGGCGGUGGGGACGGUGGAGGAGGUGGAGGUGGAGGUGGAGGCGGAGGCGGAGGCGGAGGUGGUGGAGGCUUCACGUCUUCCACGCUUACAAUUUCCACAUAGCAAAAUUUCUUCCUGAGAGACAUAAUCAAGCAAGCAGCAUCAAUUCCUUCUCCAGUUACAACCAUUUUAUCAUCCUUUAUUAU